UGUUAAAAUACACCAAAUUCAUAAAUAAAAGUAAAAUAGCAGAAACAAACCCUAUCAUAGAAAACAAUUUAAACAUCUUUUUAUGAAAGACAAAACGCGGAAACUUUGCUUCCAUUUUUCUCUUUCGUGCAUCACCAAGCCAGACGCCCUUCUUUCCAUCGCUUUCUUUAUUUGUCCCACAUAUUCUUCACAUCCUACAAAAACAUCACAACACAUGCACAUAUUAUAUAUACUGUGUCUGUCAAUGUCAUAAAGGGGUUCGUGGUCCCUAUAAGACCGAACCAGAAAAAUCAUUUUCCGUAUCAAGUUAAAAACGGUUCGUAUUCAAUUUGUUUUGGAACAAGUAUACGUGUAAAAGAAUGGAACUAUUUAUGAAAAAAUAUAAUAACAUAGAAUGUACGUAGGAAUGAAGAAGGUUACCAUAGAACUAUCCUAGUUGACCACCGUCUAAGAGUGGUAAGGAGGGGGAGGCGAUGCGUAGAUGUAGUGCGGGGGUGGUGGAGGAGGGGACUUGUACUUGUAGGGCUUCUUGUAAGGGGGUGGUGGCGGAGAGUGAUAGAUUGGGUGGGGAAUGUAAGGAGGAUGAGGGUGAGGAAGAGGGUGCGGGUGGGGCAAAGGAUGGGGGUGAGGAAGAGGGUGUGGGUGUGGGUGGGGAAGAGGGUGGGGGUGUGGGUGUGGAAGAGGGUGUGGGUGGGGGUAUGGGUGGACAGGAGGUGGAGGCGACAGGUACUUGUAAGGCUUCUUAGGGGGUGGAGGAGGAGAGGGGUACACGUAGGGAGGGUGUGGGUGUGGAUGGGGGUGGGGCUGAGGGUGUGGGUGUGGGUGUGGAUGCGGGUGAGGGUAAGGGUGGACUGGUGGUGGUGGAGAUGGGUACUUGUAGGGAGGGUGAGGGUGAGGGUGAGGGUGGGGGUGUGGGUGGGGAUGGGGGUGAGGAUGGGGAUAAGGGUGCACUGGAGGUGGGGGAGAUGGGUAUUUGUAGGGCUUCUUGGGAGGAGGAGGUGGUGAGUGGUAGUAGUAAGGCUUCUUCGGAGGAGGUGGCGGUGGAGAGUGGUAGUAGUAUGGUUUCUUCUUCGGUGGAGGUGGGGGUGGUGAGUGGUAGUAAUAUGGUUUGGGUGGAGGUGGUGAAGGUGGCGGGGGAGAAUGGUAGUAGUAAGGCUUAGGUGGAGGUGGUGAGGGUGGUGGGGGAGAAUGGUAGUAGUACGGCUUAGGUGGAGGAGGUGAAGGUGGUGGGGGAGAGUGAUAGUAGUAUGGCUUCUUCUUGGGUGGGGGUGGUGGUGGUGAGUGAUAGUAGUACGGCUUAGGUGGAGGUGGUGAAGGAGGUGGUGGUGAGUGAUAAUAGUAUGGCUUAGGUGGAGGUGGUGAAGGAGGUGGUGGUGAGUGAUAGUAGUAUGGCUUAGGUGGAGGUGGUGAAGGUGGUGGUGGAGAGUGGUAGUAGUAUGGCUUCUUUUUGGGUGGUGGUGGUGGUGGUGAGUGGUAGUAGUAUGGCUUAGGUGGAGGUGGGGAAGGUGGUGGAGGAGAAUGGUAGUAAUAUGGCUUGGGUGGAGGAGGUGAAGGUGGUGGUGGAGAGUGGUAGUAGUAUGGUUUUUUUGGUGGAGGUGGUGAAGGAGGAGGAGGAGAGUGAUAAUAAUAGGGUUUCUUAGGUGGUGGAGGUGAUGAGUACAAGUAGUUAUCAGCUGAGAUUUGAGAAGGGAAGGUUAAAGACAGUAAUGAGAAUAGCAGAGUAAGUGUGGCGGAGGAGGCCAUUAGAGACCCCAUUGUUUUUCCCCUCAACCUCACUACAACGUGGGGUUUUGUUAUGCUUUUUCUCAACCAAAGAGCCACCCUUUAUAUAGAAUCUUUCUUUACCCCAACUAAUCUUUUUGGUAAAUUUCUUCUCAUGCAUGCGCAUUCCAAUCAUCUCUUCUCCUUUCUAAUAAAACAUAUAAAUUCCCAUAUAUAUUGACGUUGGCAAACAGAAAAAAGGCUUAAAUUAUGAAAAUGAUAUUUGUCCUUUUUGGGCAGUAAAUAUAAAUAGAUGAAGGGGAAUGUAAAAUGAUUUUGAAAUACUGAAACAUUAACUGGUUGGUUGUUUGAAAAGUAAAUGGAUGGCAUUGGAGACUUAAAAAAGUGUGGGACUGUAUGGUCCGUAGCAGCCUCAAUGAUUUUGAAGGAGUGUCUCUCUUUUUCUCUCUCUAAUCAAUUCAUAGAGGCUGCUUCUGUACACACUUUAGAGUGUGCACCACACCACGGCUUGCACAUGUUGCAUGCCAUUCUACAGUUCCUUUUUCGAUAAUACAAAAUUCCUUUUACUUUUUCCAUCUUUUAUUUCUUACCCUACUCUGCCCAUUUAAAUGCCACCCAAAUUCAUGUCUCCAUCUCUUUAAUUGCUAAUUUUACUUUUCUUCUCAAUUUUUUAAACAAACAACUGUGAUUUAUAAUUAACUUUUUGGUUGAAAAAAAGUGUAAAGGUCCCAACAAAGGUGGCUUCUUCUCCUUAAUGGGAUACUCUGACGUUAAUUGAGUUAAUGAAAACAUUAAUAGUGAAUGGUUGGUGUAACCCAAAUUACGUACAACGUUGGUUAUGAAUAAAGGUUCAUUCGGUGUAAUAUUGUAAGUAGUUUUAGUAUGACUAUAUAGUUAAAAUAAAAAUUUAAUCGAAGCUAAAAUGGAAAACACUCAUUCCCAUUUGUAUCUAAAUUUAGUUAUGAAUGAGUUAAACAUUGUUUAAUCUGGCCAAGAGAUUUUUUGGUUAACGGAAUUUAAAUAAAUUAUCGAAAAUGGGAAGAGUUAAACAAAGGGAAAGGAAGAAAAGUAGAGAUAGUAUAACCUACAAAUUUCAUGCUCUUAUUUUAGUAACUUUCUAUACAAGUUACCAUUUGUCACAUGUUCGAAAGGGUUGGUAAGUUUCUAACUUGUGUUUCAACGUCUCCUAAAAUAGUAAGAUCCAUUCAUAGCUACAUAGAUAGGUAUCUUAUACCUAAGUAUCAUUACAUCACUACUUAUGUAUGCAUAACCUAAAAUAUAAAAGAGACAGAUAUUGGUACACUAUAUUUUUAAAAUUAUUAUUGACUAAAGAUUUAGCAGUACAUAUAUAAAAGCAACCGCAGACAGAAGAGAAACUAGACAAGUUUUAUUCAUAAGAGUUAAAGAAUUUAUAAUUCACCGUCACUGUGUAUUAUCAUAUGAAAUCGAUUAAUAAAUAAAAUAAGAAAAGCAUAAUAAUAUGUAUGAUAGAAAAGGAAGGGUGAAGAAAAUAUUUAGCUAUCAGAUCCAGACUGGCCAUGUAUAUUUGACCAUUCAUGAUCUCAUAGAUGUCACAUUCCCAUUGACUGAAUGUAUUUUUCCAUAUGUAUGAAUGCGACAUGCACAGAUAGCACUGUGUCUCAGCAACAUCUCAUUGAUAUUUAACUUGUAAUAUAUUUCACACACAUUGUUUUUCUUUGUGACAAUGAGCAACAGUUUAAAGUUAUAGUAAGUUUGAUUUCGUGCAAUUUUUAGUGCAAAAAAUAUCAGAGAUAGUAGAACAAGAAAACAGGCAAACACCAGCUACUUCACUACUGUCUUGCGGUAAAAUUCCUUUACUUGAUCAUCAAGUGAAAGUGACUGCACAACGCAUAUUUUUUAAAUUAUUUUCAUUUUGAAACGAGAUUCUUCGUGUGAAAAGACAAAAUGAGAAUCUACUAUACAUGUUUAUUUUAAUACGUGCGAAAAAAAAAAUUAUUUCAAACAAUUAAAUACAUUAGGGGAUAGUGAUUUCUUAUCAAUUCAAGUAAUUCUUUUUUCUAAUAGCUCCAAACACAGUUUUAAAAUGUAAAACAUAAUUUAAAAAGAUUCCAGAGAAGAUUUUUUUUAUCAGCUAAAAAACAUAUAUAGUUAAGCAGAACUAUUUACUAAAGAAUUUUGGUUGAAAAUUUCACUGAACAAUGUACUAAGCAGAAGUAAUUAACAAUUAAAACGUGUUGUUAAAAUUAAAAUACAAAAGAAUUAUUAUUAUUUUUUUGGUAUCCUACGUAGCAAAGCCUGAAAGGAUUAGAGAGAUCUACCUAGUUUGGUAAAAGUUUGAAGGAUAUGUACAUGAAAUGAUGAUUGGGUGAUUUGGGGGAGGACUUUAGAGAGUGUAUUCAAGAAAGUUGGUCCAUUAUAGUCUAUAGUGGCAACAUGCAUGCAUAUACAUGAUGAAGAUGAAAAAGUAUAAAUAAUAUUUAUAGGGUAAAUGAUUGAUUAUUUUAAUAAUAAUAAGUAAUGGAAAAAUAGAAUAAAAAAAUUGGUAGGGUUGGGGAAACUUGAUUGGGGGUGUCUGGGAAGAUGGAAGUAUAGUCCAGUUUGAAUAACCUUUUUACAGCUAAAUUGUAACGUGUGGACACCAUGCAUGCAGCUCAAAUUCUGAUACAAUCAUAAAAAAAUAUUACAUCACAUGCUCACUUCAAAGGUAAACCCCUUUUUAUAUUUAACAAAUUCAAUUUAUCAUUUCACUAAACAAUUAUUCCCAACUUGUAAUCAAAAUUAAAUCCGAAUCUUCAAGUCUAUGUAUAUUUAAAUUUUUAUUUUUAUCGUGUUAACAAUAAAAGGAUUAUUUUUACAAGUAGAUUUCAUGUAUAUUUGCGAAUAUUCUGAAUAAUAAUGCGCAAGAACUUGUUAUUAAUUUAUGGAUUAUAUAUGUAUGGCAUGUGGGUUCAUAUAGACAGCCAAUAUUUACUUUAUAUAUCACAAACUUUAUACAUUAUGAGAUAAGACAUAUUUGUCCCUGUAUUAUGUACUAUUUUAAUAUUUUAAACUAAUGGUUUAGAAUUUGAAAAACCAAAAGUGUUCCUUGUAAUUUUGUACUCUUUAAUUAGGUGGACAGCAUUUCAUUAAUCACCUUUUGCAUGCAAUUUUUUCCUUUAUUUACAUCAUGGGUAGACAAUCAGGUUUUAGUAAAUAAUUCUACAAUCUUUAAAGAAAUAGAAAAAAAAAUAUAUUUACAUUUUAAAUUCUAAAACUAUAAGUAAAAAUGUAAUGCGACAUAAAUACUAGGGUUUUGUAAUUACAUAAAGAAUUUCAGUUUGUCUUCAUUUAGAUUCCACUCCUCUCUUUUAAUUAUGUCUAUUUUUAAAAAUAAAAGACUGGUAUGAUAUUAAUUUAAAAUUUAGAUUUCAAACAACGUAAAAUGAAAUAUUUCAAGCACAAUUUUUUACAUAUACUUUUUACAAAUAAAUACAUCUAUCCUGAGUUAGAAAUGUUGUUAAACUUUCUUACUCAAGCAUUACAAUUAAUCUUUCUUACUCAAGCAUUGCAAUUACUAACCCCAACAGGAAAUGUCAAAUUUAAUAUAUAUAAAAGCUAAUGAGAUGUAUAUUAAUGAUUAAAGCAAGAGAUUUUGAUUUGCCAUGAUAUCUAAAAGAAAAAAAAAAAGACUAGGAUGAAAGUAUGAGCAUUCAAAGUACUAAAAUAAUAUUAAACAAUGUGAACAAAACAAAUAUGCAUUAUUAUAUCACUAUUUAGCACUUGACUAAAAUAAUACAUUAUAAAUGGAGUGUGACAAAUUUUGAUGCAUUCAUUGAACACCGUUGGAUGAGAGCUGCCUCAUUAAAUUAAUUGUGGCUAUUGGAUUAAUUUAAGGAUGCAAAGAGUGAGUUGAAAAAUCAAACACACUAGAUCAAAGUGCACCAAAUUAAAAUCCUUAUUUAACUGUAUUCAUGUGGAAGCAAGAAAAAAAUAAACAAUUCAAUAGACAAAAAGAUAAUGUGUUGCCUUCAACUUUUUUAAGAAAAACGAAAUGACAAUAAUAUCAUCUUUUUUAAGUUACCGACACAAAAAGAUUACCAUGAGAUGGAGUUCACAUCUUGAACAUGGACCAUCAGGAUCAUGGUGAUGGAGUGGAUCAGACGGCUAGUGUUUCACAUGUAGAGAGAUCAAAAUGUCCAUUAUUCACUGCAAGAUAGGUACAUAAUCGUGUAUAUAAAAAUCCAUAAACAAAAGUCAAAGUAGGUUCACAUCAUGGUGUUGUUAUUCUGGUCCCUAGUGUAUGGUAUCUUCCUAGCUUCUCUACUUUGAAGAGUCACCACACUUCAAAACAAAACAAAACCCAAAACUAUUGAUAGAAAAAUCAAAGGUGACAGAUAUUAUUAACAAGCUGUAUUACACUUAAGUUAAUUAGUAAGUCUCUUAAUUAAUUAAAUUGUUAGAUAUUCAAGACCAUUAAAAAAAAUAAUAAAGAUAUCAUUAUCUUGUUGGAAUAAUUCUCAUUCUGUAAAUCCCCUUAUACGUGAUGAAGCCAUGAAGGCAUGACAUUGGUGAUGUGGACCACAUUUUCAGUAUAAGAAUUAAAUCUCUUUCUGAUUUUCCUCAUUGUAAAGAAUCCAAAGACCUUUGUCAUAAGAUUCCACUGCUUUGUUAGCUUUGACAACUACAAUUUCAAUGCAUGGCUACUUUUGUACAACUUUCUUCAAUUCAUCCUUAAUCUCCGUAACUACUUAAUUUUGCAAAUAAACCUUACUAAGUACAUUAUAUUAAUACUAAACCAUGCCAUAUGAGUGCAUUACAUUAAUUAAUACCAAGUCAUUGACAGAUCAACAAUAACUGCCACAAAAGCCUAGUCACCAGACGUGUAGUUUUGCAUAUAUGAAGUUAAUGAAAGAUAUGUAUAAUUACAAAGGAAAAAGUCUUUUUAACAACUCUUUUUUAACAACUUUUACGUGGCAGUCUAUGAUUGGUCCGUUUCAAAUAUUUUUUUAAACAUAAAUUUAAACAUACCAAUAAAAUGAUGACACGUGUCCUGUUAUCAAAAAAUUGUUAAAAAAGAGUUGUCAAAAUAUCAUUGUCCAGUUGCUAAAGUAAAGGAAACAAAAGUAAUGGAGCUUUGGGUGCAAUCAUGUGCAUGUUGUAUACUUAAGCAUCUUACCUUGUUAUCAUUACUCUGACCCAAAAUCAAUCAAUUUGCUUUCUAUAAAAAACAAGCAUCUUACCUUUUAAUGAAAUAUUAAAUACCCAUGAUAUUAAAAGCAUGUAAAUAAUUUGUAACACUUUCAAAGGUUCAAACAUUGAACUUUUAGGACAUCCUAUUUGAGGUUCUAACAUUGUUUUCUUAUGUGUGAGAUCCAUUGCAUUGUAUUGUCAUCUCUAUAUUUCAAAAGCCUGACAAUUUUUACUGUUUAUAUCAGUUCCAUGAAAAACAGUGAUUAUGUUCAUUCAGAAUUGCAUUUAAUUGGGAAGAUAAGAAAGAGUGGUAGAAGAAGUGAAGAAGACCCCACUGUAAUUGCCUCAGGCAAAGCAGAGAGAUUGAUCAGGAAUGAUGAUUUUUCUUUGUUUUUUUAUUGAUUACUUGCAGAGAGAGAGCGCCUAACAUUAUACUUAUUCUAGAGAAAUGAAGAAGAAAAGUCAGCUACCUACUACACAAAUGAUGCCAAAGAAUGAUAGAGAUUGAGUGAACCAACACUACCUACUUUUAUUAACUAUAAAAAUCAAAACUUUUAAUUAGUUCUUUUCAGUACCACUACUAUUAUUUUCUCUUUAAUUAACAAAUUAUUCAAGCUGCACAAAAUACUCUAAAAUCUAACCAAAAGUUUUAUGAUGUUUAAAAAUAACUCAGAAACUAAAGUAAAAUAUAAUUUAUGAAGUAAAUUUGGCAUGCUUUAAAUAGUAAACUAGCUUCAUAUUGGAACACAUCAUUCAAUCAAAUUUCAACUUUCAAAAGCUGAUGGUUUAUCGGGUAACUUUGCGUGAAACUUGUUAAGAAAACAAAAACAAUGACAGCAAAAUGACGUGAAUAACCUGUUUAUUUUCUGACAGGAGCAGUAAUUGCUUUUACUUUUAAAAUAUUCAUUUUUUUAACUUUUCUUAUAUGUACGUAGAUGAAAGGAAAGAGGUGGACCCCACCUGCCGACACAUACAAUACUGUUUAAGGGAAUGAAGACUUAUAGGUCAAAGUGAAGUUACCUAAACAGAUUAAAGUUUUUGGUAAAUUAGAUCAUUUUUACUUUAUAUUUAUAUAAUUUAUUUAGAAUUUUCAUAUUAUUUAUAUUUUCAUAAAGUCAAGUAAAUGAUCAAAUUUACUUUGUGAAGUUAACUUUUCAAAAUUAUUCUUGUUUGUUUAGUCUUCUUGAACUCUUUACUUCUGUCAUUAAUAAUGUGAUGUUUUAUUAUCUUGAAGAUAUAUUUUCAUUUACACUAUUAUUAAGAACAAGAAAAAAAAUUCUUGUGAUUUGUAUCUAUUUGACGUAUCAGACCAGAGAGAUCAACCUAAAAGAAUUUAUUAAGAAAAAAUUAUAAUUUAGUCAAUUUUAAUUUAUACUUGUACCAAAAGAGGCAUGUGAACCUCAUGCCUACUAGUAUUAGCUAUGUUUGGAUGUAACUGUUAUUAUAUAAUUCCUCCUUAAUCAUUUUGGAAUAACUUGAUUAGUUAUAUUUUUCUAGUUGAGAAUUUCUCAACAUAUUGCAAUUACCUAGGGUUAAUUAAUUAUUAUAAUUAUGGAUUGAUAUAGAACCAAUAACGGUAAUGAUAUGAAUAAGAAAGGGUCAUUGGGUCCUAGUUAGAGGCAACCAGACCCAUCAGACUAAGGGUACAUGAUUUUGGAAGGGAUUUUUAUAAAGUCAGAUUCUUCAAUUGCUAAUUUUUCACCCUCUCUCUAAAAACCCUUAUCCUAAAUAUUGCUCUGUCUUAUCUCUAAAAUACCACUCUGUUGAAUCGUCCAAUCUUUGGUAAAGAAGGUACAUAAACACUCCUAAUGUAGAGGGUUUCAUUCUGAACCGAUUACUUUCUCCGUCUCCUUCCGGUAAAUGGUUCUCCUGUUUCUUCCGUUAUUUUCGAAACCUAGGGCUUGGGUUUUACUGAUCUCAUGCAGUUAGAACCUUCCCUUCUUUGAUUUCUAUUAUAUUCUAGCUUUAAGAGUUGUUUUCCAUCGUCUCUUUGAGAGCCUUUCUUUGUUGGUAGGAUAGAGAAACCUUAAAAACCUGAGUUGGCACAUCCCUGAUCAUAGAGCAGCCCUGGCCUGAUCCAGUUAGUUGUGACUAGUCAUAUGUGCUGGCACCAAAGGUGAGUCUGAUGCGUUCAGAAAUCUAGGUCCUCUCCGGUGACCAAUUGGGGUAUAAGGAGGGUUGGGGGAAGGUAAGAUCUCCACUCUAAUAACAAUUAGAUAAACAGUUUAAUAAUUGGGAAACAUUUUAGGUUGGUUAAGGGGAAGUAAGGAGAGCUAACUCUAUUUUGUUUUGUUUGGUGUGUUUGAUGUGUGAUUUACUAACUAAACCGAGCUGAAUAAUGUUUAAAAAUCAUAAUUUACAGUAUUCAUAAUUUAUGUACAUUUGCUAUUAGAUAUGAAAGAAAAAUUGGUUCCAAAAGAAAUGCCUUUUUCUUUCUUUAGAAACAUUUGUAUAUGAUUGUAUCUAUAUUCUAUUGUUACAAACGUUUCUUUUUAUUUACAAAUUUAGACAAUCACAACUAAAUUUUAAAAUUGUCCUGAAGAGUCUCAAUAGUUCUUCCUUAAUUUUUGCCAUGUCUUUAAAUGUAUGUUAUUAUAAAUUUAAAUUAUGUUAAUGUUUUAUAUGCAUAUUAUAUUUUGAAUUUCAUAUUUAUUAGGACAUUUCAGAUUUAAUAAUAAUAAUAAUAUAUUUUGGAAUAAGUGAUAAUAAAUUGAAUAAUUAUAUUGGUAAUGAGUAUUGUGUUAUAAGUCUUGUGUUGGAUAAGUAAUACAUCUUGUGGAGAUUAUGUAUAUGUUGAUUGUGGCAAAAAUAUAUGAUUACAAAGUGUAAAAGUACGAUUAAAGUGGUAAACCAAGUUUCAUCUAUGUAGAAUCUCUUGGUGAGAUUCUUAGUGUUUUAGAAUGAAAGUAGGAGUUCAGUCUUGUGGGUCUUCUUGACGCUCCAAUGGCCUUUCUUCUCAUGUAGAGAGGAUUAGACUGUGUGGUGAGGAGUAGCAGGAGGUCUUAGUCUUGGAGGCUUCCAUCAUGCUCCAGAGCGCGGAACAGUCUAACCUCGUGAGUGUGGCAGGGCGGGAGAGCCCAAGGCGGUAGAGCCUAAGUAUCACAAGCCACCACGGGUGCAUGACCCACCAUAGCUCGACUAUCAUUCUAAAGUCCGGACGAGUCAAGUCUAGUAUUUAACAUGAUAGGAUGAAUGUUUUAUCUUGUUUGCUUUAAAUCAAUAUCUUGUAUGUACAUACUCUUAAUUGUAUGCUUUUUAUAUAAUUAGCUCACCCUUGCAAUUGCUUGUGUUUGUGCCAUGUUUGCGUUUGUUUCCCUUGCGAUAAUCAUCCACUUGUAUGGGAGCAGAUGGCGAGGAGAUACUUUGGAAACAACUCUUGAUGGAAAGGAAAUGUUGCUGCCUAGUUCUCUAGGUUUUAAUUAGAAAUUUUGUCAUGUUCUAAGUUUUAAAUUCUCUGUAUUUUAAGGGAGAAACUCUAGUAUUCCAAGUUUAUGUAUUAUAUUGUUUAAGGAUGACUGUAAUCUUAUUACUCUUAACUGCUUUCUAGUAUUAUUCAUGGUGACUCCUUUAUUAUAUUAUAUAUCUUUAUAAUAUAUAUAAUUGGGAUGUCACAAUAACUAUAUUUUGUUAAAAUUAAAUAAUAAUAAUAAACAAUCAAAUUAUUUAUUUUUUAAUAUAUUUUAAAAAAAUAUAUAUUACUUUAGUUUUAAUUUGUAUAAAAAUAUAUUAAUCAUUUAAAACUAAUUAAUAAUUUUUUAGUAUAUAAUUUGUAUUAUAUAACCUUCCCUCUAACCGUGAAUUAAAAGAAAUAUGAUUAAUUAAAAGAUAUUGAAUAGUAUAAUAUUUGGUGUAAAUAAGUGAAAAUAAAAGAAAACUUUAUCUUAUUUUAUUUUUCUUCAACCAAAUAAUUUAAUAAUUUAUUUUUUACUUUUUAUUUUCUUUGAUGCAUUUCUAAAACUAAUUCACAUGCGAUCGUAAUAUAACUUAAAGUUUAUAAUCUGCUGAUUGUUUACAAGUCAGUUAAAAUAAAUCAUGAGUUAUUAGCCAUCGUUUAAGUUAAAAGUGCACUGAUUUAUAUAUUUUAGACGUAGAAAUCAAAAGAGACAAAACAUAAUUUAUAUACUUAACGACCCAAUACGAUCCAAAAAAAGUGGUAAGAAAAAAAGUUUAAGUUAUGUUUAUAUUGUUGCAAUAUCAAAAAAUGAAGUAUUUGUUAUAAAUCCAUAAAAAACGUAAUAUAUGUAAAAUGUUCUUAUACAUACACCAAAUAUAUCUCAUUCCUAGUAAUAAAUUACUAUUGCAAUAACUCUUAAAUAAGAUAUGAGUGAAAAGAAAACAAUAAAUUAAAAUAAAUAAUGUGACAAUUUAUACCAGUAUAUAUUAUUCUUAACCAAUUCAAUAAUUAACACCAAAUGCUAAUUUAACAAAAUUAACGGGUGAAUUAAAAACUCUUACUAUUUAAAUCAUUAUAGUAAAAAAAACUGUAAUUAAAAAUAUUUUAUAUUCCAUUGUCUUGCAUAAAAUUUAGUGCUAUAUACACCUUUAAAAAUGACAAAUCCAGAAUAAUUUAGUUAUAUUAUUAUUGUUAUAAAAAUCUUACAAUAUUAGUGGGAGCAAUCGGAACGAAAACAUGUGAAAUAAUAAAUAAACCUAUAAAAAUCACAUCAUAGAAUGCAAAACUAUAUCAUAUGGGAAUUUCUUGUACAAAAUUUACAGAAUGAAUAAUUUUUAGCACCACGUGUGCAUAUAUAACAGAUCAUAUGCUAGCACAAAACAAACUAUACGGCUAAUUAUCUACAAAUUCAUAGCCACGGUUUCUUUUGCCUUUAUGUAGUUGUAUCAAAGGAUUUCUUUUAAGUAAAUAACCCUUCAGAAAAAUAGUUUCAUAAAAAAAAAGUCAUUAAUAAUAGCAUAAUGGUACUUUUUAUUUAUAAAAGUAUUUUAAGCACACUACAAUUCAAACUUUAUAAAUCAUAAAUUUGGAGGAGUUGUUUCUACAUUACAUACUACUAUUUAAGAUAAGCUUUCUUUAGUUUUUCAUAAAUAUCUUAAAAGACAUAUCAAUAACGAUUUCUAAUUGAGUGAUAAUAUAGAUAACUUUAUUUAACACAAUAUAAUUAAACUCUUGCUACAUCUACCUAUUCGAUGAAAGGUGAAGGCUGUAGAAGUGGAAACACAAUUUCAAGAUAAUCCAAGUAGCUAUCACAUUCCCAGUCUUCUGAAUUAGAGCCUUGGCCCCAUAACCCUGAAGCUAAUAACAGUUCUCACAAACACGACCAACAUAGCAAGAUAAUAUUAAAAAUAAAAACCUUUAUUUGAGCAAAAAAAAUAAAAAACGCUAAUCAGGUUCAAACUAAAAUUAUCAAUAUUUAUACAACACAGUAAAUUGACUAGGCCCAUCCCAAAAAUCUCCAUGUUAGAUUUGCUCAAAAUGCAAUUGUAAUUUGAUCUCAGCCAGUUAAAAUACUAUGUGCACCUAGGGAGCUCAAUUAAUUAGGAUUGUAGCCAGGAGGGAGAGACUAAAUAUGCAGGUGAACAUCAACUCUGAACAUUCUCACCUCAGAACAGUAGUAUGGGAUAAAGAAAAGUAGGACAUUAUGACCAGCAUAAAACCUGGGUGAACUAAUUCAUCACCUCUUGCCACGAGGUCCAGGUCCGGAUCUGGGACCGGGAAACCGAGAAAACUGAAGCCGCAAGUGGCUAGACUCAGGAUUGAGUUCAUCAACUUUAUAACCUGUGUCAUCACACCACAAUGUCAGCAAACACUGAAAUUUGGGUACAUAAUUAUUUGAAAAAAAUCAUUGACUACUGAGUUCAAAUCCUACAAUACUGACUCACUGAGAUCACAAGGAACAACGCCACUAGCUUGAAGACAUAACUUAAUCUCAGAUCAAGUUUCUACUAUAAUUUUUAUUUACCAUUAGAUUCUCCUUUCCAAUAAUGACCAACUUCCAUAAAUUGUGUGGAGGAAUUUUUUAAUAGUUCAACUUGUCACCAUUUUAAUUGGAGAACUUAAUGACAAUGAUGUAAGAAACGUUAUUAAAAUUUUGUACACAAGUAUGCUGACCACUUGAACAGCAGCUGACUAUGUGGCAGAACAUUGGGACUUUACGUAUCAUAAAAAAAAAAAAAAUAUCUUCAUGUUAAAAUUAGACACACGAGAUGGGUGAUUGCAUUUUCCAAAGUGAUGAUAACAACAUGAAAACAAAUAUUAAUAGUAUCUCCGUAUGUGUUCAUUUUAUGUACUUUGGGAAUGAAAGAGGAUAACAAAUGGGAACAAGGAAGUUGGAAAUCAUUUAUAACGUGUUCACCACUUCAGUUCUAUGAAGUAACCAGUUUGAAUAAACCACUAAGUCACAGAUAACUUUCAUAAAGAUAUUCAAUUUAACAGUGUUUACCAAUUUCCCAUUUUAAAUGCUCAGUUAAAUACAAUAUACAGUAAUAUCAUAAUUAGAUAAGCACAUCAUACUCUAACACUUGUUCAUAUGGAAUUUUAUUGAUAAAUUUAGUGCAACUUUAAAAUGUUUUACCCCGUUACAAUUCAAAAUUUUAUAACAAAACAUUAAGUUUAUUUGGUUACAUUUUCAAAUGUGACUUAUUGCACUCUUUACGCUAUUUUCAGAAGCUCACGGUUACAACUUCAAAUUCUAAAUGUCAUUCCUCCCUUUUCAACGAGUUCCCAAACACUGACAGAAUUCAGGAACAUAAUAGCCACAUAUUGGUUCAGAAGGCCAAAAUACAAGGUAAUUCUACAAUUUUCACAACCUCCAUCAAGUCCCCUUUUAUGAGGAGAUGAUUUCCUAUACGAUGACUCGACAAUCAAACAUGAAAUUAAUUUCAUUUUAUCUCAGCAGGUAACAAGAAGUGAUACCUUGCAGUGCACUCAGAGCAGUUGCUGCACAAGCCGGAUUUGCAAAAUCCACAAAACAAAGGAUUAGAGGAUCUCCUCCACGCUGCAAGAAGCAUGCAUUUCAGCAUAAAGGAUAUGAUAUUUCAUUCAAUCAGCAGAACAACGAGAUACAAAAUAAUAGAUGGCAAACAGACAACUUACGUGUUUCGAUUCUUUGCUCACAAGUCUUACUUCUCUAUAUCCAACAAAAGGGCGAAAAAUAUCUUAAAAUGGCGUUAAGGAAUUUGAAAAGCUAUAAUAGAAAAAGGAAGCUUACAAGACAGUUGACAGUAUGAUAAUACAAUUACUAAACAUUAUGGGAGGGAAAAAGGAUACGAGCCACUUCCCUUCUCGUGCUAUCAGAUGGGAGACCUUCAACAUAUAAAGUACUGGAUGCAUCUGGCGGUAGAGGUACAGUCUCUGGUCCAGGCAUGGAAGCUGUGUCUACUGGUAACUGACCACCAUAAUUGACAUUCCGUCCAUUUCGUGCAAGAUCAUGACCACCACCAGGAUGCCCCAUAACACCAGGAUCAGUUAGCGAAUGGCCUGGCAAUCCACCAACACCCCUUGCCAAUCCAACACCACCAAUUGCACUGGCUUCCCCAGAAUUAAACGAAGUAAGCUGCUUUUAUCAACCAAAAAGAAGUUUUAAUCAAACAAGCUGUGAAAGCACAUCAUCACAUAUUAUGUAAAAAGAACAGGCUAAUAUACCCCUGCACUUUGAAGGUAGCGGUCAUAUGCAGAUCCAAGUGUUUUAGUGUCCUUUAGCAUUCGGUGACCAGUAUGGUCAUCAUUUCGAGCAAUAUAAUUAUGCAUCUCAUUGCCUCCCGAAGUCAGACCAGAAGGUGACAUAUCUGCAAUGUAAAAGAAUCUAGCCUUUAUAACUCUAGUAAAACAAACAGAAGCUGAAUACACUGAAUUAGAGAAGUUUUGAUCAUAUGCAAUGUUGUAUACCAUAGCCAUCCCUCCAAUGCUAACCACUAACAGUACAAAAAACAUCUAGUAGCAAAUAUGCCAGAUGCUGGCAAAACACAGGUAACUAAACAGCACAUGACCCAUAUUUAGUGCUCAUAAUAAUACAAAGAGUAGAGUGCACACACAAACAUGUUUUUUUGUCACCUAUCGAACUAGCAGUAAUCAGAUCCUUACACACCAAGUAGCAUAAAAAGUCAACCAUAGUUACUUGACUAGUUGUAUUAGCUUAACCACUCAAACUAUAGUUCCAGGAGACUGCUAACACACUAAUACUUUCACAACUCUAAGCAGUUAACUGGCAUGUACUAUCCACCAUGUUUGGUCUUCUUCCUUGUAAGAGAAGUCAAUUCAUUUAGUUAAUAUUCUCUUUCAUUGUCUCUCCAUCUCUAUAGCGCUCACUACUAACUUUUGUCACGGGAUUGAGAGCUUUUCUUGGAUCUAUUUCCAUACCAUGGCUUUACCACUUAACCCAUUCCAGUCUUCAGAUCGAACAACAUCACUUGGUGGAUCAUCUACUCAACCCACUCUCCUGCUCAUGUCUCAUUCUCACACCCAAUUUCAACAUAACUUGAUGAAAGAAAUUUCCUACGUAGGCAACAGUAAGCACAGGCUAAGUAUUAUUAUGACCAUAAAAUUCCCAUACAAGUUAGGGAAGUUGUGCUUUCUGACAUGAAAGUUAGUUUUGUUUGAAGUAAGAUUGGAAGGAUCAAAUGCACUAUUCCAUGGCUACUUCACCAAAAGAAUAUCUUCUGACCAGAAAGUCAAUGGAUGCAAACAUUCCUAGCAGAUCUGAAAAUUUUCAGAAAUUACAUUUAUUUGCACUUGUGCUAAGGUGUGUCAAUUCAGAUCUCAAUUGAAACAAGAAAAUGAGCAAUUAAUUUCUGAGCAUCUGCCUUGAUUAAAUCCAUCAUCAAUUCCUUGAUCUAUCCAUCAAUGAUCCACUUUCAUCUUGUUACCUCAAUAAACACCAUAAUUGAUCCAUACGAGUAUUGACACAUAGCAUCUUGUUCGGGAAGCACAACUGGUAAGCAUCAGCAAUGCACUCUUUCAAAUGUAGCUCGAUUUUUCAAAGAGAGAGUGCUGCAGUUUCAAGCAUUCAUCACUCAGCACGACUGCCCUGGUCACCUUAUCUUCAAAAUGUUCCCCAGGAAGCUGUACUUCAUUAGGCUGUGUCAGAGAUCGUGAAGGUCAUGCAGAUUGGUGAUGCUCGAUUUCUUGUCAAUUAAGUUUGGUCAUGAUGCCACAAUUGCUAUCACUAAUUUGAUAAUAAAUUGUUCAAACAACUUGCUUAUUUACUUUCACCCAACCAACACAUACUACUCCGCACUGCAGUGCCAACCAUUGGGAUACACUCCAGCUUUGGCUCAAAACAAAAGUACAACUCACCUACUCCUGGUUUCCAUGGGGCACCACCUUUGGGAGCACUUUAAUUCCUGUUUACACUAAUUAACAAAUCCAACAGUACAAAGUCAUUCCAACCCAUUCAACUCCAAGCAUUUCCUAGCAAAGGUACACACUUCCACCUUUACUCAAACUGGAAAGGUUUUCCAUUCAAAUAUAGUUUCCAGAAUCAAGUCAAUCACCAUCUAACUACAGGAUCUGCAGAAUUUAUUCAAAAACUAGUCUUAUCAGGCAUGGCAAAGAUUUCGAUACACAAUGGAUAAGUAAGGGACAACUCUGCUUACUUUGACUUCCAUCCUUCCAUCUCACUUAUUUUGUCCAAUUCCGAAGGUGUUCUUGAUUCAAAUGGGCUCUAUCAAUUUCAUAACAUGUAAAUUACUUCCUCUUGUACUACAAGAGAACACACAUAUUAGACACAGACAAAACAGGAUUUUUCCCUUUUCCUCAAGUCUCAUUACAGUUUAUAUUUUUCAAUUAUGUUUUUCUGCUAUAAACUUAAUAUACAGAAUAAAAAAUGUAAAGGCUUCAAAAUGAAACAGCAAUCACUCUUUACUCAGAAUGCUCACUAAUGGGUCAACAUUAGAAAGACCCAAAAGUCAAAACCCAACAGUAGAAGUAAGGAUCCUUCAGAGAUGGAAGGUGCACCAGAGAAAGAGGCGUCUAACUGUCCUGCAUUAUGACAUGUUGUAUUGACUUCUUCAAAGAAGGAGAGUGAGACAUGUAUAUUUCACCAUGUCUAGCAUGUGAAAUAUAACAGGUAGGGGGCUGAGUUCCAUAGUGAUGCUCCUUAGGAAAUGUUACGAAUUUAUGAAAAUGGCAAAAGGAAAGAAUUACAAGUUCCAACAGAAGAGAUUUUGAUUGUUGAGAAAAGGAAAAUACAAGUCAGCACAACUGCAUGCACAAAUCAUUCUUACAUCAAUCCCUCGAGUUCUUGUAUAUGAAUCUCCUUACACAUGACACAUUGAUAAAUACGUUAGCAAAUGAAUCACCCCAACACUAACAAUAAAAGUCAUACUCUUGUAGAAUGAAUACUCAGAGUGAGUACAUAACACACUUUCUGUGUAUAGAUUGUCUUUUACUACAAACAAAAUAAUCAUCAAGAUAUAAUUCCUUCAAAGCUUCCUAUUUGCUAUAACAUAUACAGAAUAUUACAGCUCAAUGUUGUACAAAGGCUUCAUGUCAUGAUGACGAAAACAAUGACGAAACCAUAGCAAGAUGCAAUGUUGACGCAGAAUACUAAGAUGUUAUAUUUGAGUAAGAAACCAAACGUGAAAAUAGACAAACAUAAGAUCAUAAUUCAAAGAAAAGAAAACUAGAAAGCUCAAAAAAAGCUAGGAACAUUGAGAUUAGCCAAUAGAAUUUUCAAACACACCACAAACAGAAAUCUUGAAGAUGGAUUAGAAGUUCAAAAAUUGAGAAUGCAGUCCAAAGGGGAUGCUGAGCUUUGAAAAGGAAGGUCAUAUUGGUUUAAAAAGUCAAAGUAUGAGCAGAUUAUCAAGACAGUAGAAAUUAUGUUAAAAAAACACUAUGAUCUGGUCUAGAAAACACUCCUGCAUCCCAGAAGUUCACAAGUAAUUCCAGUAAUGGUCCUUUCCUCACAAUGUUGAAUGGAUUUUGGAAAUGGCCAGAGACACCUAGGAUCAUAUGAUCCUGAGUAUUACCAUAAGGCUACAAAACACACUGUACCAAAAGAAUUUUCAUAAAUAUAGGCAGGUUGCAAUAAUCAGCACAUAAAAUAGUAUAAGUAGUUUAAUUAAAUAAUAUAUUUUGGAUCAUUUUAUAGAUGAACUCCAUGAAUGCUGUCACAAGUCACUGUUCCACCCACUUGAAAAUCCCAGCCCAAAAGUAUACAGAAGGAUACUCCCGUGACACAAAUUGGGUCCCGGAAAAAUUUAAUCUUCAAGAGCUUCAAAUCAUAAAAGCACUUCUUUUAAGGUAUUAUAUCUCAAAGCCCAACAACACAUCCAUAUUCUAUGUUUGUCUAUGCACAUCCAAACUCAAUAACAUCACCACUUCGCUUUGUCAUCUCAAAAACGGAAAUAUAAAGAUUUAAAAACAAUAGAGACAAUCAAACAAUUGACCAAAUCCUAAACCAAUGAAACUAAAAAGGGGUGACUCCAAACCCUAACUUUGAAUUUUUAAAUAGAAAAGUGAAGGAGAGAUAGGAGAUAACCAUAUUCAGUACGAGGUCGUUUGAGCAUUGCGGUAGAGGGCAGAAGCGGCUGUUGCUGCUGCCGAUUCCAGGAGCCAUCAGUCAUGACGAGAGAAACGAUGGAUUUCGCAGAUCUGAUGAACAAUGGUUAUGAUUAUGACUACCGGGUGAAGAUUGAUGGAGAUCCAAUUACAAACCCUAAUUUGCUCAAUACCAAACCCUAGCCUUUGUCCUUCUACAAAAGAGACAAUUUUUUUAAGAGAACUCAGUUUUUUUUUUAAGGAGAUGGUGUGUGGGGUUACAAUUUAGUUUUUUCCAAAUUUCCAUUACCAUAUGCAAAUUUAAAAUGCAUACCACAUAAGAUAAGAUUAGAUGAAUUUAAUUUAAUAUAUAAUUUUAAUUCUAAUAUCUUUAGCUUGCACAAUAAAUUAAUCUUUUUAAGAGAAAUUGUAUUCUUCUCCCAUAAUUUAAUUUUUGUAAUUUUAUUUACUAUAAUAGAAAUGAGUAUCCUUCUAUUAAAAAUAUGAUAAAAAUAUGAAAUUAAUUUAUUAGAGUAGAAGACGAGGGAAUAUUUUCCCCAUAUUGGAUAAUGUUUCAAUGGUCAUUUUUCAUAAAGGAAAAUCUAUUUUUUUUUUCCACUGUAACAUCUUUUAUUUUAAUAUUAGUUAGAAAAAAAAAUAUUUUAUAAUUAUUAUCAUAAAAUAGAAACGGGAAAUAUAAUUUUUAUAAUUUUAGUUGUGACUUAAAAUAUGUUCCAAAAAUAACAUUGUAUAACCAUGAAAAUUGUUUAUAAUAACUCUAUAGUAUAAUUUAUACGGUUAAAAUAUUUGACUACUUUGAAUUGUAAUAUAAUCUUGUUAUUUUAAUUAUUUAUUAUUAUAAAAUUUAGAUGUAUAUAAAGAAAAAAUUUAGGGUUAAAUAUGUUUUUAAUUUCUAUGCUAUCAAGCGUUCUUGGUUUUUAGUCUCUAUUUGAAAGUAAGGUACAUUUUAGUCUUCCUCCUUAAGGAAAUUUUGAUUUUAGUCCUUCAAAACUAACAAUGUUAAAAACCAGCUGACGUAACUAAGAGCAGACUGACCCGAUUUUUUUUCUUGUAUUGUGUCAAUGUUUCUAACCUUUUCUUCCUCGUCUCUUCCUUCCGUCUUCCACUCAACCUCGUCUCUUUUUUCCUUCUAUCUUCUCACUUUUUCUUACGCUGAAAAUGGUGUAAUCUCAUAGGGUAGUUCUACUGUUAAUGUCAAUUUUGUAAAUGCAACAUGAGAGAAGGCAGAAGAGCUAGCUUCAGACGUUAAGAGUAUUACCCAGUUGUAAAAUGAAUAUGUUGUUCCCUUUGGGCUCUGGGAGGUACUUCCAUUCUCUUUUUGGUUAUUUAUUGACGUCGUUUUGUUUUGUUUUGGUUUAGAUUGUUGCAGUUUUAAAUUUAUUUUGUUGUUCUUGUUCUCAUUAUUUUUAGUUUUGAACUAGAUCAAUAUCUUUAAAAGCUUGAUAUGAAAACUACUAGAUAUAAUUACAAGUCUUUUGAGCUUUAGUAUCUAGAUAUCGAUGGCAACCGAGAUUCCAAUGGUGUAGGAAAGGAUUCAUUGUUAGGUCCUCCUUGCCCAAGGAAGAAACGGUCUAUUUUUGUUCAUCUCCUUCCUUUUCUUCUGAUUAUUUUUUUAGCAUAAUCAAACUGUGAAAAUAUACUUAUGAUUUCUUUUCUUUCAAAUGAUACAAAGUUAUAUAAAGGGAAGUUCUGACUUUUUUUUUUCUUUUCUACUGCAUAUUCUUUCUAUAUUUUCAAACCAAAAGGGCGUUUCUGAUUUUGUUGUAUCUUUUUUUUUUCUUAUGAGAAGAUUUAGUUGCAUUUGUCACUGUACCACUGGGCGAUUUAGUCAGUGUUGUUUUGUAGUAUUUUUGCUAAAAAGAAACGAGGUUGGUGGAAGAUGGAAAGAUGGAAGGAAAAGACGAGGGAGGAAAGGUGAGAAACACUGGAAAAAAAUCGUGUCAGUCUACUGUUAAUCACGUCAGCUGGUUUUUAACGGCAUUAGUUUUUGAGAACUAAAAUCAAAGUUUCCUUAAAGAGAAAGACUAAAAUGUACUUUAUUUUGAAAAAGCGACUAAAAAAAAACGCUUGAUAAUAUAGAGACUAAAAACAUAUUUAAAAAAAAUUAUUUUGUACCGUGCAUCCUAUAAUAUUAAUGUUAUACUAUAUAUAACCAGAUUUUUAAAUAGAAUGUAUAGUACUCAAAUUCAAAUAUAUUUUAAAAUAUUGAAUUGUUUUCUUUUCUCAAGUUGUAGUAGAAUAAUGUAUUUUAUAUUGAAGAAAAAUCUUCUUAUAAAAUAAUAAAAUGGUAUAAUUAUAAUAUUAUAAAUAUAUUUUUUUAUUUUCUAUACUAUAUGUAUUAAUUAAUCACUUAUUAAUUAAGCUUAAAUUAUAUUUUAGAAUGUUAUAUAUAUAUAUAUAUAUAUAUAUAUAUAUAUAUAUAUAUAUUUGUUAUUUAAGAUUUAAAAAAUUAGAGCAUCCAGCAACUAAGUACAAUGGUCUACACCCACCCAUUUAUUCUCUCCGAGGUAGACAAUUAAUAAUUUAAGUUGACUUAAACAAUGGAUGAAAUAUUUCAAAUCUUUAAGUUCAAGCAUCUACAUUAACUAUCAUUUUGGAAAAGUUUAAGGUCUUCAAAUGAGAAAAAAAAAACAUGUUCUUUUUACAUAGAUUUUAACUUAUUGUCAAGACAAUACAAAACGAAUUCCAGAAUGUAUAAAGUUUAGGUGCUUAACUUAAGUUGAUUAAAGUAUCAGAUAAAAAAAAUUACAAAACAAUUGACUUGCUGCAUAAAUGACAACCUUAAAUAAUUAAUGUCAACAAAUUUAACUAAUGUUAAUUCAGACACCAUUUAAACAAUCUCUCCCUUUUUACAUUAUCUUUAUGUGAACUCAAAUACUUAUCAUUACUUAUAAUCUUAAUAUUUGAUUGGUUGAACUUUUAUUAGAUGAAUAAAGAGUUCUAGUGUAGAAUUGUCUUUUAACGUCAUCCCUUAGACGUAAGUUAAGCGGUGACCCGUCAUAAACUAAUGACCGGUGACACUUUCGUAAAUAAGCUGUUAAUAUAGACGUCAGUUAAGAGGGGUCCUGACGACUAUAAUAUUAUAGACGUCGGGGCCCUCAUAACCGAUGUCUAUAGGUCCUCAUAUACGUCGGCUCCCCCGAAUAGAUGCCAAAACUAAACGAAAAAGUUAAUAAAAAAUAAUUUUUUAUUCUAUUUAGACGUCUGUUAUGGGGGGAACGACUUCUAAAGCACUUUAGAUGUCACUUAUUUAGGGAACCGACGUCUAAACCCUAAACCCAAAAAUUUAAAAACUCAUUUUUUGGCUCCAUAUAGAUGUCUGAUCUCGCCACUCCGACUUCUAAAGCAUUUUCGACGUCUGUUAUUGGGAGAACCAAUGUCUAAACCUUAAACCCAAAAAUUUAAAAUCUCAUUUUUUGGCUCCAUAUAGACAUCUGAUCCCGCCACUCCGACUUCUGAAGCAUUUUAGACGUCAGUUAUUGGGGAACCGACGCCCAAACCCUAAACUCAAAAAUUUAAAAAGUCACUUUUUGGCUCCAUAUAGACGUUUGAUCCCGCCACUCCGACUUCUAAAGCACUUUAGACGUCUGUUAUUGGGGGAGCCGACGUCUAAACCCUAAACCCAUAAAUUUAAAAAGUAACUUUUUUACUCCAUUUAGACGUCUAUUAUGGGGGGAACCGACUUCUAAAUCACUUUAGACGUCUGUUACAGGGGAAUCGACUUCUAAAUGUCGGCAUUAAAAUACCGUGAUCGCGAGACAGCCGUUACGCGCACUCAUUGUUCAUCAUCUUCGUCGCGUUUUCUCUCUACAAGUUACACUUUUCAGGUUCGUUUUCUCACUUUUGCGCCGUUUUAAAUUAGUUUUACUCCGAUUACAUCAUUAUUUGAUGCAUUAUCUUUCAUUUGAACCGAUUAAAAUGCAUUUUCGUUGGGUUUUGGUGCACUUAUUCUCGUGUCCUUGGGCGACGUUCUUUGGCAGCGAUUUCUUGCGUUUUGCACUCUCCAAUUCCCUCCACUACAUUUUUAAAACCAUAUAAUAAAAAAAAUAUACAAUACAUUCUCUUCAACUAAAAUAUAAAGUUGUAAACUUAAAUCACCAUCAGACCUAUAUGGAUCAAACGUCUAUAUAGGCGUCUGACCUAUAUAGGUUCGACGUCUAUAUAAACGUCAGACCUAAAGGGUCGGACGUCUCAUUAACGUCACCCAUAUAGACGUCGGACAGAGAUAAAUUGUUAAAAACCCAAAAUAACAGACGUCUAAAGUCCUUUCUGCAUGUUGUAAAAUAAGUAUUCUAUCACGUGUUAAGAGAGAGUUAAUAUUGACAUUUAUUUAAAUGUAAAACAUAUAAAUUGUAUUCAAUUGAAAGUUUGUAUUGUGGUUUAAGUGAAAGUUGUAACGAGUUAUGUUAUUGAUAGAUUAAUAUGAAACAUGUAAAAUAUACAUAUACUUAAUAAUGUUAAGUUGUAAGUAAUAUGAAACUAUGUACCUUGUGUUUUCAGAUUUUGUUGUGGUAUCACACAAACAUAAAUAGAGUUUGAAAAUGUGAUGAUAAGUACUUUUAAGCAUGACAUUUAUAAAGUAAUAAAAUAAGAUAUUUUCCUUUUUCUAAUGAAUUACUCACAAAUGAAAUUGUAUGUUGUGAGAAACUAGAAAAAGAUUAUUGUGUAACACUCCGGCAACUUACAGGGACUGUUGACUGCCCUUACACAUCACCAUGAGACUUUCCAAUGUGCUUUGCCCUCACUCGCACACUUUCUGGGAAAACUUCCCGAAAGGUCACCCAUCCCAGAAUUUCUCCAGGCUAAACACGCUUAACCAUGAAGUUCUUAUGGGUUAGACUUCCGAAAAGUAAAUACAUUUUGGUGAUAUGGGUAGCCAAAUCAAUUCCUUUAAGCUAUCCUUCAACUGUAUAGUCUCAUACCUAUACUUAACCAUGAAAUUCUUAUGGGUUAGGCUUCCAAAAAGUAAAUGCAUUUCGGUGAUAUGGGUAGCCAAAUCAAUUCCUUUAAGUCAUCCUUCAAUUGUAUAGUCCCAUACCUAUACAGUCUCCAAAUCCCUCUCAUUCCAGUGUAUGUUCGAUUCGUCCAUGUGUCCCUUCCACUAGAAGCCUGCCAGGAACUGCUCUUUGUCUGUGUCCCCUGCACCAUGCCUCUUGCACCGGCGAUCACUCUCUGCCCUUGUCAGUGUCCGAGUGUUACAUAUUGCAUCAUCAUUUUCUAUAACAUCUAAGCAAUUAUUGGUAUACUAUUGGUUUUUACCAUACAUGUUUUUUUUAUAGAUCAUGCCUUAGUUUAUAUUGAAACAUAUUUAUUGUAGUAAUACAUUUAUAUUAUAAUGAUUAAAACAUGUUAAUUAAAUGAUUUGUAGGUGAAUAGUGAAUGCUAAACAAAAAGUGACCGCUAUGAGUAUUUCGAAAAUAAUUAAAACUUUUGAUGCAAAAAGUUAAGGUUGGUGAUCACAUUUCUAUAUUUAAAUUGAUAUUUCCAAUUUUAUUAUGUACAAGAAAAAAGACAUGAGAAAGUGAAAAGAGACGUUAUGUAAAACAAUAUAUAUAUAUAUAUAUAUAUAUAUAUAUAUAUAUAUAUUUCUUUUACAAUUUCAUCAAUAUAUUAUAUUUCAUUCUCAGAAAGAUUUGAAUUACUCUUACAUUAAUUAGUCGGGAUAAAUGAGUUUUAUUAUUAUUAAAAUAAUAAGAUAAAACUUUUUCAUCAUGAACUCUUUUCACCCCAAGAUUAAACCUUUAACUAUAACGUCAUCAAAUUUUCAAAAUUUAUUAGAAAAAAUUUAUAUCUUACAAUAAUAAGAAUAAUAACAAAUUAAUAUUAUUUGAUGAAAGUAUAAAAGUUAAGAAAAAUUACGAGAAAAAGAAAAUAUUUAUUUAUCAAUAAAAUAAAAUGAAUGAAUAUUAAGAUUAAGAAAUAAUCUAUAAGCAAGCAACUAUUGGUAUACAAUUCUUUCUAUUAAUUAAACUGAAGAAAUUGAUAAUGCAUUUAAUUAAAUAAUUUUUUAAAUUGUUGUGAUUGUAGGUGGUAUGUUUGUUUAAUUGUUGAUGAUAUAUUUAUGUAUAUCCAAUAGUUGAACGAAAGAGAAUAGAAAUACUAAUUUAUAUUGUUAUUAUUUUUUAAUGAAAGUAUACAUGCUAUGUUAAUAGAUUUUUUUAAAAUAUUCGUAAUUUUGUAAACGGUUUGGUGAGUGUUGUUGCAUUAAUAUAUUGUUUGUACCUACAGCUAGGUGUUACACCAUCGACAUUAAUCAAUUUUUGUUACUAGGAAGCAAUCACAAAUACUCAUUAUCCUUUAUUGUUUCAUCUUAUACUUCCAAGACUUCAUCGUGCACCUCCGACUUUUUCAAAAGAUUUACUUUUAACUGUAAUAAAUAUCUUUUUUACUUUUCACUUUCUAUUUAAAGUAAUCUUAUAUCUUUAUCUUUGCAUGUUUUUAACAAAAUUUUAAUAUUUUUAUCUUUUAUUUAUAACUUUAUAACUAUUUAAUUUAAUUUAAAAACCAAAUAUUAUUUAAUAUAUUUUUGUAUUUUAAUAAUUAAUAAAAUAUAAUUUUUUUUCGUUUAAAAUAAAUUAUUAUUAAAUUUUAAAUAGAAAAUAAAAUUUGAGAAAAAGUUAUCGGAUAUACAAAAGUUUUUAAUAAAUUUGUUUAUUAUUUAUAAUUUAUUAAUUAUUUAAUUUAAUUUAAAAAUUUAAUAAUAUUUAAUAUAUUUUACAUUUAAAUAACAAUUAAAAUAUAAUUUAUAUUAUUGUAGUUGUAAUAUUAAAAAUAUUAAAAAACUAAUAAUAAUUAAAAAACAUAAAAUUUUUCGAAUCCUAUUUUAUUAAUUUAAUAUUUUAAUAUAAUUUAGUAUUUUUAUAUAUAUUAAAUAAAUUUUUAUAUAAUUGUUUUUAUUUUUAUUAAUUUUAUUUUAAUUAUUUUAAUUUUAAUUUUAAAAAUAUAAGUGUUAUAUAAAAAAUUAAAUUAUUUGGAAUUUUAAAUAAAAAAUAAAUUUUUUUAAAAAAAGGUCAUCGGAUAUUGAUAUCCGAUAACACAUUUAUCAGAUUUCCAAUUCCGACAGGAAUGUUUUCAAAUAUUUUUUAAUUUAUAUUUUAUUAAUUAUUUAAUUUAAUUUAAAAAUUUAAUUUAAUUUAAUAUAUUUUAUAUUUAAAUAAUUAUUAAAAUAUAAUUUAUAUUAUUAUGAUACUAAUAUUAAAAAAUUUAAAAUAAAAAUAAUAAUAAUUAAGAAAUAUAAAAAUUUUGAUAUCCUAUUUUAUUAACUUAAUAUUUUAAUAUUAUUUAACUAUAUUUAUAUAUUAAACUAGUUUUUAUAUAAUUAUUUUUAUUUUAACUUUUGUAAUGUACCUAUUAUAUAAAAAUUAAAUCAUUAUUGAAUUUCAAAUAAAAAAUAAAAUUAAAAAAAAAAGUUAUCGGAUAUUGAUAUCCGAUAACAUAUUGAUAUCCGAUAACAUGCUCAUCGGAUUUUUAAUUCCGAUAACAUAGUUAUCGGAUUUUCAAUUCCGAUAAUAAUGUUUAAAAAAAUUUGUUUCUUAUUUUUACUUUAUUAAUUAUUUAAUUUAUUUUAAAGACUUAAUAUUAUUAAUUUAUUUUAUUUUAAAUAACUAUUAAAAUAUAAUUUAUAUAAUUUUAGUACUAUUAUUAAAAAAUUAAAAUAAUAAUAAUUGGAAAAUCUAAAAAUUUCGAAAUUUGAUUUCUUGAUAUAAUAUAAUUUAAUAUACUUUAUUAUAUUAAAUCAGACUUUUUGUAAUUAUUUUUAUUUUUAUUACUUUUAUUUUAAUUAUUUUANUUUUAAUUUUAGUAAUAUAAUUAUUAUAAUAAUAUAAAUUAUAUUUUAAUAAUUAUUAAAAUAUGAAAAAAUAUUAAAUAAUAUUAGAUUUUUAAAUUAAAUUAAAGAGUUAUUAAAAUAUAAAUAAAAGACAGUUUUGAAAAAAAUUAAAAAAGGAUACAGAGUUAAAAAAUGUAGGAUUAUUCUGAAUAGAAAAAAAAAAGUAAAAAGUAUAUUUACAAAAGUUAAAAAAUAAAGUUUUGAAAAAGUUAUAAAUAUAAGAUUAGGUAUUGGAGGUGCAGGAUGAAACCCCUUACUUUAAAUAGAAAGUGAAAAAUAAAAAGAUAUUUACUAAAAUUAAAAGUAAAUUUUUAAAAAAGUUGGAGGUGCAGGAUGAAACCUUUGGAGGUGUAAGAUGAAACACCCUUAUCCUUUUGGCAUUGAGCUGAAAAGGUUUGGGUGUUGCUCCCUGCACCUCCCCAUUUGCUUCCUACACCUCCCCAUUCCCUUUAUACCCUUCAGUCUAUUUUUCUAUUCCUAUUUUAUCCUUUAGUAAAAGUUUAUAUUUAGGGUAAAAAUUUUAUGAUUUCAGUUCUUCACCCCCACACAACCUAUGCAUUCAUUCUUACUCUUUUUUACUCUUUCUUUUUAGAAAUUCUAUGAAAAUGUGGUGAGUGAGAAAUUGUUUUAAAAAGAUUGGUUGAAGAAUUUUCUUUGGAAUAACAAAGUUUAAUUUUGUGUAUGGUACAGUGAUGGUGCUCAGACCUUACAAGAUGAGGUACGUAACCUUGUAAACAAAUAUGGACAUUCAUCGCCGGAUGUCAACAUCCGUUUAAGACAAAAUGGAUGUUGAGAUCCGUUUGGCAUAAAUAUUUAUUUUUGUUUAUCUUUUAUUCAUCCACUUUGUGUCUACGUCUCCAUAUAUUAUAAUCAUAACACUGACAGAUUAACUCAUUACUCCAUUGCAUAUGCGCAAUCAUCAGAGGGAAAAAAGAUGAAACUCUCUGCAAAGGUAAUUUCAUUUCGUAUUCNCAGUGGAGUAUUGAUUAUACANGCUAUGAUGCUUUUCUAUACCUCAUUUCAGUCAAGACUGCUGCAUGUAUAUAUUAUAAAUACAAAUUCCUUUCGGUGGAAAUGUUUUUAAGAAUAAAUAAUAUACAUUUAUAUAUUAUCAUCUAUUAAAAAUNAUUAUUCCUAUAAUUUUUUUCCUUUGUAUGAUAAUUAUCUGGAAAAGUAUAUCAAAAAUGUUUUUUACUUACUGCCAUGAAAUUUUUUAUACGACAAAUACAUAUUAGAUUCUAAGGUAAUAUUAUUGCCUCAUCCAAUAAUUUUUUACAUAAACUUUGUAUAUCCACUGUAUAUUUUACCUUUCUAUCUCUCUUUCUUUACAGAUACAAAAUUAACUUUUCUAAUGAUUAAAAUAACAGUGGUAGAAAAAAAAUAAAGAAAAUAGAAGUAUUUGUAUUGAGAAUUGCAGUGUAGUUAAUGACUAAUAUUCCUACAAAGGAGUGUCAUUGAUAGAAAACCACAACAAAAAUAAAGAAAAUAGAAGUAUUUGUAUUGAGAAUUGGAAAGUCCUCUGUCCAAUUUAUGGUCGAGAUGGACUUCAAACUGGGCUUCUUACAAGACGAAAAUAGAAAUUAGAAGACAGAAACUUAGUAUCCAAUUCUGAGAAGAACCAGCUCCUUACUUUGAGAACCAGGACCCACUAUGAUGGCUUACAACUUGUCUGUAAGUUAUUAAACAUUGAAACAAAAUAACCCAUCAACAAAAUAAACAGCAUCAUACAAGAAUUAAACAGAUUUGAAGGCUGCAAUCUAACAUCCAUUAACCAAAAGAAUGGUAUCAAUAAAUAAAGCAUAGCAAGUAUUAACGCAUAACACAAUAAAUGUAGUAUUAUAUAAUAUUUUAGAAAUAAUACAUCAAAUUACCACUUACCAAACUCUUUAGUCUCUCUCGCUGAAAUAGCUCUCUAUCAAUUAGACGUCGACGGAUGUCGACAUCUGUUUCAAGGCCAAACGGAUGUCGACAUUCGUUCUGACCUGAGCAGUUCACACAGCAGCGACAAGAAGCACACACAACAGCGAUAACAUGCACAGUAAAAUCAGUAAAAUCAAAGGUGAUGGAUACUAAAGGAGAAAAAAAACGAACACACCUGGAUGGAAGUAAAAAGAACCACCACAGCAACAGACGCACCACCACGAACAAUAAGAACCCACCGCACGCACCGCACCACCGCACCCCGCACCACCUCACCUCACCACCACUCAGAGCAAAGGUGAAGUGUGAAGGAUGAAGGAGAAUGAUGAAAGUCAGAGGAAGAGAGGCAGAUGUAUUGGGGGGGGUGGCUGCGAGAGAGAAAAAAUGAAUAUUUAGGGUUUGGUAAAUAAAGUUAAAAAUAAAAAUGUCAAAAGGUUAAAAAGGUAAAAUAAAAGGAUAUUUUUGUAAUUAAAUAAAAAUUAUAAAAAAUUGGGGAGGUGGAGGAAGAAAAUGGGGAGGUGGAGGGAGUAACUCCCGAAAGGUUUUCAUGGAAUGGGCCGGAUGUACAUACCUCAAAAAGCCCAACACUAUUUCUAUACAUAAGUUUUGGACGCUUCUUUCUACACUCCACAUUUUUCUUUCUGCAUCUCUAAGCUUUUUCUUUUUUUCCCAUUUUAUCCUCUUUAUAACAACAAAUCGUAUAACAUGAUAUGGAAGAACUAAUUAGAUAAAAAAAAUUCAGGAGAUGUAUUGUGAACUAGAACUAGAAAUACGGUUUUUUUUUUUAAAAGGAUAGUUGUCAGAUUUCAGAUACAUUUUAUCAGAUUUUCAAAUUUGAUAACCCUUACAAAAAUCAAAUUUUACAAUCCAAUAUUAAAAAAAAAUUACAUUUAACUAUAUUUUAAAAUUUGGUAAAAAAAUCAUGUAUAAAUAUAUUUUAAAAUUCAGUAAAAAAAAUUAAACAUAACUAAAUUUCAAAAUUUGGUAAAAAAAAAAAUACUUUUUAAAAUUUAGUAGAAAAAAAUUGACACUUGUUAUAAUAAAUAAAGUUCGAAUUUCACCAAGCCAUCCAAAAAAUUAGACUUAAACGAGUUAUUGGUAUAUACGACUAUUUAACAGCCAUCACUUAACUAAAGAUAAAAAUUAAAUUAAUAAUUACAACUAAUCAUCAUCUUCUGAGGAAUUUCACAAUUUUUAAAAAUAUUUAAAUAAAUUAAAUUUAUAUUUAUCUCAUCUAAAAUCAUUUCUUAAUAUUGAUAAUUUUUUUUAAUCAAACUUGAUUGAUGCUAUUUUUAAUUAAAAUUUAUUUAAAAAAUCUAAUAAAAAAAUUCAACUAAUUUUAAAAAACCUUAAUUCUCAUUUGAAUAAUAUUCCAGACAUUAUUUAAGAAAACUUUAAUUCAUAUACAGCAAAAAUGAUAGUAUUUUAUAAUAAUAAUAAUAAAAAUAAUCUUAAUAAUAUAAAUAAUAUUUCUUUUAACAUCAAUAAUGAAAUUUUAAUCAAUAUUCAUAAAGAAAAAUGAUCUACCGAUUUUAUAUAAAAAUCUUAACUAACAUGAGAAGUAAUUUCAAUAUAAAAUAAAUAAAUAAACGUAAUUGAUAUUAAAAAGUUAUAACAUUUUAAAUUAACCUAAAACAACAGUUAUCAUAAAUUAUAAAACAAGUUUGUUUGAAUUUAGUUGAAAAAUACAUUUAAAUAGAGAUGUCACUGUUCACCUUAUGUGCUAUGAUGCUCUCGAGACAAUUGUUCAUCUGUUUUCAUUUUUUUUUUUAUUUGAUAUCCAAAUUCGAUUAAGUGUGAGAUAAUUUUUGUUUAUAAGAUUUCAAAGUUUGAUUAAAUGCAAAUUUUUUUAUUUACCUAAUUUCGAAAUUUGAGAUUGUGUAUAUUUUUUUUUAUCGAAUUUUGAAACAGAGUUAUGUAUGAAUUAUUUUUUCUUAUCCAUUUUGAUAUCCGAUUUAAUGUAAAUCUAUGAUUUUUUUUUUUAUUUACUAGAUUUGAAAAUAUGAUAGUUUAGUUGUAGUUUGAGUUUUGAAAUCCAACAACUACACUUCUAAAAAAAUUAACUGAAUUUCUUGUUUCAAUUCUUAUCCCAUCUUCCAAAUUUUUUGAUCUGGUUAAUUAUCUCAUAUUAUAUUAUCCAAGAUUGCUAUUAUGAAAUGAAUAAAAUGAAAAAAAAAAGGAAAAAGUUUAGAAGUACAAGAAGAAAACCUAGGAUUGGAAGAAAUGCCCUAAGUUUGUCUUUACUAAUUGCCUGACUUCCUAAAGAAGUGUAAGGCUAGAAGAAGGGAUUUCUUUCUACACCUCACUUUCAUUCACUUAUCUAUCCCUUAUUACAAAAGUUUAUACUCCAUAUUUUCUUCCAAAUUUACAUUACGAAUCUUCUUAUCUUUUAGAUUUACAUUAUAAAUUAUAGAAUUCAAAAUGUAAAUUUGUAUUAUAAACUAUCAAAAUUAUAUUUUAUAUUUUAAUUGUCUUUUAAAUUUGUAUUAUGAAUUAUACAAUAUUUAAUGUUAAAUUAUAUUACAGUUUGUGAAAUGUAUUUUAUAUUACAAAUUGCUUUUCAAAUUUGCAUUAAUUCAAAAUAUAAAUUUGUAUUAUAGAUUGUAUAAUACAUAAUAUAAUUUAUAUUUUUCAAAUUUGUAUUACAUAUUAUACAAUCUAAAAUGUAAAUUUACAUUAUGAAAUUAAUUUGCAUGUCAGAAUAUCUUUCAGAUUUAUAUUAUGGAUUGUAUAAUCAAAAUAUAAUUUACUUCUAAAUUAUGUUUCAUAUUUGAAUUAUAAAUUGUACUAAUACAAAAAUAAUAUUUUAUGACGUACAAAAACGAUUUAUGAUAUACAUAAUUUUGUAUAUUAUAAUAGGUUAGUUUCUAUGACUCGAAUGACGUUUAACCGUUUCAGAAUAUUUUGAAAAUAAAAUCUCUUUUAAUCCAUUUCUUCUAUACUAUAAAUAUUUAAAGAAUGGUCAGCUUUAUUCAUUUUCUCCAUCACCGUCUUCAAAAAAAUGACAAAUUCUCGAUUGUUAUUGCUGGACUUUGGAUUCGCAGUUUCAAUUACAUAUGACAAAUUUAAAUUUAAAUUUCUGUCGGUUGCAACAGUUACCUUGCAAAAGUUUAAAUUUCUCCUACGGUCUUAUACCAACUAUAUUCUUAUGAUGUUUUAUCGUGAUAUUAUUUCAUAUUUAGUACUAUAGUGUAUGAUUCUGUAUGUUAAAUUUGGAGUAGUGUAAAGUGUAUAAAGGUGUAAAAAUUACUGUGUAUUGUGUUGGAAAAGUGAGGAAUAUGGAGUUAUGCCAUACGUAAAAUACCAAAAAAUUAUUACAAGAAACAAACAAGUGUGAUUUGAACAGAGAUGAGCAGAGAAAUAUAAAUGAAUAAAACAGGAAAAGAAAAAUUCCCAUUAACCUUUUCUCCCUCAAUCUUCUUUUGGAUGGAAUAUAUUCUCCAUGAACGUAACUACAGUGCACUCUGCUUUACUAGAUCAUUCAAGAUAGGAUCAUUAUUGAAUUGGGUAUAAUAACUGUAGUUACAACUUUUUGCAACAAAACAAACUAUAUAUAGUAUACUUCCAUUAUUUUUCUUCUUUUCUUCACUUCACUAAUGCUGUCUCCAACUUCUUCAACCUUGUUUGCCUUUUGGAAACAAAACCUAAACAACAAACUAAUUAAGGCAAGAGAAGGGAUGUAUACUAUUUGUUUUCUCGCAUGAUAUGCAAAUAAAGGACAAGAACUAAAAUUUAUUCUAAUAAAAUUUAUUAUUUAUUAAACAUAGUGUAUUACUCAUUAGCAGAUUAUUCACUAAUAUAUAAUCUCUUGUAUAAAGAUGUAUAUAAUCAAAAUAAGAAAUGUGACCAAAAUAAAAAAUGCUUUGAAAAUUUCACAUUAAUUUUAUAGUAAUUUUUUUUAUCUAGAUUAAGGAUAAUAUUGUUUCUACGUAAUAUGAUUUUAUAGAGAUUUUUUAGGUUAUUAUUAUUUAUUUAUUCGACAAAUAUUAAGAUAUAUUUUAUUUUAGAAAUUAUAUAAUUCAUUAUACUUCUUUAAUAGAGAUAGAUAGAUAGAUUUUAAUUAUAUUGCAUAAAAACCAACGGCCCUAAGUACAUAUAUUAUGGAAUUACAAAAUUUUGCAUAACAAUUCAUAUUUUUUUACUUUUAAUUAUUUUAUAGAGUAAAUUAAAAAAAAAAGAGGCUUAUUUUGAUUGAAGGAUUCCUAACCUUGUUACCACUGUAAGUUUAUGAUUUAUUUAUAGUAACUUAAUUCUCUUUCAAUCACAAUAUUACUCUUAACGAGUCGUUUUACAUUAUAACAUUAAUUAUAGUUCAAAUUUUAGAAAGAAAAAAAUCUUUCUUUCUUCCAGAACAUUUUUAAUUAAAAAAGUUUAAAGUAAGAAAUACAACCCUAUUUAAAUACAAACCUGGAACCAUUUCUUUUACAGGGUUUAAUGUUGAUGAAGUAGGGGUUGAAUAAUGAAAGAGCUUCCCAUAUCCAUGGAAGGAACAAAUUACGUAAGCAAUAUUUUCUCGACAAUGGUCACACCAAACAAAUGGUUGUGGGCAACAACAAUAAUUAUCCAAUAAGGAAAUGAUGUAUGCAAUAGCAUGUAUUUUAUUUUGGAUACUAUUACUUUUACACUUAAACAAAUUUUUACACACAUUUUAUAUUUAUUAUUUUAUCUUUUAAUAUAUAUUUUUUUACAAUUAUAAAAAUUAGCUUAUUCAAUUACUAAAAUACUUUAAAAGUGGAUUGUGAAAUGAUGAAAAAAGAAAAACAAUUUGGUUUUAUUUGUGUUACGAGAUGUAAUAGUCUCUUUAAAGACACACUAACACAAGUUUGAGUCCAACUACAUUAAUUUGUUUUCUCCUUAGGACCACUGAUUCCAACACAAUCAAUUUGUCCCUGUUUCCCUUCAGAACGUGGGUCCAACUUUAUCCCCUCCUCUUAUUUCGGUGCAUUCCAUGGCCCAUAACAAAACCCUAUUCUAUUCACCUCAACCCUUUCCAUUUUAGACAAUUAACCUUAUUUAUUUAUAUAGAAAAAACUUCUUUUAAUAAUAUUUUAUUAAUAAUUUUUUUACAAUACGUCAAUUUAUGAUUGAUCUAUUUUAAAUAUCUUUUAAAUAUAAAUUUAAAUAGAUCAAUAAAAUAAUAACAAGUAUUCUCCUUAUAAAAAAAAUUGUCAAAUCAUUAUCCUUGUUUAUACUCACAAAUUUAACACAUUUCUACUUCUAAAAUCACUUCGCUACUCAAUCCAAUGGAAAAAGUUCCCACCAACUUAUAUUGCAUGUUCAGUUAAAGUUAUUUUGCGAUGAUAAGCAAGCGCAGAUCUGAGAAGAUUGAUUAUCUUGUUUGUUUUAAUCCAAGGAGGAAUUCUCUUAAAUUUACUGAGAUAACAUCCCUAAAUUCAUGGACGUGACCUCAUUGAAUGCCCCCUUAUAGAAUUUUGUCCCUAAUACAUUGAUGAGGGACAUGUGUUUCCAUGUUGCGGUGUGAGACUUGGCACGAAACUUUCGGACUAUUUCAGUUCCAUAGUCGGCCAUUAAUUUCCAUGAAGGUCCACAGCUUCACCUAACCAGACAACACUAAGCCUACUUUGCUCCCUAUAUAUUGUACCCUCAUAUCAUACACAAACAUUUUAUAAAAAUUAAAUAAUUCAUAUAUAUAUAUAUAUAUAUAUAUAUAUAUAUAUAUUGCUAUAGUUCUUUUAGCUGGUUUCUAUUCUAUCCUCCCUCCCUGAGAAGCAGUUUCAAGGUCUCAGAAAGAAUUUUCCUAGUCUCUCCAAUUUUAUUUCAUUGAAUAAAAGUAGUACUAUUGCUUCAUGUUGUCUCAUUUAUUGCUACAUGCCACCAAAAGCCUAACGCAAAUAUCAUUCCCAACAGCCAAAUCUUGAAGCACAUGACACUGCAUUUACUCCCUCAAUGUUUCCGCACACACCGCCCUCGUUUUUCAUAGUUCCUUCCUACACUACCGUUUCCACGCUUUCACACAUUCUUCACAAGCAACCCACUCUUGCCACUUCAGUCACCCCAUCAAUUCCUUCAUUUAUUAAGAAUGUCUGAAACUCAAACCAUCUUAUAGCAUUUCAUCCCCUCCAUUCAUUAUCCUCCCUUUUCUCUCUCUCUCUCUCUCUCUCUCUCUCUCUCUCUCUCUCUCUCUCUCUCUCUCAUUGUUCUAAAGGAAUUAAACUCCUUUAAUGGAUAGAAGAUAUCUCAACUUGGUCCUGGUCACGCUGAUGCUUUUGGUUGUUGGCCAUAGUUAUGGUUCUAGACACACGUACCAAGUUUUCAAAGUGCAGCCCAAGGGUGAGACCUUGCCUCCAAACUUCUUUGGUUUCUUGCCAAAAGCAAUGCCAAUCCCUCCUUCAGGACCAUCUAGGAAGCACAACGACAUUGGAUUACAAAGCUCAACGCGGAAACCAUAGAGGGACAUGUAUUUUAUGUGUUCCUUCUUUACCAUUCCAGAAAAUUUAAGGGUAAUGUAUAAGAUAUGAUGCCUUAAUUAUUUAUAUUUUGCUCUUACCCUCUUUGGUUUACUUCCCUCCUUUGUUGCUACUACUUUUUAGAUCAUUUUCAAGGACAAGACAGUUUCAAAAUGAACUGUUAAAGUAUAUAUAUGUAGAUUAAUUAGGUGAUUAUUACCACCUUCUCCACAUAUGUAUGUAUAUCUGGGCAAGCUUUAGCUAUUUUCAUAUACUUUGUGAUAGAAUAGAUCCUUUGAGGGUUCAAAGCAAGAAAUGUUUUGUGGUUUGGCUUGUACUUGAAAGCAAAGAGAAAAAAAGGUGGCAAACCUUGCAAAGUUGAUGUGUGUCUACUUCUGCUUCUGUUUCUUUCAAGUAAGCUUUUGGUUUGGUAUAAACGCAUGCAAGCUGGCAUUAUUCUUCCUCUGGGGGAAAGAAAAGUGGAACUUUCAACUAAUAUUGUUUUUGAAGGAUUCAGUGAAUGGAUAUGUACGUCGACACGUAUCAUGUCUGUUAUUAGAUUAAUUAAGAGUUGGAAAAGAAGUUGCAUCUUUUUGAUUCCUGUGGCUUCUAAACUCUGCUUCUGUUCUUCUAAACUUGGAAGUUUCUUUGAAUCAUUCUGGAGUUUCAGUGCGUGCAAAACUCAUAACUACUGUAGCUAGGAGUGACCAUACAUUCUCAUAGACUUUAGGGAAGUGACGUGAGAAUCGUGUCCAUUUUUUGCGUUUUGAUUUGGCUUUAGUUAGUAGCUAAUAAAUGUUCGUACAUUUCUUAGCCACCCUACACUAUACACUGCACCCCCUGCAGCUUCAAAAUUCAACGUGUGAUUUGUGUCAUUCUGGAUAAUUAAAAGUGAUCGAUGACUUAAAGUUUGAUUUUGUUUAUAAUUGCAAAGUUUAUUUGUUAAAAGUUUCAUAAUGUUGUGUGGUGAAAGUUUUAGGAUCUUGGAAAAAUUGUACGAUGAUUAAUAUGAUGAUGGGAUUGUAGAGAAUGAAGGUUAUUAUGUCUAAGUUGGUGUGGAUAACAUAAAAAAAGUCUUAAUUGCAACUAUAUGGGACAAAACAAAAUAUUCCACAUGUUAGAUUUAAGAAAAAAUUGAUCUUGAUGAGUUGUUUUGUUGGGUUUUUCAGUUAAAAGCCAAUUGAAAAGAAAUUAGUUCCAUAAAAUGUUAAUUGUGUUGGGUGGGUAAGCUGUUUCAAAUCAUGUCAAAUCAUCAUAUCGUGAUUUCAGACCUAGCUUUGAAGCCAUGUGAAAGCCAUUAUUAAUAAGGAUGGCUAGUCAAAUUUUGAACUUUGUCUUAAUAAGGAAAUUAUAUCGACUUUUUCUUCAGCCUUUUAAGGAAAAUUCUUUAACAAUCUCCUUAUUAAUUAAAUACAACCAUAAGAGAAAAUAUGUAUUUUUUUUUAAAUAAACCACUUUAUGUAUCCCAGAAAAGAAUUGUCCCAGUAAUUUAAAUAUUAUAAAAAUUAUGUAAAUAUGUUUCUAAAGUUUGUUAACAUAAGUUAAACGAUCGAGAUAGAAAUCCCAAAACAAAAACAAAAUAAGAAUAAUUUAAUAAAUUUGCUUUAAAAGUUAUUUUUAUGUUAACGUUAAAAAUGAGUCUCACAAUCUUAUUAUUUUCUCUGCUUCAAGUUUGUAUAUGUUAGUUAAUUUUUUUUAAUAGUCUGUUCUUUAUUAUUGACAUUUAAAAAAAUUAUUAAAAUUAACUCUUUUUAAUAGAAUUUUAAUACUUUUUAAAAUCCCGUUUUCUUAAAUUUUUUUUACCCGACUUAUUCUAAUGAGAAGUCCAACAUAAAAACAGACCAAACAUUAACGAAUAUAAUGUCUCAAACUAAAUUGCAGUUUUUUUUUAACGUAAAUUUAAUUAUGAAGUUAUUUGAGUAUAAUUUUGUUUAUUUUCCAAGGCAAUCGAAAAAUUAUUAUUGAUAUAAUUUUAAGAAAAUAUAUUAUCAAUAUCAGCAAACUUAUCAUAUAUGAUAGAUAAUUCGUUUUUAGAUUAUAUGCUAAAAUUGUUUUAUAAUGCACAACUUAUUUCUUUAAAAGAAAUUCUUUUAUCAAAAUUAUUAAUGUCUAGAAAUUAAAACUUUUAACAUUCCUUGCGUGAUUAAUUAAGUGUUAAAAUAACAGUAAAAAUAUAAAACGACUCAUACUUCAAUUGUUUGAAUGUAAUUAAAUAAUUUUUCUGUGGGUUUAACGAUGACUAUCUUUCUCAUAUUUCAGCUACCUUGGUAUGAAUUAAUGUGGUAUAAAUCGAAUUUAUUAUUUUAAAAUUUAUAUUCAAUCAUUUAAUUUAUCAAAUUAUUGGAUUCGUGUUGUUUAGAUUAGGAGUUAAUUCAGUGAAAUUUUUAGAAUACAAAUUUAUAUUAAAUUAAAUUUUCAAUAAAAAAUUUAUUUUUAUUUUAAAUGAUUAUUAUCAUAAUAGACUAUAAUUUUAUAUAAAUUACUAUUAAUUAAAUUUUAACAAGAUAAUUGCAUAUUAAAAAUAAAAUUUAAAAUUUAAAUGUUUAUAAAUUUAUAAUUAAAAUAUAAAUUUAAGUAUCUAUGAAAUUUCAAACGGUUACCUACAAUAAUGAUUUAUUUUACUUAACUUUAUUUAUUCAAGAUUACCUUAAUUACAUGUUUAUACAAUCCAUUAUAAUUAUGUAUUCAAAUUUCCUUCAUAUUUCUUCAGUUUCAGUUGGAUAUGAAAUUUUUCUCAGCCCUAGUAACUUGCAGUGAAAAGCGAAAGGGGUGACUUUUGCACCUUUAAACGUGUGUGUUAAGCAACUUAAAAAUAAGAAAAUGAUAAUAAUAAUAAUAUAAAUAUAAGAUUUGACAUAUAUAAACCAAAUUGAGAUUUGUUUUUUUACGUAUUUAAGCGUGAGUUGAAACUUUACAUUAUAUUGAAAUAAAUAAAAUAAAAUAACAUAUAAAUAAAAAACCAUCACAAAUUUGUUAUCUUUAAGAUUUUAUAUAUUAAUAAAUAUAUUUCCAGUUUCCCUUUGAAUAUAUAUACAUAUGAUAAACUUAAUUUUUGUUGUAUUAAUUAAAACAAUGGCUCAGUUAAAUACACUUAUAAUUGUACUUUUCAAAAAUAGAAGAGUGAUAAAACAAGAUAUUACUUUUCAAGUCAAGAUUACAAAUUUGCUUAAUUGCUCAACUAAACUAAUCUAUACUUUUUAAUAUUCAAACUACAGAUAAUACAUAAAAUUUUAUUAAAUAAAUAUAAAAAUACAACUUCAUAAUAUGAAAUAUAAAAUAAAGUAUUAUUUUUAGUUUUUUUUUUUUUAAUUCAAAGAAUAAAUACAAAUAUAAAUCGAAUAUGUCAUAGUAGUCAUGUUUAAAUUUUAAUACAAUACAACAAUGCCCAUUAACCAAUAACCAUAUUACAUCUAAAAAUUGAAGAAUUAAUAUAAACACAGAUAUAACAAAGUUUAUAAGUAUGACAUAGAAUUUAAAUUCAAAACCAUUAUUUAAGUUAAAACAACUUUGACCCAUUGAUCUAUUCAUACGAUCCUAAUCACAACCUUAAAGAAAAAUAAAACCAAGUUUUGCAAUGUCAUAAAAUCUGGUUUUCUUUGGGUAGUUUUACUUUCUUGACAUACUGAUCAUGCAUAUUGAAAACAUGAACUAAGAUGACACAUAUCUACCCUAUUUUUAAUUACUUUAUACUUUAUAUAUCCCUAAUUUUCAGAUUCUUCGUAUCUAUUUAUUUGAAUCCACCAUACACCUAACCAUGAAAUGAAACCUAAUAAAGUCAAGAAUCUUGUUGACCGUCAUUGAACUAAUAAGUUGACUUCAUUCAUGAUUCAUAAAAGUGUCUCUUGUUCAUUAUAACAACCUCUUUUCUGAAUUUCAUGCAAAUCAAUGACAAAAUAUAUGAUAAUAUCAAACUAGAAAAGUUUUGUAGUGUUGUUAAUGUCUUUAUUAGGUAGUUCUUUUUAUGUUCAGUGUUUUGGCUUCCAAUCAGAACGUUUCUACCUGGUGAAUGAAUAAUGUAACUUAGUUUAUUCUGUAUGAAUUGGAGGUGUAGUUAGUAAGGCAAUGUUCCAAACAGAGGAGACAAACAACAUACGAUUCUCCAAAGAUUUCAUAUAGCUAUGAACGAUGAAUAAGGAAAUUAUAUUUGUUGUCAGAAGAGGAUUUCACACUCAUCUAGUCAUAGGGUGUACGUGUUUAUAGUUUUUCUUUCCCGAAAUUAAAUCUAUUUGGAUGGAUUUAAUUAUACUGUGCUGAUGGAAUAAAAAGAUCAUUAAGAUUGUCAUUAAAUUAUUUAUUAUUAAAUAUGAUUAGAUUUGAAUUUGUUGAUUUUUAUAAUAAUUAUUUUAAACUUAGUAUUUAGCAGCCUUUAAUUAAUUGAUAAUAUAAUUAUUAUACUUAUUCAGCGUGAAAAUUAACUUACAUUAACCAGGAAAUAUUUUUUUGUGACAAGUAAUUGUGCAACAGAGUACAAAAUGUACUCCCUGUAGAAAAAAUUAAAUAAUAAUUUACAAGAAAUAUGAGCACGCAUACAUUUUAUUCCUGAGGUAUACAUGUUGAGGUAAGAAAAAAGGUGCAACAGGGAGAAAAUAACCAAGAAAAUAGGAAGGUUAUCUGAACUGAUGAUUUUAUAUACACUACAAUACACUGAUAUAUGUGAAGGGCACUUGCCCUAAUAAAAUGGAAGACAUAUUUCACUUGAGAGGGAACAAAAAGAUUUGAAGAGACAAUGGUUUGAUUCCUACAAACCUCACUGUAACAAAAAGUGUUAAUGGAGAACUUCCCUCCAUCUACUUCCCUAAGAUUAUAAAACAGGUGAACCACCACCAUCUGCCUUACGUGCCCCUUGGCCGGAAGAUUUGUCGCUGCUUCGAACGUUGUACCUCUCGUAUACCCUAUCACGGUUCUCCGACCACCAAGUCUCAGCUUGGUGCUCACCGAAUCUUCGCCGGCUGUACACAUGCACCACCAAACAUGUUUAGACAUAUGCAAGUUAAUCAAAACUUCCUAUGCUAGUGUUACGAGAGCCAGAAAUCAGCCUAACAAAUAACUAUCUUGAGCUAGUUAAAGAUUUUGGACCACAGAGAAUUAUUUACAAAGUCUUUGAAUCCAAAGCACCAUAUUGAAAAUUAUCACUGGUAUACUAUUGGAGGCUGGCUGCCUACACUUGGAAGUCAUAAACAUAACCAGGAAAUAAAGAGAAUUGUUUCUAUUACCUGAACCGCACUCGUUUCAGAUCUCUUGUUCCAUCACGCAGGGCAACAAGAGUUAUAUAGACACCAGGUUCGUAUUGUUCAAUCCAUUCUGCCUCAACUUGACUACUAUUAGCAGGUAUUAUGGCAUUCCUUGAUCUCAAACCACUCUCAUCAUCUUGAAAAUUUCCAGAAUCCCUACCAUCAACAGUAUCUGAUGCAGUACUACCACUUGUCUGGAUCACGCUGCUGCUGCCGUUUGGCAAUUUAACAUCUGGGUACUCAUCUGUCCCAUUAGGGAUUACAGAUCCCCGAUUUUGCUGGUAAAGAUUAGCUCCAUAGUUUCCGGUCAGAGUGCCUUCGAUUCUGCUCGGCAGGGAUGAUUCAAUUCCAAUGGAAGCCAAACUAGAGCCACUGAUUGACUCGGCCCUGGUGUGACGCUCCCCAUUUAUUUCUGGAUAGUGAAUUCCAUUUGGCUCCAGACCAUUUGGCAGGUAAGCUGGUCUGAUAUUCUCCGCAUCAUAAGCGCCAGGGGGAAGCCUCUCAGCCAGAUCUUUGAGCUGAAAGUGAAACAAUGUGGCAGAUUAAUAAGCAUGAGUGUGGAAAAGUAAUAGCUCCAAGAGAAGUAAAUUAACCUGUGCUGUAAGUGACUUUAUAACUUCCUUUGCAGCCUUAGCUUUGGCAGAUUCCUCGGCAGCCAGAGCCAUAGCCUCCUGAGUCUUUUUUGAUGACCUUUGAAGCUCUAAUUCUUGCAUUUCACAUCUCUGUCUCAGGGUCUCAACCUAACAAAAAUUAUGUCAGAAUUAUCUUGAUACCAUAACAAGUAAAUAUCAAAGCAGCUAAGUUGUACUUGAUUGGGAUGAGAAAAAUAGGGGAAGAAUAAUAUACCUGAGCACGUAACUUUAAUACUUCCUGAUUCAAAAGCUCAUUUGUUUUCUUCAAACUAUCAGCAAUACUUUUUGAGAAGGAAAGCCCCGAUGUUGUUGGAAUAGGUGUAGCUGAACGAGGGGGGCUUGGUCUUCUAGAGAAUGGAGACACAGACCUGGAACUCACUCCAGAUGGCGUCAGCACAGGUCUUGGAGCUGUUCGCUUCAAAUCAACAGCUGUAGACAGGACAACAUCUUUAAGCUGUAGCAAAGAUUGUGGUUGUGGGUUGCGAACCAGAGAGAAUGUAUCAGCCUUCUUCCCCUGUUUGGCUGCCUUGCUAUCAAGCUGCUUUAUCAAAUCCAUAUUAGAAGGGACAGCUGUCUUGGUUAAUCUUAGGUCAGACUUCUCUAAUCUGUCCUUGUUUUCACCUGACAAACGAGGCAGAGCGUUCCUUCGAUUAUUAUUGCCUGAUUCAGAAACCUUGUUCAAUUUUACAAAACAUGAAUCACAUACGCGAUAUGGCUUUCCAGGAUUUGGAGCCAGUGCAGCUCUUAAUGCUUUCCGAGAACUACAUGAAUGACAGUGCACUAGCCCACAAUUAUAACAGUUGUGCCUCUUUCUAGUGAAUCCAAACGCUUGUCUACAAGCAGAGCACUGAGACUGCUCAGCACCGGAUACCCACUUAUGAAGGCAUAUGGCUGCAGAGUAGUUUGAACCACAAGCAAUAUAUUUCACAUGUCUAUCUUUCAAGGCUUCAACCAAGGUUGGUGUUUUUCUAUCUUCAACAUCUCCAUGACCCAAUCUCCCAUUUGCUCCCUUUCCCCAAGUGUAAACCUCAUUUUUGCACGUUAAAACAGCAACAUGAUAAGCCCCGCAUGCAAUUUCUUCAACAGAUUCUCCUGCAAGCUUGUCUUCAACCAAACAUGGCAGCUUUCCAUCCGACUGGGGAUUCCCAAGCUGACCAUAAACCGUGCUUCCCAUUGUAAAAACUUGACCGGAUGUUGUCAGCCCUACUGUCAAACUGUGCCCACAAGCAAUUCUAUGAAAAUUGUAAUCAAUAAGUGAAGGUACGCAAGUUGGUUCAAGCCGAGCAUCCUUGUCUCCAUGUCCAAGACGGUUUUUAUCUCCAUCACCCCAAGUAAACAAUUUACCUGACGAUACACUAGCACUUGAUUGAGUCACAAUAACCUCUACAACAGCUGCAGUAUGCCACACUCCACAUGCAACAGCUAUUGUCCUCAACCCAGACAAGGAUUCUACUUCUCUUGGAUACGGAACAUUUUCCCUAUCUCCAUGGCCGAGGACACCAAAUGUUCCAUCCCCAAAUGUAAAGAGCUGACCAGUUGAGGUUAUCAAGGCUGUAUGCCAUGGACCACAAGUGACUAACGCAACUUGAAGCCCCUCUAGCGGACCUGCAAUUCUCUUUGGUAUCCAAUGACUAACAUCAGUACCAUGACCAAGAAGCCCAGCAUUAUGAGUACCAUCACCCCAUGUAUACAGUUCCCCAAACAUCGUAACAGCACAGGUAUGGAACUCCCCACAGGCAACAAAAUCAACAGUUGCAGAAGUCAUGGCGUCAACUAGACGAGGUUGAAUCACAUUCUUCCCAACACCAUGGCCAAGGCGUCCACCAGAUUCUUCACCCCAUGUGAAAAGUUCACCCUGCCUUGUGACUAGAGCAGCAUGUUUAACACCACAUGAUAUUUGAAGCACAUCUAAAACCACAUUCGACUCCAGUGGCCUGGGGAGGAGAAUAUCUGUUCUUGGACUGAAAUAACUAGCACUUUUAUCAGCUCCAACUUUUACAACAUUCUCACAGAUAACCUCCCCCCAUAUGUAUACAUCCCCAAGAGCAUCAUAAUCGUCAGGUGCAGACCCAUGACUAGAUGUGCUGGGGGCACUUGAGACACUAACACGAAAAACAUCUGAACUAGAUCCUUUCACUUGCAUAUUUGAUGGGUUUGAUGGUGCAUGUGACCUAUCAAAAUUUACAGUAUUUUCAGAGUGAAAGGAUUGUGGAGAAGUAUUUGCCAGACUAACAGAAAUGUCAGGAGAACUGAUGUCUCGUGAAGCACUAACUGAACUUUCACUUGGACUAUUUGAUGUCAAGUCUCUGCCGUCCUGAAAGAAAUUAAUUGAGCCAGAAAGAAUUAUACGAAACUGUCCAUGUAUUUUACUAAUGAAGCUAUUAUACAGUAUAAUAGUAAUAAUAAUAGUAUUUGGAAAAAUAGAGACAAUUUGGAAAACUUAUAUUCAGUCCAUGAUUCCCAAAAAUACCAUAAUCAACAAAUCCUAAAUUGUGUCCAAAGAAGAACAAAGGCGAAUAACACUUUGUUUCAGAAAACUGCGGAAUAAUCUUUCCAGGAUAAGAGCUAAUCCUUAAAAUCAAGAUAAACCUUCCUCAGAGGAAACACUUGUACUCUUUUAAUGAAGCAGAAAACCAAUGAGCUCCCCUUACCAUAAUUCAUCCAAAAUAUUCAUUUCAAUGAAAAUGAUGAACACACCACUACUGGAUCAAGAGUAAGAUCAAUGAUCUCUUUUCUUUCUCAGUAUAUAUCAUAGAACAAGAAACAUGACACGAGUAAAAUGACAGUUACAAAGACAACAAGAAGGUAUUUUUACAUCAAGAUAGAGGCCUCCAUCACUCCAUCCAUCAAUUUUGGAACGCCCACCUUGACCUGAAGAUAUCAGUGCCUUGAGACCAGUAAUCCACACUUCUGCCUCAACUUUAUCCUUGCAAAUCUGAAACGCAACAUAAAGCAUUUUUAUAACAAUGAUAAAUGCAGAAAAUAGAAAUAAAACAAUGGUGUAGUCAUCCAAGAAACUUCAAAAUUCAUCACCAACCAGAUCAAGGGACCGCUUCCCGUUGUUGUAAAUAAGUGAAAAAGAAAGAUACUCCUUCUCAGGACGCAGAUAUCUUUGGAAAACAGCCUGACAGAAGAGAAGGCAAAUUAAUAACAUAGAAGAGGAGAAACAGUUUAUAUAUCAGUUUCUUUCGGGAUAUCAUUGAGUUAAUAAAGAAGAACGCUGUGCCAUCAUCAGAAAGAUAUAAAACUGUACUGUAGAAAUCUCACAGUUCUUUGUCCAGGAAUAAUUCUUGAGACAGAAGAUAGUUUCAGAUUUCUUUCUCCACUGCUUGAUAUCCAGAUUAAAGACAAUUCAUCCUGUGGUUUACAGAUAUUUGAAUAAGUGUAACUAGAAAUAACUCAAAUUAGUGUCAAAACCAAGCCUACUAUAUACAUGUCUGUUAAGCUUAUAGUCUACAAAGUACAGCCAAGGAGCCAACAGAAAAUAGGCCUUCUUAUUAACAAUCAUGAAUAUGACAGUAAUAGCAUGCAUCACACAAAGAGACGUAAGUCCAAUAACAAAGCUACAAAUCACUGUUGGUUGGUAAUUAGCACCAGAGUGAGAAAAUGAUACCACUUGGGUAACAAGCAGUAAAUCUGAGCCAAAUCAGACAAAAAGAUUUGAGCUUUUAUUCACGUCCAGUUAACUACUGAUCACCUCAACUGGUUAUACCAAACCCAGAGUGCGGAAACAAAAACCAACAAACUGCACUGGACCACAUAAACUCUUGAACUCAUUGCUUUAGAAACUAAAAGGACUGUGCUAAAUUACUAAAUUGUGGACAUAGAAAUAGAAUUGAAAAAUAAUAAUAAUAAUAAUAAUAACAACAACAAUGAUGACCUGCAACCUUCCCCUGAGAAUGAACCAAAGAAUCCUCUGGAUUCAGGAAAGUGUGUAGUUUGGCCAAUCAAACCAUUUUAUAUGACAUACUAGAAGGCAUCAUAUUGAACCAUCUAAUUAUGAUGCAGUCAAACACAGCUAGCACAUAGUACCAAUGAAAAGAAAGGAAAGAAAUGGACAUGAAGAGAUUAAGAGCAAGCCCUAUAGGAAUACUUCGUCAGAGAUUACAAAUAGUUAACGUAGAAACACAAAACACCACAGUAUGACAAACUUUUCCAAUAGAAGAAUAGUGUCUUGUUUGGCCCACCAACAUUUGAUAUCGUUGGUACAACACUUCCCCUAUUGUAGGUUGUGGGGCAGCUACAUGUAUCAAUGAAUGUAAUCAUAACCAAAAUUUUCAAAUACAACAUUUCUAGUAAGCAGGGCAAAUAAAAAUAGCUUGACUGUAUAAUAACAGUUCUGAUAAGUAUUACAAGUACAAAUUAGCAGGCUUUCGGUACAAUAUUUUUCAUAUAACAUCAGCUACCAUGCCAAAGCCCCUAUCUUUCAUAGAGUAAUUUGAAUUGAGCAUAUUAACAGUUUAGUACAGUGCAAUCCAGAAAGUUAAUGAAGCAAGAAAAUUAGAGAAUUCACUAACACUUUCCUGAAAUGAUUUCAUUUGACUUACAUUGGAAAGUCUAAACGGACAAAACUUAGGCCUUCCCUUACGACCAUAUUUAAGUAGUUGAGCACCCUUUUUCAAAACAAUCAAUGCCUGCAGAAUGAAAAGGUAAAAGAUUGAACAUACAAACAAUUAUUUACAUAAAAAAUACAAAAACUUUGGAGAAAUGAGAAAUAACAACGAUCAAGGCCAUCUUGUUGCAUAAAUGUUGUGAAAGUUUCUUAAAAUCUCCAGCAACGAUUUACAACAUUAGGUUUCUCCAAGAAACAACUCUUUCAGCCUUCUUAAUACUUUAACCCAGAUUGAUGGUUUGAAAAUAUUGUACAGACCACAGACUUAUCUGGGACCACUAUCAUUAUUGUCCAGGCAAACAACAAUAAUCGGGUGCUCAAUUUCACUAGUCAAACUCUAAUUUAGGCAUAUUCCAUGUCGUUACUACAACCAAUACAACAACACUGACGCAAGCUUCGAUAUCCCAUAUCAAACUAUCCAAAACAUUUUCAUAAGGUGCUGAAUCAAACUUUUAUCAUUAAAACAUCUACCCUAUUGGCACUUACCUCCUAUUGGUGUUAACAACCUAAACCAAGUCCGCCACAAUACCCCGCGUCUCAUAUGUUAAUUCGAACACAGACAAGCAUCCCUUAUCUUUCCUCUUCAAGACACUCAUAUUCCACGGCAGUUGAAAAAGCAACAGAUCACUAAUCAACCAAAUUCCACUUAACCUUUUCAAAAGGAUCACAGACCCAAUUCACAACAAUAACAGUAUAAAAUAUCUAAUUAAAAUCUCAUCCUAAUUCCAGCACCCCCCAUAACAAAAUAGUCUAUACAUAAAUUCCAUCACCAUGUCUUCACUCCUGCACCGUCACCUCUCACUAUUUCCCAAUCACUUUCAACAAAGAAACACACGCGCGCGCGCACCUGAUCACAAUCAUCACAUUCCCCCAAAAACAGAAACCUUAAAAAAAAAAAAACAGUUCCAAAAUUCUACCAAACAUUUAAAGCAAGAAUCAAACUUUAACUCAAAAAACAAAAUUUUGAUAAUAAACAAGUAACUGACUUGGUCGAUGUCACGGUCGGCAUUCCUGUAGCUAACAAGAUCUGCCAUUCCAUGUGAGAGAUUCACCGAAACGCCACCACCCUCUGCGAUCGCUGCACAAAGUUCCGUACAUCAUAAACCUCGACCUCAGUCUCUCGCUUUCUCUCUCUUCACUUUCUCUGAAAAUAAAAACCCACUUCUUAUUCCCACUCAAAAUGCAAAAAAACCUUCGCGGAUCUAUUCCUUUUCACAGAACCCGAAACCCCGUUAGCCCCAUUCGCAGUUCCAAGUCAAAGACGCAAACUUUUCAACUCAUGCAAAGACUUGGACCGGGUGAGGAAACAAAACGGAUUCGACCAACCCGGUUCAGUUGGAACAUGAGAAGGGGGUGUUUCUUGGAGCCUGAAGAUAAUCUCCGGCGAAGAAUGCGGGUUACGGCGGCGUCGCCGAAGCAGGGGUGGAGGGGCAGAGGAGAGAUAAAGAGUUUUAGAGAGAGAGAGUAUCCAAGCCUGUAAAAGUACAACUAGUCAAAAGAAGAAGAAAGAAUGAAAAGAAAAAUAAAAAAUAAAAACUGAAAUUGAAAACAAGCGCUUUACUGUGUGGGAAUAUAAAUUAAAUAAUAAGGAAAAGCAGAAAGAAACUCUCUUGAAAAGAAAUGAGAAGACAUUUCCAAAGCAUGACUCCUAUUUUUGAAAAUUAAUUAAAAUAUAACAAAUUAACUGAUUAAUUAUGAAGGUUUAAUUAUUUAUUUUUUUGUUUGUUUUUUAUGUUUGGAAAAGAGGCACGUAGGUGAGAAGGAUGGUUUGGUAAUUUGGCAGGGGACAAGGGGGGUAUUAAAGAUUAAUGUUUGGUUAAGGUUGUAAUGAAGGUGAAAAUGGCAAAAAGGCCCUUCACUUGAGUUUUGGUUUUUUCUCUAGAAAAGGAAACGAAUUACUUUAUAUGCGAAAAUACAUUGAUUAAAUUUAAAUUUAAAUUAUAGUCUCAACUUAAAGUACGAAAAAAUUAUCGUUUAUUUAUUCAACAUAAAUAAUAUUUUGAAAAAUGACUGUCUCUAUUCAAAAGAUAAAAUAUAUGCAAAAUUUACUUCAUAUGACGAGUCUCAUUUUAAGUUCAGCAGUUAUAUUUCAAGAGUUAUAAAAUUUACAUGAAUUCUAAUUAAUAAUUUGUGUUAGAAAAAAUGUUGCUACUCACAUUUUUUUUUCUAAAUUUACCCCGGGCUAUUUCUUUAUGCAAAACAUUUUAUUUAAAAUAAAAAUAUCUAAAAUAUAGCGAAAUAAUUGUUUCAUUUUUGUAUCGUAAAUUGCUGAGUCUAUUUUACUGAGUAAAUCAGUUACCUAUUAAUGUUUUUGCUCUUUUUGUGAAAACUAAUUAUGUUUUUUUUAUUAACAGCUGAGAUAUUUAACCUAAAAAGUACACUCUAUGAGAAAUAAAAGACCUUCAAUAAUCAUUAUAUAUUUAAUUAGAAUAUAAUCAUUAAUUAAAGUUGUCAUGUAGCAAAAAUAAUAAAAUUAUUAGAUUUCUUAUUAAUUUAGCAUAUUAGGCCUUUUUGGAGGAAUUAACUCAAAAAGGAGGGGAGAAGUAAAUAAGUUUCUUGUGAAAAGAAAAUGUAUCAAUUUUUCUAGGGUUAAAUAUGUUUUCGGUCUCUUAAUUUUAAGUAAAAAUUGAAAUGAGUAUUUAUUCAAAAUUUUGACCCAAUUUAGUCCUCCAAUUUUAGAAAUGUGCGAAUUUAGUCUUUUUAACCAAAUUUUGUUAAUUUUAUUUGAGGUUUUAAAACAGUAUAAACAACCCAAAUACUAUUAUAAAACAUGUUUGAAACAUCAAAUAAAUUUAACCAAAUUUAAUUAAAAGAACUAAAUUCAUACAUUCUUAAAGUUAAGAGACUAAAUCUAAUUUUUACUAAAAAUUAAGAGAUUAAAAUUAUAUUUAACUCUUAAAUAUGCAAUUACUGUCUCCUUAUAGUUUUUAUCCACUACGCAUGACUUUAUUCAUGUCACUGAUGCAUCUUGUAAAAAAUUAAAUGGUUAUUGUCAUAUUUACUGUUAUGAAAUCAAACAAUAAAUAAAAGGUUUAAACCUCUUUUUGGUCCCUAAGUUAUAAGCGGAUAUUCAGUUUAGUCUCCGUUUUUAAAAAUGUAAAUCUUUGGUCCCUAAGUUUAGUCUCCUUUUUUGACUUAAUACUGUUUUUGGUUGUUUCUUAACAACUGCUACAUCUUUAAAUUACUCUGAUUUGUUUCUUAAUAAUAAGAGCAUUUUAGAUUGCUUUGAUACAUUUUUUAUAACUUAGGAAUCAAAGGUUUACAUUUUUAAAAGCAGAGACUAAACUGAACAUCCAUUUAUAACUUAGAUAUCAAAAAGAAAAGUUUAAACCUAAAUAAAACUUUAAUUCCUAGACCCUGUCAGUGUACCAAAUUUUUUUCAAUAUUAAAAAGUCAUUUUAUUUAUAAUUUAGAAGGAGAACAAUUAUAAAUAAUAAUAAUAAUAAUAAUAAUAAUAAUAAUAAUAAUAAUAAUAAUAAUACAGGUAUAACUUACUGGAAAGACACUUCAGAUUUUAGGCUUGUAAACAUAACAAUCUAUCAAAUAAGUGAAAAGGGAGGAAAAAUAUAUAUAAAUACCGGUGUGUUAUACUAAACAUCUAGAAUCAAAUAAAUAUAAACAAAAAAAAAGUUUUUGUUUGAAUUUUAGUUAUUAGAUUAAAUUGAAAUAAAAUUAGCUAGAGUUAAAAUUGAUUAUAUUUAAAAUGAGAGAGUGUCAUUUUUAGGUAAAAGACAUAAAAAUGAAAGAAAAUAUUAGAGAGAAGCAAAAGGUGAGGACGGGUUUUGCGGGAGGGAAUAGAAAGAUGUAAUGUAGUGUUUGAGUGAAACAAAAUGCAGGUUCUAUGGCAAGUGCUGCUUCUGAAUAAGAUUUCUCCUUCUAAUUAAUCACCAAACCUAACCCACUCUCAUCUUUCUGUUUCACUCUUAGUCCAACCUUCUUAUUUCUCUAUUUAUAUAAUUUUAUCUUUUUAUUUCUAUAAUUCUAUAAAUGAAUUAAAUACUUUUUUAAGUAUCUAAAUUUAAGUGCGAAAUUAUAUUUUUUUUUUCAAUUUUUAUAUAAUUUGAUCACCAAAUUUAAAAAUUGAAUUGAUAUAAUCCUUUUUAUCUAACUUUUUUGAAAUAUUUAUAAGGUGUCAAAUGUAAGUCUUUUUGUCAAAAUUAUUUUGGAUUAAUUUUAUAUUUUUUUUUUGAGAUUUUUACUAAUUUUGACACUUUCAGAAAUAUUUUGAAAAAUUCCUAUUAUAUUUUGGAAACUUGUAUAAUACAUUACAAAUAAAAUUACUAUACGUCUCAGAAAAUUUUGUUGUUUGAGUUUUUGUCGAUAAUUUUAUUACACUUAUAACCUUGUUAUUCACGUCUGUGUUCAAAAUAACAUCAUAAUUAUUCUUAAAUUCACUUAUGGAUGUUGCACAACAAAAUAUUUGGAAUGGAGGUUUUGGAUUCUUGAACACCACUUAAAAAACAUUAUUAGUAAGUACUGAAGUUGACCAAUCGAGUUAAGGAUCUAAACCAAAAAUACAAUUUUCCAGUACUUAAGAUGGUUAAUCAUCUAAAUAACAAAAUUGAUUUUGAAGCCUUUAAAUUUGAAUCCGAGAAGUUCAUUAACAAGAUGGUCCGGCUUAAGAUACAAUUAGAAGAUCUUGAUGCAAAGAAAGCUUUUAACCACCAGAGAUAGAGUUUUUUUAAAUUCUUACACAUUUAGUUUUAAUUUUUGCUUUUCUAUUAUUAUUUAUUGCAUGCAUAGGCAUGGACAUUUUGGGCAACUAGUAUCUUUUGAGAAGUGCAUAUAAAAAUUGUCCCUACUCACAGAGGUUAUUUUAUUUACACAUAAAAUUUUUUUAUCAACCAUCAAAAUACACUCUAAAUAUUCUAAUCAAACGAAGAUUUAUGUUGAACACUUAAACAUUAUAUGCAAGUCUAAAACACUCCUCAUACAGUAUAUUAAUAUAUUUUGAAAAAGGACAAAAAAAAAAACAAAAUAUAAAUUUAUUAUAUUCAAUAUUCUAAUAAGAUAGAAAUGUAGACAUCUUCGUUUUGCAUCACAGAUAAUAUGUAAUCCCCAACUAAAUGAAAGAUGGACUCAUAAAAUUAAAGAAAAGGUAAACGAAGUUUUAGAAAUAUUUUCCACAAUAAUACUAAAUUUUAUAAAAUAAAACUUAAACUUUUUUAUGAAUAAAAUAAUCAGGUCAGAUUAUUAAAAUCACUACCACCAUUAAAUUAUUUUAUAGGUCCUUAAAAUAUAUAAAGAUUCUACAUACCUUGAUUUAAUAUAAUCUCAAUGAAUACAAUCAUGUUGUUCUUUUCUUUCUUAAAUAUACUUUAAAUCCUAAAAUAUGGUAUUUUUCUUAUAUAAUUUUUUAAAUGUAGAUUUUUAUUCGUAAAUAUUACUAAAGUACUUAUCCUUUAAUACCAAAUGAAUGAAUGCAAGUAUAUUGUUCUUAUUUGAAAAAGUAAUGUAAAAACAUUUUUAUAAAUUAAAAUAAAAGGAAAAUAUUUACGAUUAUCCAACUGUGUUUUAUCCGUUCUUCAUAUCUGUCAAAUUCCAUCUCAAUUAUCUUCCUCUCCAUAUAAACUAAUAGAUAGGAAAUGUCACACACACACACUUAUAUAUUUAUUUAUUUAUUUAAUAAAAGAAAAUGACACACACGCAUAUAUAUAUAUAUAUAUAUAUAUGAGUUUGCUAACUUGCGUACGCCUGUUUUUCAGUUGGUACAUUUUAGCAAUGUGUACCGGGUUUUAGUAGACAAAAAUACCCUUAUAUCAUGAAUUUUAAGUUUUAAGGUUAAGGGUAUUUUAAUAAUUUUCAUUCUCAAAAUUAAAAAAAUAAAAAAAGAAACCCCCUAAACCCUUACCCACCUCUGUCAUUCCUCUCAAUCAUUUUUCUUUCAUCUCUUUCACUCCAACCUUUUCUCUCUGUCAUCCCUAUUCUAGUUCCAAUUGAAAAAAAUCAGAAACACUUGCUUUAUUUUAAUCAUUUUCAUUUUCAAAACUAAAAAAAGAAACCCCAAACCCUUACUCACAUCCUUCAUUCCUCUCAACCCUUUCUCCUUCAUCUCUCUCACUCAAACAUUUUCUCUGUCAUCUCUGCCCUAGCCCCAACUAAAAAAAACAAAAACAUUCAUUAUUAAACGAUUUACUUUUGUAAAGAGUUGAGUCAUUGACAUAUUCAUCUUACAAAAAAAGUUCAUUCAAAAUCUCUUUAAUUUCAUUAUUUUCACUAUACAUAUUCUUGCCGACGGGCAUACAAAACAAAUCAAAAUACAAUAAAAUUCCGAUAAAAUCAAAUAAUAAAAAUUCUAAAUCUUGAAAUUUUAUUUAAAAUUAUAUAAAGAAAAAAUUAGGUGCUUUAAUUUUUUUAUUUAUGUAAGUAUUUUUUUUCUCUAACUAUUUUAUUUAAUAAUGAGUGUUUUUUUAGUUGAAGCUAGUGCAGAGAUGACAGAGAAGAUGUUUGAGUGAGAGAGAUGAAGGAGAAAGGGUUGAGAGGAAUGAAGGAUGUGAGUAAGGGUUUGGNGUUUCUUUUUUUAGUUUUGAGAAUGAAAAUUAUUAAAAUAAGACAAGUGUUUCUGAUUUUUUGAAUUGGGACUAGAGUAGAAUGACAGAGAAAAGGUUGGAGUGAGAGAGAAAAGGUUGAGAGGAAUGAGAGAGGUGGAUAAGGGUUUGAGAGAUUUCUUUUUUUAUUUUUUUUAAUUUUGAGAAUGAAAAUUAUUAAAAUACCCUUAACGUUAAAACUUAAAAUUCAUGAUAUAGAGGUAUUUUUGUCUACUGAAACUCGGUACACAUUGCUAAAAUGUACCAACUGAAAAACAGGCAUACGCAAGUUAGCAAACCCCAUAUAUAUAUAUAUAUAUAUAUAUAUAUAUAUAUAUAUAUAUAUAUUAUUGAAUAAGAAUGUCACCAUAACUACCAAUUUGUUCAGAUUAAAUGGUCAAUGAGACAGCAUGAUGUGACUAUGAAACAUUAUAGAGUUAAUUUGAGAAGAACUUUAAUGACUGAAAAAUGUAUUUGUUAUCAAUCUAGACAACGGAUGGGGAGUUUCUUAUAUCAUCAUGACAUCAAGAAAAAUGAAGUUAAUGAAAAUACAUUUGCUACCUGUGUUAUUUUUUUUAUAAUAAUAAAAAAUAAUAAAAUUAUUAUUAUUGUUAUUAUAAUUAUAAAAUUAAAAUAAUUUUGAAAAAUUUUAUUGUAAUUUUUAGGUAAUUAUAAAAUUAAGAUUAAAAAAGGUCAAAUAAGAAAACCAUUAUAUUUAAGUAAAAAAUAUUUAAAAGUUUACAGUUUAUAAAAUACUUAUUUUAAUUUUAAAAAAAUAUUUUAAAAAAAUUGAAAAACAAAUGUAAAAAAAACGGAAUUCUCUACAUAUAGAUAAUAUAUACGUUUGAAUUUAAAUUAUCAAAAUUUAUUUAUUUUAAAUAUUAAAGAUAUUUGCAAAAAAGAAAAAAGAAACGAAAAAAAAAACUAUUGAGUGAACAUAGUUAUAUAUUCAAUAGAUGACUACUUAAGUGUAACUUUACGUUUUUAUGUCUUUCAUUAAGAAGUAGUUACACGUAGGUUAGAAUGUAAGUGUUUAAAUUCACUAAAUAAAUAAAUGCCUCCCAUAAAUUUUUUCUUUUAAACCUAAUACAAGUGAUUUAAGUAUCUAAUUUGUAAAUAUUUGUUCCCAAAAAUGAGAUUUCAAUAAAAAUUAACUAUUCUUACUAGGGGUGGGCAAAUCGAACUGAACUGUACUGCACUGCUAAAAACUGAACUGAACUAUAAAACAGUUCACACAAACUGAACUGAACUGUAAAACAGUUCAGACAAACUGAACUGAACUGUCUUUUGUUUUAUCAAACUGAACUGAACUAUACUGAAUUGUACUAAAUUACAGUACGAACUGAACUGAACUAUUAACUGAAUUGUAAACUACACUAACUGAACUANNNNNNNNNNNNNNNNNNNNNNNNNNNNNNNNNNNNNNNNNNNNNNNNNNNNNNNNNNNNNNNNNNNNNNNNNNNNNNNNNNNNNNNNNNNNNNNNNNNNNNNNNNNNNNNNNNNNNNNNNNNNNNNNNNNNNNNNNNNNNNNNNNNNNNNNNNNNNNNNNNNNNNNNNNNNNNNNNNNNNNNNNNNNNNNNNNNNNNNNNNNNNNNNNNNNNNNNNNNNNNNNNNNNNNNNNNNNNNNNNNNNNNNNNNNNNNNNNNNNNNNNNNNNNNNNNNNNNNNNNNNNNNNNNNNNNNNNNNNNNNNNNNNNNNNNNNNNNNNNNNNNNNNNNNNNNNNNNNNNNNNNNNNNNNNNNNNNNNNNNNNNNNNNNNNNNNNNNNNNNNNNNNNNNNNNNNNNNNNNNNNNNNNNNNNNNNNNNNNNNNNNNNNNNNNNNNNNNNNNNNNNNNNNNNNNNNNNNNNNNNNNNNNNNNNNNNNNNNNNNNNNNNNNNNNNNNNNNNNNNNNNNNNNNNNNNNNNNNNNNNNNNNNNNNNNNNNAAGAGUAGAUACAGUUCUCACAGUUAACUGAACUGUAACUGUUAUAAGUUCAGUUUUUAAAAACUGAACCAUAAAAUAGUAUAAUGAAGUGUUAAUAAAAAUGGAUCAGAGAUACUUUUAGUAUAAUAUAGUACAGUUAACUGCAAUACAGUACAGUUCAGUUAUUUUUGAAUAGCCUAAAUUCUUACACAUUCUUUUUAGUACUGUUGUAUCUCCUUUCUUGGUUAACUUAAAACAUAUAUAGAAUUAUUUUGCCUAUUUAUCUUCCUUUUAAGAAAUAUAUUUAUGCUUAUAAGAAUUUAAAUUGACUGGUCGGUACAGUCUUGUCUAAUUGGCCACUAAAAAUAUUUAUAUCAUGUUAACUCUUUAUAUUUUUAAAUGGACUGUAAUUUUCCGAUUUGGUUCAAUCUUAUGUUAACCAAGUGCUUAUUUGAGUUGUUUUAUUUAUUUAUUAAAUAAAAUUAAUUUAAAAAAAAUAAAAAAAAUAUUUAUUUUGGGAAAAUCCGUAGAAGAAAUGAGAGGAGAAUAAUAUGAAGAUUAGAAAGUGAGAAAAGUAAACAUAUUUAAGAGUGAACACUAAUGAUAGAGAAAAACUGUUGGAAACGACGUUACUUGGGAAGAGGUUUUAGAUCUAACAACAAACGACAAUGGAUGAUCAUCAAUGGACAUUGCAAUGGCCAACAAUGUUCCAUGCUUUUUGGAUAAGGUCAUCACAAUUGCUCUAUCACAAUAUCAAUAUCAUAUCAUAAUCAACAAUACAUUCUCUCACUCAAACUUUUAAACCCUAAUUUCAAUUUCAUACUCCAAACCCUUUUCACCCUAAUUACACUAAUUAAUUGGUUCUAAGGGAAUAUUUUUUCAUUAAACUUAUUCUCUUUUCCUUAAUUAUUAUGCAUCGAAGCAAAGUUCAAUGCAUCUUUCUUUGCUUUUUCUGAAGCCAGACAUGACCAAAUUUUGUGAUUUGUUAGGACGAUGUUUCCAUGAUUGUUGGUUGGGGAGAACUAGCCACUGAAAAGAAAUAUACAUACACCCUUUAUUUAUAUCUACAUUCUGAUUAGAGGUUUCCAUCCAAAUUAUUGCUUCUCCUUUCAUUAAUGUUAAUAAACCAUUAAAUCUUUUAUUUUACGAGUUUCAACUAUAAGAUUAAGCAUUAAUUAGCACAAUUAAGGAUAUUUAGUGUUUUGAAUGAUGAACUUUAUGCCCAUAGAGACAUGGACAGCUGAGGUGUUUUGAAUCUUAAUUCGUGUAAGAAUAUUUAGUGUUUUUUUAUUCUACUGAUUAUUGUGUUCUUUUGAUGUUCCUAUUUUUUCUUUAUAUCGAUAAGAAGUUUAAGUUAGAAGACAACGUAAUAAUAUAUAGUAAACUUAUUUAUUGUAUUCUUUUACAAUCUCAUGAUCAUCAUCGUUUUUCUUAUAUAUAUAUUUUUUUGUUACUGGGUCACCACUCAUUAUUAUUGUCAUUAUUGAUGCUAUACCAUUGUUGCUAUUGUGUUUGUCAUCAUUACUAUCUUUGUAUUACCUUCACUAUCAUUGUUAUUUUUGUAAUUUUAAUUGAAAAAAAUUACGUAAAUGUAAGUUGACCACACCUACAACCUAUUUGGUAGGGAUAUGCAAUUGGACAAACCUAUCGCUCAACCUAAUAAAAGGAAAUCUUAGAUUGAAUUAAGUUGGAUUAAUUAGAUUAUAGUUUUGGCAAUAUUUUCUUUUUAUAAAAGUAGGAAUUUGAAAACAAAUGUUACAUUUUUAGAAUAUUAAUUAAUGAUUAAAUAUUUUAAAAAUAUAUAUUUAAUGUUUGAUCUGGUGCGAAGAUGAAAAGGCAGAGUGGGGGUGGUGGAGGUUAAUGGAAAUAAUUAGAGAAUUAGAAUAAUAGGAAGAUGAUGAGGUUGAAAGCCGACUUUGUUGAUUUGGUAUGAUUUGUGUUGGGUGUAAAAGUGAGUAAAAUCUCGAUGCAAGAGAAGCAAAGCUUGGAAUGAUGAAAAAGAGAAAUGAGAGAAUGAAGACGAAGAUGGUUCCAAAAUCCAAAGGCUUUUCUUUGGAGACAACAACCUAAAAUUAUAUUCCCAAGGUCCCCACUUCAUCUAACACAAUCACACUACCCAACUACCCUUCCUCCCAUUUCCUUUUUUUUCUUUUUGUUUAAUAACCAAUAUUAUCUUCAGUUUCGUUCAGAAAUUUUAAUUUAGUCUCUCGUUUUAAAAGUGAUUGAAAUGGGUUUUUACUUUUAAAAUUUUGAGUCAAAUUAGUCAUUUUGGUCAAACAAAAACAAACAACGUUAAAGGCUUGAUGAUUUGGCAGAAGAGAUAUUAUUUUAUAUAUCUAUAAAAUAAUAUCUCUUCUGCUAAAUCAUUAAAUCCUUAAGAACAUUUGUUUCUGUUUAACAAAAGGGACUAAUUUGACUCAAAAUUUUAAGAGUGAGGAUCCAUUUCAAACACUUUUAAAACGAGGGACUAAAUUGAGAUUUGUCAACAAAACUGAGGACAAAAUUAGCUAUCAAACCUUUCUUUUUCUUCUCUUCAAUUUUCACCAACAUUCUCAAUGCCUACUACACUUACAACCCAAAACAAGAAUAUCACGUGAUUCACUUUAUACUAUUUCUCCUCUUGCCCCUUUUCUCUUUAAUGUUCUCUCUUUUCUCACCUGGCUACAAUAGACAUAUAUAUUGAUCAUGCAAAAGUUUACCCUUCUACACUUAUUGGUGAGAAUGUAUUCAUUGAACGUAAAAGUGGCAUCCAAGUUGAGAAAAAAGGUUUGAAAAUGGGCCUUGGUGAUGCAUUUCGGCUCCCUUCCAUGACCCAGUUGGAACAAAGACAUGGAGAAAGAGAGAGAGAACUUAACUUUGUGUUGAGGGACCGAACUAGUGUGCUUGCAACAUUCCUAACAUGAAUCCUAUUUCUUUGUUCCUAUUACUUUAAAACAACAAAUAGUUGGCAGGCUUUGCCUAUUGUUGUCUUACUCAUAUAGGUCACUGUUGCCAUAGUCAACACCAAUAAUAAUAAUAAUAACAACACAAUGUUCCUUGUUUAGUAGAUUCUAAAUCUAAUAGGACUUGUUAUUACAUGAACCCUAAAUUUAACUUAUGUGUAAAUUGGGUCUGAUGGCGGGGCACGUGGGGUAGGAAGAAGUGGUAAACGUGCUUCCACUUAGAUGGAACAUUUACGUGACCUACCUUUACUAUGUUUGGAUCAACCAUGAAAAUAGUCGAAAAAAGAGAAAUAAAUAGUACAAUCUGUCACGCCACUCAAACACAUAAUUAUAUCUAUAUUUGUCCCUGCACUUUCUUAAAGUGAUUUCAAUCAAUAAUCUUAGACGCAGUACGCUUAUAAUAACGUGUUUCAACUUUGGGAAACUAUAAAUAAUUAUUUAAAAUUGAACUUUAUUAUUAGAACUAAUCCAAACUACACUAUUAUUAAAAGUGAACUUUAAAUUCAACUCAAUUCAAUAAAAUGAGAUUUGUAUCUUAAAAUAAAUUUUAAAUCUAAUUCAAUAUCUUAAAACUAGUUUUUAAAAUGAGAUUUAUACUUUGUUUAUAUAUUAUAAAUUAAUUUUAUAUUUAAUCUACAUAAAACUUUCAAAAUCUAUCAAAUGGGUUUUAUGUAAAGUAAAUUUGUCUGUCUGGCUGUAAAGCUAAUUAGUAUUUUCAUUUGCAUAAUGAGAUUGUUUUAUCAUGUUUAAUCCCAAGUUUUAUGCGUUGUUUUCUUAUAGUUAUGGUUUUCACCUCUCACAUGUAAUUUAUUAUUUAAAUUUAAAAUAUGGGCCACUUUGAAAAAAAAAAAGUGUAAAAGAGAAAUUAUCUCAAUCACGAGCUGUGAUACAUUUAUAAAUAAUUUGAGAGUGAAGGAAAUUAAAAUAAUCUUUAGUUAUAUUUGGAGUGAGAGGAAUUCUCUUUGAACAUUUUAAUCUUAUAAAAAAAUUCUACAUCUUGGAAUGAUUUUUAAGGCUUAUCAAAUUUCAUUUGCAAUACUAAUUUUUAUGUUUUUUUUUUCUAGCUUCUUCUAUACAGGUCAGAAUUUAUAUUUCUCAAUUAUAAAAGUUUUAAAAUCAAUUAUUGAUAAUAUAAUUUUCUAAAUCACAUUUAUUCAUAUAAUUUGAUUAGUAUUAUGAGUUAUGUUCAAUCCCUAGUUAAGUCCAAAAGGAUAAAAAUAAUCUUGUCAAUAUGUCAAUGCAAUAAAAAAUCUUCCUUCGUUUCUCUUUAAUAAAAUAUUAUUCAUUUUAUUUCAUUUUUUCAUUUUUCUCGUUUGUUUAUUUUUAUCUAUUUCAUUUCUACCAACGUGAAUAUCUGUUAGCUGUUUGAUUGUGUACCUAAAAGUAAAAAUUAGAGAAUGAUGUAAAACGAUUUCUACGUUUAAAUUCCUUAAAAUAUAUUUCAUUAUUUCAUAAACAUGGCCCGACCCAUCUACAAAUAAGUAAAAUGGGCCAAUUACAUUUUAUUGGAUUUUUUCACUGUUCUGACUUUGCUGAUCCAUAAACUAUGUGGACUACGCAAAAUUCUCAACCCAUUUUCACUAAUGCAACUCACCCUUGUAAUUCACGUUCUAAUUAGCAAAUAAUUUUUUUUUUAACUCUUUAAGCAUUAUAUUAUUUUUCUUCUGAGGUAAAUAUAAAAUAAACGAUAAAUUCAUUCAUUGAGAAAUAUUAAGAUAAAAGAGACAUAGUAUAAACAUCCAUAUCUACUGCUUAUGUUAAUUGUAUUCUAAUUCUAGGGCAUAAUCAGAACUUAACUCAGGAAAUGACAUAAUUAAUUUAAAAAAAAUGACAUAAUUAAAUUGAACCCAAGCUUUUUACACUUUAAUAUAUUUCUAGAGAAUCUUUUAUUCUGUUUGACUGAUUAUAAGUUAUAUAUAUUAUAGGAAAAUGAUAUUUUAACAUCAAUUUCUGAUACUAUUUUAAUACUGCACAUGUGUUAAAAUGUGGUUGAACGAUUUUAAAUUAAAAAAACCUGAGGUAAAAAUAUAUUUAGAAGAAAAAAAUUAAUUUUUUUUUUAAUUUGAAAUUGUUCAACCAUAUUUUAACACGUAUGCAAUGUAAAAAUGGUGUAAAAUAAAGUUGGUGUUAAAAUAUUAUUUUCCUAUAUUAUAUUAUAUGUCAUCUUGUUAUAUUCAUUUUGGAAAAUGAUAUUUUGACAACUUUUGGAUGACAAAUUUUUAACACCGGUGAUGGGUCACGUUGUCAUUGGUCGACUUUUAAGAAAAUAAGAUUUAUUUUUUUCAUUUUCUUAAAAAUCGACUAAUGAAAACGUGACACGGUGUCAAAAAUUUAUCAUUCUCAACGUUGUGAAAGUAUCAUUUUUCAUUUAUUUUACUUCUUAUCAAACACACCAAAACUAUCCUCAUAGCUGGUGUAGAUUGUGAUAUGAUUCCCCACACUAUUUUAUCUCUCACUCGUUACCUUUCAAGAACGAAAGCUCCAAAAGCAACGACCACUGCCAUGAAACCUGCAACUUCUUCAGAAAGCAACACAUUUCAAGAACCUCUCUUUUGCAAUGCUUUGUUCCUCUCUACCACCACUUUUCUUCUUCCUCCUCAUCCCCUCUGUACUUUCAUUCCCUCUCUUCUCCUCCGACAACCUCACCCUCUACGGUGACGCGUUCUUCUCUCACAAAGCCAUCACUCUCACCACCCACCAACCCACCUGCUCCUCCUCCUCCAUCGGCAGAGCCUUCUUCAUCUACCCCCUCCGUUUUCUUGAUCCCCAAACCAACUCCACUGCCUCCUUCUUCUCCCGCUUCUCCUUCUCCAUCCUCUCCUCUCCCUCCUGCCCCUCCGGCGAAGGCCUCGCCUUCCUCAUCGCCUCCUCCACCCACUUCCCUGCCCUCUCCAUGGGCCUCCCCCAACCCUCCCCCAACUCAACCUCCUUCUUAGCCGUCGAGUUCGACACUAACUUCGACCCCUCCCUCGGCGACAUCAACGACAACCACGUGGCCCUUGACGUCAACAGUGCCUCCUCCUUUGCAUCCGUCGACGCCUUCUCCCGCGGCAUUGACCUCAAGAGUGGCAAACUCAUCACUGCAUGGGUGGAGUACCGUCAUGCAAUCAAGAUGUUAAGUGUAUGGCUCGCUUAUUCCUCCACCAGACCUUCCACUCCCAUUCUUGUUUCUCAAAUAGACCUCUCCGAGAGACUUGAAGACUUCAUGCACGUUGGUUUCACGGCCUCCAAUGGGAAGGGGUCAAGUGAUUACCUUGUUCAUCAUUGGCAGUUCACGACUUUCGGCCAUGACUCUCGCUCCAUGGACGUGAUCGAUGAAGGUGACUGUUUCUUGUGUUAUGAAGGGGAUUCUACGGAUUUCGGUCAUGGUUCGAACAUGAGGGUGAAUGAGAGGAAGAAAAAGAUUAAGGAGAUGGCUCUUGGGUUGGGAGGGUUGACGGCGUUUGUGGUGUCGGUUUUGGCGGCGAUGAUUGUGGUGUGUGUUUUCUUGACAAGGAAGAAAGGAGUUGUUAGGAAGAAUAUGGAGCAAAGGCAAAGUUGUGGGACUCAGACGAGUAAAGUUCCGACUAGGUUGUCACUCUCGGAGAUUAAGUCUGCGACAAUGGGGUUUAAUCGUGACAGGCUUGUUGGGGAGGGUGCCUCUGCCAAGGUUUAUAAAGGGUAUCUUCCCUUCGGAGGGGAUGUGGCAGUGAAGAGAUUUCAGAGGCAAAAAGAUUUGAAUUGUUUACAUAACCCUUUUGCCACCGAGUUUGCCACCAUGGUGGGUUACUUGCGGCACAAGAAUUUGGUUCAGCUUAAGGGGUGGUGCUGUGAGGGAAAAGAGUUGGUCCUGGUUUACGAGUUUCUUCCCAAUGGAAGCCUGAAUAAGGUUCUGCACAGGAACUUCAAUUCUUCCAUGGUUCUAUCGUGGAGGCAAAGGGAGAAUAUCGUUCUUGGGGUUGCUGCUGCUCUGAUCUAUCUUCACGAAGAGUGUGAGAGGCAGAUCAUUCACAGGGAUGUGAAGAGCUGCAACAUAAUGCUUGAUGCAGAUUUCAAUGCGAAGCUUGGGGAUUUUGGGCUUGCGGAAGUGUAUGAGCACAGUUGUAGCAGGAGGGAAGCUACUAUACCGGCAGGGACAAUGGGAUAUCUUGCUCCAGAGUAUGUUUAUUCUGGUGUUCCUACUGUGAAGAGUGAUGUGUACAGCUUUGGGGUGGUGGUGUUGGAAGUGGGAAGUGGGAGGAAGCCUGUGGAAGAUGAUGGCAGUGUGGUUGUGGACUAUGUGUGGAGCUUGUGGGAAAAGGGGAAACUGAUUGAGGGUGCUGAUCCAAGAUUGAUGGGGAAAUAUGAUGCAGUAGACAUGGAAAGGAUGCUAUUGGUGGGGCUUCUAUGUGUGCAUCCUGAUCAAUCGAAGAGGCCAACAGUAAGAGAAGCAGCAAGAAUGCUUAAUAAGGAAGCAGCACUUCCUCUUUUACCUCCUGUUAAACCAAGGCUCAGAAUUAGGCCUAUUUCUCCUCAAACACACCAUGUUCUUGGAGAUUGCCUCAACACAGAUGAGCCUCCUUAUUUCACCCCCAGAAGCCACUUUUACUAGGAUUUUCAACCAAGGAAAAGCCUUUCUUUUCUUGUUUACAUUCUCAAAUCAAAUUUCCCCCCUUGUUUCAAACUCUUUAUCACCAGAUUGUAAGGUUUUCUGACUAACUCACAACAAUCUAACUCACCAACGCCUUAUUUACUAGCUUUUAUUUUUUUUUAAAAUAAAAAUAUUUCUUAUUGGCUAGGAAAAACCGAUUAAUACUCCAAUGUAUAAAUGGAUACAUCUCACUGUUGGUAAUCAAAUUACUAUCACCGAAAAUCAUAUAUAAUAAUAAACUAGUAGAAUUAUAAUAAUUCUCAUCAAUUAAAAGUUUGAUACAUAGCUAAUGAUAAUCCAAAAAUACUAACUACAUUAACAUCAUUAAAGAUUCUAAACAUCAAUUCAUAUCAAUUACAUUAAAUUAUCACACUUUACAUUCAGAAAUAUCUUAUAUAAAUCCAAACUUAUUCAUAAUUUAUUACCUCAAAAUAUAUUAUUCACACAGACAAAACCAUCUAUUAAAUUUUUAACAUAAUUUAAACUCAAUUUUUAAAAUAGUGAUGUAUUGAGAAAAAUAACAUAACCAUCAUCCUUAUCCCAAAAUCACUUUGAUGGAUUAAUUUUUUUUUUUUUUUCUGAACUCUCACCACCUAAAUCUCAUUCUUUAAAAGAGCACACAAAAGUUUAAUAAUGUUAUUCUUCAAAUCUCUACUAAAUACCAAUUAUUAUAUUAUAUAUAAAUAUCAAUUAAGUUUUUGUUAAAUAUCUAUAAAAUAGUUUUCAUAAUAUUAUUUAACAUAAAUAUUUUUUAAAUUGAAGUUAAUUUCUCUUACUCUUAAUGUUAACUCAAUAAAUCCGAACAACAAUAAAUAAUUUAUGCAUUUUAAAAUAUAGAACAUGUAAUUUUAAUUCAAAUAAAUUUUCUCAAUACAUUAACUUUGAUGCCAUCAAAAUAAAUUUAUAAAAAUUAUAUAAUUAUUAUAACUUAGUUAUUCCAAUUCUAUUUCAUAUAUUUAUAAAACAAAUUUCAUCAAACUAUAUAUUAUGAAUGUUACUAAAAAUAAUUGAGCAAGUAUUAUAAUUAAACCAAAGUUCCUUACUAUACUAAUUAUUCCAAUUCUAUUUCAUAUAUUUAUAAAACAAAUUUCAUAAAAUUAUAUAAUAUAAAUGUUACUAAAAAUAAUUUUACAAAUAUUAUAACUAAACCAGCUUUCCUACCAUUUAUAAAACCGUCGGAAAAAAAACCUCUUGUAAAAUUAAUUAUUUUUGUAGUAAUGAAACAAAUCAUUAUUAUAAUUAGAAUAGGAAACAAACCAUUAUUAUAAUUAGAAUAGGGGUUGCAUCGUUAAGAAGAGGGGGUGCGCAUAGUAAGACUUGCCCAGGCCUAAUUUUCUGUUCUCCUUCCCAAACCGAAAACCCCAUUUUUUCUCUGUUUUCAAAACCUCUUAUUCAUCUUCAUUUCUCUCCAGCCCCAUCUUCCCCCAGUUCCCCCGUUUCAGCUCAGAUCACCGCAGCUACAGAUCCCUUUGACGCGCCUCCGUUUCGGUUGAGUCAGGCUGCCGUCGCUGGGGUCGUUGCCGCCCCCACCUGGGUUAUCACGUUUGGGGUCUUCCGCUCCAUCUUCUUCUUCUUCUCUAACACGUGCAAGGGAGCGAGCAGUGUCUCUAUUCUUCCUCUUUCACGCAAGGCGCAUCCAAGCCAGGUCCGCCGCCGCUGUGCCACACACUGCCACCACCGCGCAUCGCCGCUGCUGUCCGCUCUAAGUCAGGCCAAAGCCACCCUUUGUCACUGCGCAUACACGGGGAAACGCAGCUUGCACAGUUUGAAAGAGUCUCACUUGGAGCAAGUCCAUUAGUAAACCAAUCUUUAUAACUAUAAUAUGAUUCGGCGCUAGGUAUCAGGUAUGAUUGUCAUAGUUUUAUAAAAUGUAUUGUGGUUAUAUUUCUAGCCAUUGUAGGACAUCUUAAAAUAUUCUUGUCAUGCCAAGACUAUAUAUCUUCCAUUGGCCCAAUAUUUAAGCUAGAUAGACUCUAAAAUCAUAUUAGAAAUGAAUUGGUCUUAAGCCCAAAAAACGGGGGAGCAUUAUCCAAGUUUUACAAAGAGUGUAUUUUAACACUGUAUUUCUAGUAAAUAAGAUAUAUCUUAAUAUGGGAUACUAAACGGCAACUGAAGAAUAGUGUUAGAUGCACAGGGUUAGAAUAUUUUUUUAUACUGUUCUUUAUCUUGACUUUCUUCUUUUUUUAUGUUCAUGUAAAUGACCUGGAGAAAGUAUACUCAUUACAUAUUUAUUGCUUCAUCAGUGACUUACAUACAGGCAGAGGAUUGUUCAGUUGGGUGCAUUUUUGUAGUUAUUUAUUUUGUACCAACUGACUGCAUUUCACCUGUAUGAUUUAUUUUGUGUCAACUGAUCUCAUAUUCAUCUGAGGCUAAUUUUUUGGAAAGUAAAGUAUACUAUAAGAAAAAUCAUUAUGUAAUUAAUAAUCAUAAGUGUAAAUCUACAUACCAUCUAAUUUAAAUCAUUAUGUAAGUAUUUAUAUACAAAAAUACAUUGAGAAAAUAUUCUGCACCACCGUUUUAGUUACAAAGAUCAGAAUUAGCUAUUCACUCUUCACGUAUCUGCAGGAUUAAAGUAUUGGUUAUAAUUUCUAGGGACAAAGAGACAAAGACCUAUCCUCAAUUAACUUAACAUAUUUUGUUAAGCAUCUGUUUAUACAUACUAACAUUUGUGAUAGAUGUAACUUUCAUCUGUAGGUCCCUAAGUGAAGAUUUAAUGAACGGUGGUUUGGCGUCUAGUAACUUAAGGGCAGCUUUCUCCCAUUGCGUACAGCAAGUGCGAAGUUAUGAUUAUCAUCACUAUCUUUGCCUUCUGGAGCUGCCUCCAUCCAUGCGGAAGGCUGCAUUUGCUCUCCGUGCCUUGAAUGUUGAAACAGCUAGAGCUAUGGAUAUUGCUUCCGAUCCCAGGAUUGGCCUUAUGCGUCUUGUCUGGUGGCAGGAAGCCAUAGACAAAAUGUUCGCCAAUAAAUUGAUUGAACACCCAACAGCACAGGCCCUGUCAUCUGUGAUAGCUGAGACCAAACUUAGCAAGAUAUGGUUGAAACGAUCGGUUGAGGCUCGGAUCAAUGAUGCAAAAAGGGAGGUUACUGACAUGCCAGAAAGUAUCGGAGAGUUGGAGAAAUACGCCGAGGACACUGUAUCAACUAUGCUGUACCUGACACUUCAAGCAGGUGGUAUAAAGUCUACUGUAGCUGAUCAUGCAGCCUCACAUAUCGGCAAGGCCAGUGGCAUUCUCUUGCUCCUCAAAUCACUGCCAUACCACGCAACUCGCAACCGACAUUUUUCUUACAUCCCAACUGCAAUAGCAUCCAAGCAUGGGUUAAUAGUUAAGCAAGGAGAUGGGGAAGAGAGGUGGGUGGAUUCUCGCGAGGGCCUCUGUGAUGCUGUUUAUGACAUGGCAUCAGUAGCCAAUGCACACUUAGAAAAGGCUCGGAAGUUAGCUGCAAGUGUGCCUGCUGAGGCUCUUCCAGUGCUCCUUCCAGCAGUGCCUUCUCAGAUUCUUUUGGAUUCCUUAAGAAAGGUCCAAUUUGAUGUGUUUGAUCCAAGACUAACAGGAGGGGUGCUGGGAAUACCACCUUUGUGGUACCAUCUCAAACUCAAGUGGACUUCGUGGAGAAGGAAAUACUAACAUGACUAAGCUUUAGUGAAUACAUAAUAAAAAUUUGUUGAGUGUAUGUUUAUGCCUUUUCAUUCUGCACAUAAUAAAAAUUUGUGUACUCGUCCCUUCCUUGCGGAAAGGUUAAUACGUUUUGUUUACAAUUAGUUUUAGAAUGUAAUUUGAGUUGCACAAGUUAAGGUGAUUUUUCUUGUUAGUAUAUUUUCUUUAAAGUGGUUUGGAAUACAAAUACUUCAAAUCAGUCUUGUUUUGUAUAACACGGUUUGUUCUUUGAUCAGGAAUUAAGGACUAACUCAAAUCUAUUUAAACAUGCAUGAAGACCGAACUCCUGGUAAUAUGCUGUGAUAUCAAGGUUGUUUAUUAUUUAUCAAUCGCGUUAUAUUGAUCUUUAAUAUGUGUUCUGGGCAUAGUGAUAAUAAUUUACAAUUCUAAUCAAAGUAACUCAUUGGUUUUGAAAAAUGUGAAUUGUAUCGAGGAAGAUUAGUCAUAAACUAAAUCAAUAAAUACUUCAUCACACUUAAAUAUGUAAUAUGUAAUAAAAUAUAAAAUGAUGUACAUUUUUUGUAUUUCAUUUGUUUUACAAUAAUUUUCUACUAUAUUUUACUUGAUAUGAUAAAAGGUGUAAACUUGUAGAGUUAUAUAGCUUAAGUGAACAGAUUGGACCAAAAGUUAGAUGCAUUUCUAGAUAUUAUGUUUACCUAAGAAUGAGAUAGUCGAUAACUAAACUAGACUAUUUUUAUUAAUGUAGUGUAAUUUCAUUAUGAAAUGACAAAAUGGUGUACUUUUUAAAUUAUUAUAUUACUUUCUUGUAUAAAAACAAAAUUUCAUAAAUUUCUAACAUUAGUCCAUUACAUCUAUUUAAAUUAUUAUAUCACUUUCUUGUAUAAAAAUAAGUUUAAUUUAGUUUAAAAUCGUCCCAGAUAGUACCAUCGCAUUAAGUAUAAAGUAUCAUUUUUCAUUCAAAUAUUAUACAAACGAUUAAGUUGUAUUCACGAUUUUGAUUGGGAAAAAGUGAAGUAUCGUAUUUAAUAUUUGCGACUUCACUCUUCUCAAUUUUUUACAUUACAAUUUAUUUCUUUUAUUUCAGUUAAACAUUGUUUAAUAAUUUGAUUAAUAAAUUAAAAUUUAAAUAUUAUAAUAUUAUCAUAUAACUCUUUUACCAUUUGAUACUGGAUAUGAGAUAAUACUGCAUAACCAUAAGAGUCAUUGUACUUAACCCUACCUUUAACUUAUUUUCGAGUUCUUUUUUAACUAUUUCAUUAGACUAUACUUUAUUAUCUUAGAUUCAGUAAAACAGAAUACCUUAUAUUCGUGGCAUUGUUAUCUAGACAUUAUAUCUUUGGAUAAUGAUCCAAAACCAGAUCUGUCAUAACGUGACAGCUUGGCUCACUAAGAGCACUUGGAAACCUAGGUUUGCUUAAAUGUUAUGUUUUUCAAGGAUUAUAUUCAGAGUUUUCUUAUGCACAGAAACCCCAUGUAGAGGCAAGUGCAAAGCAUACUAACUUUGAGAUAAGCUACUUCUCUGCCUUCUUCAAUCUACUAAAACCAAUACAUAAUAAAGAAAAGGAGUUUCGAGGGAGAGUUUAGAAACUCAUGGUUCUUAGAGGGACUGAAAAGAUUUUAUUUAGUUGCCCCUGCCUCUAACAAAUAAGAUGUUUCCUUAUAUAGAGGAAAAGAGGAUUACACACAUCCUAUUAGAUAAAAAAUUUCCCCGAAAGGAUUGGCUCAUCUAGAUUACGUUGAGUCCACCUUAUCUUAUCUAAAUUACAUCGAGUCUACAUUAUCUUAUAACAUUAUUAGGGACCUCUAUAGUAUAAACAAUCUUAUCUUGCUUUGUUAGAAAGCAAUGACUUUUACUUUUUACAAGAAUCUUGCUUACUUUAUAGCUGCUGAUGCGAACAUAUUCAGAACUGACAAAGCAAGAUAAGGUUGUUUGUACUUUAAAGGUCUCUAGUAAUGUUGUAAGAUAAUGUGGACCCAAUGUUAUCUAGAUAACAUAAGAUGGACCCAAUGCAAUCCAAAUGAACCAAUCGCCUCGGAGAAAAAUCUUAUCUGAUAGAAUGUGAGAUAAAGUGUGUAAUUAUCUUCUCCUCUAUAUAAGGAGACAUUUUGUUUGUAUAGAGACAAAAACAACUAAAUAAAAUCUUUUAAGUCCCUCUAAGAGUCAUGGGUUUCUAAAUUCUUUAUCCCUCUCUCGAAAAUAAAAAUAACCACAUAUAAAUUUUAAUAUUCAAAUUAUGUAAAGAAAACAUGAAAAGUUAAAAAAAAAGUUUAAAAAGAAAAACAAAUUAUAAAUUUUAAUUUUAAUUUAUUAAUCAAAUCAUUAAAAAAUAUCUCAACAUAAAAAAAAAUAUCUAUAUGAAAUUUAAGAAGUUCAUAUGUCAAAUUACUAAAACAACUAAAAUAAAAUAAUGUUUAUGUAGAAAUUUAUUAAAACGUUAAAAAAAUUAAAAUAAAAAUACAGUGAUGUUUAUUUUAUUGUUGACCCUGUUAUUUAAAUUUAAAAGAGUUAACUAUAGAUUGCUCUCUUCAAUUUUAAAAAAAAUAUAUUGAUAAAAUUAAAAUAAUAUUUUUUAUUGACAAUAGUGUCUUUUUAAUAAUAUACCAUUGGAUAUGCUUUUAGUCUGAUCUUCACAUGACUGCAUAAUAGCUUGUCAAAAGUUGAUAGCUAUAGAGAAAAACGACAGGUUCUCUUUUCUUGGUACGAAGAACCUAUGUCAGAAUUUGGGUAUUCAAUGGCGUGGAAUAAAUGAAGAAAUUAGAGAUCCAAUUUUAUUGUUUGAAAAUUGGUUGGGGUAAUCAUAAAAUUAGCAAAUAAGGUGGUUUAGCAUUCCUGAUUAGACAAUAAUGUAAAAUGCAUUUAGAUUACCAUUGUAUUUCAAUUAAAUCGAAAAUAAUUAGUAUCAAGCUUUAUCUAUAAUAAUAAUAGUAAACAAACCAUACUGGAUAGUUAAACAGUUUUUUACAUUCUUGUUUAAUUAUAGAUUAUCUUGUGUAAUGAUUUUAUUAAUUUCUAUAAUAAAACUGUCACUUUUUAUAAUUUAUCACUGUUAACAGAGUCAAUUUCGAAAACUUGUAAUCUAUAAUAUAUGCAUUAAAAGCUUCAGAUACGGUUCAAGGCAGUGUGAGCUAAUUUAUAAUAUUCAUCAUAGUCAAAUAAUAAUAAUAAUAAUAAUAAUAAACUAGAGAUGGAAAUUACUAAAAAUAAGUAAUUCUUAUAAAAAAAUAAAAUAAAAUUGUAAAUAAGAAAAUACUAGAAAGAAUUUGGAUUGAAAUAUGCAAAACUUUGUCUUUAAAGAAAGGAUAAAGAUACUUAGACAACAUUUUUUUGACAACAUUUGAACACCAUCAUACGUGUCACUGUGUGAUUGGUUUAUGGUAGUGUCAUUGUAUCAUUUGGACCAAUCACACAAUGACACGUAUGAUUGAUGUUCAAAUGUUGUCAAAAAAUGUUGUCUAUCUAUCAUUACCCAGAAAGAAAAGACAUUCUUACUAUGCUGGACAAUAUAAAAUAUUAUAUCAAAUUAAUAAAUUGCAACCAAAAAUCUAUAAUUUUUAUAAACAUUGAUGUUUUAAAAGAAAGUAUAACUAUUGUUUUUGUUGUAUAAUAUUUAUAAGAAAAAAAAAUACUAAUAAUAAUAAUAAUCAUAAACAUAAUUGUGGAGUAAUUUUUGACCAAUCACAUGUUGACACGUAAUCAAUGUUCAAAUGUUGUCAAAAAAAUGUUGUCUAAAUAUCAUUAUCCUUAAAAAAAUUAUCACAAAAAUAAAAAAUUUAACUCGUUAAGGGUGUGUUCACUUGGAGGUGAUGAUGGGAAAGUAAUUAGGGGAGAGUGAUUGAGUGGAUUUGAAGGGAUUUGAGGGUGAUUUUUUCUGUGUUUACUUGUGUGGAUUUGAAGGUAACUGAGAAUGGAUUUAGGGGUGAAGUUUGUGAGAAUUAGUGUAGAAUUUGAUUGAUGUGACAGUUUUAAAAAAUUUGUUUAAUUGGUAGAAAUUAAAGAUUAUCAAAAUGUCCCUAAGUAUUAAAGUAAUAUAAAAUAAUAUUUGUUAAUGUUAUAUAUUUAAUUGUAAAAAUGUUUAUUAAGAGUAAAAAAUUUAGAAUAAUUAUUAAAAAUAGAUUUAAAAAUUUAAUUAAAUUAUAAUUUAGUGAAAUUACGUGAUACACACAAUUAAUUCCUCCACCUAUACAAAGUACAGUAAAUAAUCCCUUCAAGGUUAACCAGUGUGUUUUUAUAUAUCUAAGUGAACACACCCUAAAAAUACCAAAUUUGAUCAUUUUAAAAAUAAAAAACUAAAUUGAAAAAAAAAAUAUUUAAAAAGUCGAAUAGAACCAAAUUUAUGAUUAAAUCUAUUUAUUAUGAAUUAUCAAUACACAUAAAAAUUAAUAAUUUUUAUUAUUAAAUGGAUUUAACAAUUAUAAUUGCUGUUUUAAAAGAAAAAUAUUGAUCGUAUUAAAAGAAGUGGUUAGUAUUUAAAUAUAAAUAUGAUAUACACAAUAAUAUGCUAUUUUAGCAUUUUAUAAUUUUAUAGUAUUUUUUAUCAAUUACAUUUUGUUAUUAAUAUAAUAUUACCUAGAAAGGGUAUUUAACGGUAAAUAUUUGAAUAUAUAAUAUUGUAUUAUAGUUUUUAUUGAAUCAAGUAUUUUUAGCUUAUAUUUGUGUUUGAUUUUAUCGAAUUAUUUUGUAAGUUUUUAAUGAUUAUAUUGUUUUUUAUUAUUAAAAUUUAUAUAAUAUUUUUUAACGAGAGCAGAGGGUAUGAUAGUAUAUGAUUGUGACUCUUAACAAAUUUUCUUUAAAGAUGUAUAAUUUUAAUUAAUAUAUUGUAAUAUUUUUAAUGCACUAGGCUAACUUUGAAUUAAAUGAUUAUUUAAUCGGUUUUUUUUUUUUGGUACAGGGUUAGGAUUAAAUCAAAAUACUUAUUUAAACUUUUUUUCCAAGUUUCGUAAAAGUGUAUCUCAAAAAUAUUUUGUUCAGUUAGUAAAGUAAAAUUUUAAUUUUGAAAUAAUGUAAUUAUUUAUCCUUUUAAUAUAAAUUUAAUCAUAAUCCAAUACUUAAUAGGUAUACUUUAUUUUUAACUUGAUUCGAAUCAUAAUGUACUGCUGUCAUAGAUCACUUAUUCAAUAAUUAACCAGAUAAUCCUACAAUAUCAUUUUAGAUUCAAAGGUAAUAUUUUUAUAUGUUUUUUAUUAAUAUUUCUUUCUUAAAUAAUCUAAUAAGAACAAAAAUAUAUCGAGCUAAAUAGUUAAAUAUAUUAAAAAAUAAUAAUAUAAUUAAUUAACAUGCCAUAUUAAGAAAAUUAGCUCAAUUUUUUUUAUGAGAAAAACUUAUUACAAAUUAGAUUUCAGAAAGUUAUUCACUCUUUAUUGAUAACACAGGAUAUUAUUUAGUCUUACAAUAAAUAUUUAGAAAAUUAUUUUUAACAUAUUUUUGUUUGAUUAAUCGUGUUAAAAUAUUUAGCGUAUGAAGACUAAUCUCUAACAAAAAUACAAAUCACUUAAAUUUCAUUUAUGAUAAUAAGAGUUUAAAAUUCAUGUUAUUAUAUUUCAAAUUAAAACACGAUGAGAAAUAUCUCUUCUAAAAUGAUAGGUAAUUAUAGUUAUUAAUAUUUUAUACCUUAUAUUAAUAGAAAAAUGAUUUUUCAUUAUAUUGUUGUUAAACUUAUAUUCAUUUGUUUUUCUACAUGAAUUCUGUAUCUUCCAGGGAAGAGAUAAAAAUGUUUAAGUCACAUAUUAAUAUUAUAGGUGGUGAAAAUUAAUCCAAAAGUAUUUAGCAAAUUAAUAUUUGAACUCGAGUUAUGUUACAUUGAAUUUAAAAUUAAUAUAUUUAAUAUAUUGCCUAUUUUAAUUUAAUUUUAUGAUAACGUGCUAAUUUAUUCUACAGAUGUUAUAUAGAAGUGUGAGAAGAGAGUAGUAAAAAAAAGGGUUUAAUUGUUUAUUUUAUCUACCGUUUGGUUGAAGUGUGUCAAAUUCGUCACCGAAAAAUGUCAAUUUCAUUGUCAUAUAGUAAAAAUUUGUGUCAAUCAAGUUAUCUUCGUUAAAAAUUAUUGUUUUCAAAACUCACUUUAUCCACUGCAAAAUCAAGUAUCGAAUCCAUGAAGUGAAGUUUUUAACACUAUUAGUUUGUUUUGGAUGGAUAUGACUUGAUUGACACAAAUUUUUUUCUAUAAGAACAAAAUUGACAUUUUUUUUAAAAAAGAGGAAUUUGCCACAUUUUAACCAAAUUAAAAAAAAAACAAUUAAACCUAAAAAAAAAAUUUCCCAAAACGAAAAUGUUGUGCAUGUUGAGAGGAAUCAAAACGAGUGCUUUCUUUUCCCCCUUCUACCAACAAUUAUGAUUUAGUUUUCAGCUACACUUCCCUCUCAAAUCAGAACAACACGUCUUUCAUCACGAAUCCUUCUUCCAUAACCCAUUAUAACCCUUCGCGCUGCUCCAACGUCUACAUAUUGUCAUCAAAAUGGUCAGUUUUUUUCUUUCCCUUUUCCAUACGAUGAUGGAGUAAGGUUUUCUGUUCUGCGGGCUAUAAAAAACGUUACCCUUAGGAAUAAAAAUUGAAAAUUUAUGGUGUUUGUUUAGUGGGUCUCUGUCUUUGAAGAUGCGAGGUAAGUGGUUUUUGUUUUCGGUGAUGUAAUUUCUUCCGCUGAGACGUUGUUUUUUUUUCAUUGUGCUGUUAAUUUGGUUGGUAAGAGUAAUGUGUUAUAAAUGACAAUUCCAAGGUUAUAGCAUUCUGGUUCUGUAGAAUAGUUGUGAUUAUAGUUUGGGAAUUUUUGAUUUGGUUACCAUUUUGGAGAUUCCUGUUGUUGGUUUGUGGAACAGGCAAUGCAAAUGAUGCUAUUGUGAUCUCUACUGUUGUUGGUUUGUGGAACAGGCAAUGCAAAUGAUGCUAUUGUGAUCUCUAGCUAAUAUUGGACCAUGAGUUGAAAAGGGGCAAGUGUUAUUAGUGUUUUGGAAUUGUUCUUUACAUCAACCCAUAGAUACAUGACUCAGAAGAUAAGCAUAAUAUAUGAUUUGGCUUUUGCAUGCAUCUAUAUGUUAUAGUAUUUUAUGGAAGAGGGCGUGAUUGGAAUUGCACUUGUGAUAUUGUGAACCAUUUCAGUUAAAUCUUUAACCAUUGUUGUAGGAAACUGUUUGUCUCAAGUGUGGCGAUAAAGGCUUUGAAGUUGCAUUGGUUUUUUGCUCUGGGUGUCAGGCUUAUGCGCUACAUAGGUACUUAUUGUCUGUGCCCUCUUUCUGCCUUCUUGGAUGCAGUUAUAGCAAUUUAUUAUAUCAUACUUAGCUGAAAUGCCACUACUACUUUAUGCUGCUUGAACAUUCUGUAGAACUUCUAGAGUAAAAACAAAGGAUGUAAGACUGUACUCUCUAUAGCUUGAAAAUCCAAAAAAUAAUUGGAAUGAUACUCACUCCUUAGUAUUGAUACCCUGAUUACUUUUAUAGUGUGUAGUGAUUUUUUUAUCCAUCACGUCUUUGUAAAGCAUAUAUGUGCUUUUGGAGAUCAAUGUAAGUUCUUUUAAGAUUAUGAUUUACUUUCUUAGCCAGCUUUUAACAUUAUUACAUAGCUGAUAGUGCCUCUCUUUUUACUGCCAUACACAACCUUGAAAUUUAUAUUGGUAUUGAAGGUGUGACCAAGGAGUGUUCCCAUUACAGCUGGUUUGGAUAAACCGAAGGAUUAUUGAAGAGACAUGCAACAUCAUUGAAUAAUUCCCUUUUUAAUUGGAUCUAUUUUUCUCCCAAUGUUUUAUAAAAAUAGAAAAACUUCAAUUUGUAAAGUUGCGGUUUCAUGUUCUUUAACUCCUUAGUUGACCUUUGAUUUCUUAAUUGUCCUUUUUUAUAAGGUACUGUUUAAAGGGAGCUGUGAUUUUCACUGGUCCUGUUAAAUGGUUCUGUGAUGAUUGUGUAAAAAAGCUAAGCUUACCACCUUCUCUCGACCAAUCUACACCUCUUUCAUCUGUAACAAGAAACUACAAAAAUUUGGAAAAAAAUGCAAUCCAAACCAAAAGAGUAUUUACAAAUAUCGAAGAGAGAGUGAAGAAACGCCAUAAACUGCUAAAAAAGAAGACUAAAAAGGAACAUAAGAAAGGAAAAGUCAACUCUGCCUUCGUUGAUGAAACAAAGGGUGUACUAUCCGGUUCACAUGACCUUCAGCAUCCUCAAAACAUUAUCAGCAGUCAGGAAGAACGUGAGGUAACGAAUGAGCGUGAAGCAGCUCCAAGGGAUGUAACUAGUUCUGAUUUAGGUCUCCAAUCUGUUCCAUUUUCUGAAGGAGCUACCUGUAAUGAUUCAAGUUGUAUAGAACUAUACGGUUGUGUUCAUGCACAGCCUUUAAUUGAUCCGAUCUGGAGGUACAAAAGUUGUUUUAUUACCUUCAUUUGAAAUUGGUGAACUUCUACAGCUGUUGUGGUGAAUAUCAUUUUAAGUUGAAUUUUCUGGUUAAUAGGGGAAGUAUAUACUUCUGCAAUGAAACUAUUGGUGCUGUCAGUGGACUUCUUGCUCAUAUGUCCGAUUUAGCAUGCUCCAAAGUUGUAGAGGAGACAGGACAUUUCCCAGAAGUGCUUCAUGCAGAAUUGGUUCCAAGGUCUACUGUGUGGCCUGAAAGUUUCAAGAGUAGGGAGCCAACUGAUCAGGACAUUGCUCUUUUUUUCUUUCCCGACAGUGAAGGGUGAUUUUUCUCAGACACUUUUUGCAUAAUGUUACUCUUUUUUUUUCUUUAGUUUGAUGUACCUGAAUAUUUCUUCCUUGGCAGAGCUGAGAAGGUCUUCGACGCUCUGGUUGACGAUGUCAUUUCCCAUGAAUAUGCCAUAAGAUUUGUGGCUAAAAACGCAGAGCUUUUAAUUUUUCCUUCCACCGACCUCCCAAUCUCUUGUUGGAGUGAGCUUCGUUUAUUCUACCACUUUAGGGGUUAAUUUCAGUAUAGCUUUAUCUGUUUAGCUUGAGAUUACAGUUUAACUCGUUUGUCUUUUGGGCAGGAUUUGAAGCUAAAUAUUAUUUGUGGGGUGUCUUCAAAAGAAAGCAAACUCGGGAACAGAGAAAUAAUGCUGCAUGCAGAGAUUGACGAAGCUCUUAGGUUAGCUUAACCAUAGCCAUAGACAUAGUCCAUCAUCCAAAAAGCAAUAGUGCUAACAGCUACAGUUCUAAUGCGUAGCACUCCUUUGCUCACUGUCACUGAUGUAAUGAUCAUAUUACAAGCAUGUUGAAGAUUAGAGUGAAUAGAAUAGAAUAGAAUGUGAUGAAAGCAAGAGAUGGGAUGGCUCAUAGGUACACGCUUGUUGUGGCUAGUUCAUUGUCCGAGAUAUGAGCAUACAUGGAUGUUGUAGGAACCUUUUGAAACUUCCUGAUUUUUUCUGACCAAAGUCUUUGAUUGUUGUAACUGGUAAGCACUGUGGCAUUUGUUCAACAGUCUCGGCCUUAAUGUGCCAUAAUCUGUCUUACUGAAACGUUUUUUAUCACAACGUUAUUUAUAUUUCAGGAAGGUUUGGGCCUGUAACUUGUAAUCCCACCUUUGUUCUAUGCGUAAAUAGGUGGAAACCAUGCAAAUUUAUGUUGAUAUUGCAUGUUGGCACUGUUAAUGUGACCCUGCACAAAUAUAGUGGGCCAAAACUGGUAUGACGUACCCGUUUUCUCUCUAUCUAAGCUUGGAUUGGACUAUAUAGCAUCAUGAGGUUACUUCCUACACCACUCCACAUUGUUCUCUGCACCACUAUAUUUUUAAAAAAUUCCAAAACUAUCUUUUAUAUUUAAAAAAUCCUACACCUCCACUUGUUUUCUUCAUAUAUAUAAAAUUUCUCAAACAGAUGUUGAUAUUUGUUAAAGUUUCCGAAAAAUCUUUCAAUGGAUGUCAAUAUUUAUUAAAGAAAUUUUUAAGCUUUCAAUGAAUUUCGAAGUACGUUGAAGUUUUCGAAAAUUUCUUCAAUGGAUAUUUUUUGUAUGUGAUGGUAUAAGAAGCAACGUGGGUGGUGCAGGAAUAAACCCUCUAACAUAAUCUUAUUAAGGAGAUAAUAAUUUUUGGAAGAACUGAACUUGAAGUAUUUCUGAUUAACGUAAAGAUUAAGAUAAUUUUACUUUCCUAUUGGAUACAUAAGACAAAUAAUAUAUAUGAUUGUGUAAAGCACUAAUCAUCAGAUAAGAGGGAAAUGGAGAGAGAUGUAAAUGUGAACAAAGAGUUUAAUGUUAGUGUGCUUUUUACGUGAUCAAGUAAAUAAAAACAAUUUUAGAUGACUUCCAAGAUAGUUACUAUAAAACUAGUAAACUUCUAUAUAAUAUGUAUUAAGAGUUAUGUAAAGUAAUAUAUAUUGCUAAUAGGUUCACAUUAAACUCAUGAAAAAAAAAAAAAGUUAACACUUGAUGGCUGUUUCUUCCUGUACCCUAUUACAUUUCUUCCUCACCCCAUUUCUUGCACUCUAUUAAAUUCCGAUAUGAUACGGGAAGAAAGUGGCACACUUAAUAGUUCUUCACCUUGUUCUAUGAUAGAAUUGGGCUGCUGAGAUCACUGUGUGCGUCGAAUUGUAAUGUUUUUUACUGAAAAACAGAGAUUGAAGAAGCCGUAGCCUCCUGAAGACUCUCAAUUGAAUAUGCACAUUUACAGUAGUGAGCACAUGUGGUGUCGCAUACAAAACAAUGUAGCAUCACAUCAAUACCAAAUUAGACAAUGAAACAAUUUUAUAUGAUGAAUGCAUUAAAACCAACUUUGCAUUUUCUACAUUCAUAUCAUGACGAUAAUGUAUGACAAAAAAUAAAAUGAUAAUUUUUAAAAAAUGUUUUGGGUGUAGAUUCUGACCAAACUUAGUUAAAGUUUGAUGGAUAAAAUUCUUAGUAUUGUAAUAAAUACAUAAUAAAAAGUUUAAACAAUCAUAUAUUUUAUUUGAUUUGUGCUUAUAGUUUUUUCAAUAGACUUUUCAUUAGAAUUAGUUUCAACUUCUUUUAAAUCUGAUUAGUAACAUAUUUAGAUUAAAUAAAUAUUUAGCUAACUCUACUCUACUAAUGACCAAUCAGUUUUUUUGGUAUCAAAACAAUCAGUUAUAUUAUUAUAAUGGGUAUGUACCGGUCACCGUUCCUCCAUACAUACAAUAAUGUAGGUUUGCCAAACUGCUUCAUUGGUAUGAAACUGGAACCUUCUUAAUUUACAAUUGCAGAAGGACAAAUUAUAGCAGUAGUCAGCACAAGUAUCACGCCCCAAACAAAAAACAAUGUAACAUCACAUCAAGAACAAGUUAAAUAUGUUUCAUGACAAUGUUGUACAUACAGUGAACGCUACGAUAUUAAAGUUGGGCUUUUUCCCAAAUUCUUUUUGACCAUGGAUUUUCUAAAUUCACAAGUUUAUAACGUUGUAUCAAUAUGUUAAAAAAAAGGAAAAGAAAAGAAAAUAUAGUGACAGAAUUGUAUACUCGUAUUUAGGAAUCAUAAUGUGCUUCAAAUUACAGGGUUUUGGUGUUUAUCUCCCUCUGGUUAACAACAAUAUUUGUCUAUAUGUUUUGUUAAUUUUAAUUUAAUUUUUAUAUUUUUAUAUAAGAAAAAUAAGUUCUCUAACUUGUUUAAAUAUCUGGAUUGACUCUUUAAUUUAUAAUUCUUUCGCUAAUAUAGUAAAACAGUUACAUAUUUUUAGAAGUUAUAAUUAUUUUCUUGAUUUGAAAAUACAAAAUAAAAAGUUUGACUAAGAAUAUAAGAUAAAAACUAUUUUUUAUUAUUUUCAGCCAUCCAACUCUACAUUAUGUAAAUCCUAUUUUUAAUAUAUAUGGUUAAGAGUUGUUUAAAAAAUAAGUUUUUUCAUACGAAAUAAAAAAAAACAAAUGAAUUUAAAUAAUAAGUUCUUACAAUUGCGUCAAAUUAAAUGUUUUCAUUUAUAUUUUUUGAGUGAUUGUGAAAACUACAAAUUCUAUUUGUUUGGCAUUAUUAGAGACAUAAGUACAAUAAUUAGAGGGAUAAGGUUGGUUUUGAGUGUAUUAGGUAGCAAAGUAAUGCAAUUUAGUCGUAUAAUAAUUGGUUACAAGGAAGAAUGCAUGAACACCAAAAGAGAGAUCUAUCUCCCCUCUCCCAACAUGGGUUACGUAAGUGCUUACUCAACCUCAAUACAUAUAAAUCAAUAGAUAGCUAAGAUGAAUAAAAUUUAAUACACGUAAAAUUAUAAUUUAACACUUAAUUAAUAAAAUAUAUUUUUUAUAUACAGUUUUUAAUGAUGUUACCCCUCUAUGUAUAUUUAUCGGACAUGAAAUUGUGUUUAUUUUGAUGAUACGAUUGAGAAGAAAUGAGUGACAAAAUGUGCGUACGUCUCAAUCAGUGAACUACGUCCAACCUAAUUCAAAUUUAUUAUUGUAAAUUUGACCAUUAUAGAUAAUAUCAAAUAUGGUUGGAUGUGGAUGGAUAAUGGGUCCAGAUUUAAGUUAUAAAGAAGAAAGUGAGUCAUCAACCACAAAAGAAUGUAUCAGCGGCUGACAUUCCACAAACUUAACCACCGUUUUAAAUCCACUGCAAAACUUUUUAUUUUAUACUCAAAUCACGAAUCGGGUCGAAUAUCCAGAAUCUGUAAUUUAAAUUUCCACCGUUUAAACCUACUUUAAUCCAAAUAUUUAUAUUAAAAUAACCGGAAUUCCUAUAACCCGACCCAGACCUCUAUUUUUCCAUUAAUGGUUUCUGAAAAGUGAGUGAUUAUAAAAAAAUUGGAAGAAGCUUUGUAGUGAUGGAUGAAAGAAGGAAGAGAUGGUAGAAGGUAGAAGAAUAAUGUGUUCCCCAUAUUCUUUUAUGGGUCCAAAAGACUUUCUUUUGUCGGUGGUUCUGCAAAUCGUAAUUGGAAACAAGGAGAAAAAGAAAGAUAGUGGAGAGAAUAUAAAAUAGUAAAAAGAAUGUUAAGAAAGUGUACGGAACUCAGUACCCAUGAAGUAGCUCAAUCUUCACUUUUUCACAAAUUUCUCAACUUUUCCUUUUUUUAAUAAAAAAAAAUAUUGUAAUUAUUAUUUAAAAAGAAAAACUGAAGUCAGUUUUUCAUUUUAAUUAAUUUACAUUUUCUUAAAAUGAUUUAAUUUGAUUAUUUUGGUUAAUACUGUAUCAAUGAGGUUAAAAUUAGUAUCACUGAUCAAUUUAUAAUUAUUUUAAACAUUUUAUUUUUUGUUUUAAAUUUUUUCAUGUGUCAUGUGGAAUGAUUAGUGUGAUAUCACGUGAAUAGAGUGUCCAUUUGAUUAUUUUUUGUUUAUUAAAUCUAAUUUAGUUUCAAUUUUUUUUAAAAUAAAUAAUAUUAUUUCUUUUUAAAUUGGAAUAAUUCUUUUUUAUAAAUUUUAUACUAUUAUUUUUAGUAAAAUUCAGUUUUGUUAAAUAUUUUAAAAUUAUCUUUAAAAUUAUGUUAAUUAGAGUUUGAACUGAUUAUUCAAUCUAAUAUAAAAUGGAAUACAAAUAUAUAUUUUCUUAAGAUUUAAGCAUUAACUCUACAUUAUUGUUAUUAUUAUUAUAUAUUUAUAUUGUGAUUUAUCUUAAAAUAAAUAUUUAAUUUUAAUAUUUUUUAUAAUAGAUUAAAUACGUUUUUAAUUUCUUAAUUUUUAACUAAAACUAAAAUUAAUCUCUUUGAAAAUUUUGUUUAACGUUUCAAAUGCGUUCUCAACUAAUAUUAAAAAAAGUCAUAUCAAAAGAUAUAUAAUUUAAAUUUUAUCAUAAAGUAUGUUUAAAAUAUUAAAUAAAAUUAAUAAAAUUUGAUUAAAAAUUAAAUCUAUACAUUUAUUGAAUAGAAAAACUAAAUUAUGUUAAUGUUUCAAAGAAAACUAAUUUUAAUUUCACGAAUUAAAAAUAUAUUUAAGCCUUUUGUAAUUGUUGUCUCUCUCUCAAAAAUUAUUUGUUUGUUUCAAUUUGAUAUAAAUUUUAAAGUUAAUUAAUUUUAAUAUAUUUUUCCAAAUAUUUAAUAAAAAAUUAAUUUUAAUAGAAAUACAAAAAAUAAAUAUUUGUCUCAAUUUGAAUAGUAAGAGAGACGGUUUUUUUUAUUUUUACAAAAAUUGAAAUUAAAUUAAAUAUAAAAAACGAAGAUAUAAAUCAAAUUAAGACUUUGCCCAUAAAAAAAAAUUACAAGUUAACAAGUGACAGUAACUUUAACAACGUUUGAACAUUAUUGACAAAAAUAAUCCAAUUAAAUUAUUUUGAAAAAGUCAAAACAAUGGAGAGAAAAAAAACUAAAAAAAAUGGACUUGACAUUUUUCAACCAAAAUAAAGAUCAACAGAAUAAUAAAAAAAAAAGGACUCAUUAGUUUUAAAUCAUAUAAAAAAAAGCUUAAUCAGAUUUAGAUAUUCACAACAUUUUUUGAAUCCUGGAGUAUAUUCAUGCAUAAGAAAGCUAUUCGCAUAAUAAAGCCUACAAGUUAACAAUUUCUUAUUUUCCUUUUUUUAUUUUUAUAUUUAAACAAGUUAUUCUUCUUUAUUUAAACUUUGUAGCAUAAAUAAAAUUAAAUAUUAAAUGAAAUUAGAUUUUGAUUUAAUAGAAAGUUGAUAAAAAGAUAUUCUGUUCACAGGUUCAUGAUUAAAAUAUAAAAGUAUUAACAAUGGUAAUCAUAUUAUUCAUAAUUACUUAUAAUUUACUGUUUGCUGUAUCCUUUUUAUGUCCAAUAGAGAGAUUCUUUGGUAUUUUGUGUAGUAUACUACCUUCACUUUCUUUUUCUUUACACUCCAAAGCUUGCUUUCUUUCUUUCUUUUCCUCUUUUGUUUUCCUUUAAUAGUCCCAAAGCUCUCUUUCUUUCUAUUUUUCUUUCUUUAAUAUUAGAUGAACAAACUACUAAAGGAUAUGUUGAGCAAAACUAUUUUUUUAUUAUUUAAAUUAGUAAAUAAAUUAUUUUUUAGUUAAUAAAGUAAUUUUUUGGGUAUUAAUUAAUGUUUAUAAAUUAAUUAAACAAGUUAGUUGUCAUCUUAUUGACCUUAAACACUCGUAAUGAAAUUUAUUUUAAUAAUUAAACAAAUUAUAAAUAAAAACUAUGAUUUUGAAGAAGUUAGUAUGAGAGAUUUUGAAUAGAAAUAUUUGAAGAAGUUAAUAUAAUUUAUAAAGAAUAUUUUUCUUGUAAAAAACGUUAUUAAAAAAUAUCAUCAUAUAUAAUAAGUUAUUAGAGAGAGAAACACAGAAGCAAAGGCUAAACCAUGUUUAAUGUGAUCAGAAGCGACUUCAUCUUUUUAAAUAAAAAAUUCCAAACUUUGCAAAUUAAAAAAAAAGGAGAGAUUUUAAACCAAUAAUAUGGUUUAAAAAAUCCAAAAAUUAUUUUCUGUCUUUAUUCAAUACCAGCAAUAUUUAUAAGAAAAAGGUAACUAGAAGCUUACAAUAAAUAAAUGUGCAGUAAACAUAGAUACUAAAAUGCACUAACUUUAGUAGACAGAGAUCUAUUUGAAUAUUUGAUGGAACCCAAUUGAGUUGAGAACGCAAAUACCUUGAGAGGAAUGUUACCACAACUAUAUAUAUAUAUAUAUAUAUAUAUAUAUAUAUAUAUAUAUAUAUAUAUAUAUAUAUAUAUAUAUAUAUAUAUAUAUUAUUUUUUUUUUCUAGGGUAUGAUUAUGAUAAUUAACAUUAGGCUGCAAACCAACUUACUAAAUUACUUAUAUUUUUAAAGGUUAUCUUUAUUUAGUUUUAAUAUAAUCGAUUGCAUAAUAAGCACCUAAUAAUUUUAUUUAUUUAUGCAAUAAUUAUUAUAAAAAAUAAUUUAUUAUUAUAUUAUUUAUGUAUUUAUUAUAAGUAUUAUUUUAUGCGUAACUACAUAUACUAUUUCUUAAUUGAUUUUACGAAAAUAAGGUGAGCAAGAAAGAAAAUUUGAAUCCAUAAAAACAAGAUGAAAGUUUGGAAAUAAAAGAACGUGUGGUGUAAAUAUCUUUUCAUACAAAGAUGAAUAGUAAUGCAAAAAAUAACACAAGAUAAUUUGUCAUAUGUUUUUUUAAUCACAACAAUUCACAUUAAAAAUAAUCACAUAAUUAACUAUAAAAUCAAUUUCUUUAAAAUAUAAGAAACAAAAUUAGAUCACAAAAUAUUAAAUCACAGUAUAUGAAUAAAAAAAAUAUAUGGUAAAUGAAUUAUACUAAAAAAAGUUAUUAUUUUUUGUAAUUCUUUUAAUUAGAAUUACUUAAUUUUUGACUUUGUUACUUUACCUGAAAUCAAAGUCAAAAAGUAAAGAGAAAAGAGAAAUAGAAUAAAUAAAUGAAAAGCAAAAGAGUUAAAAGCAUUGGCACCCAAAAAGCCUCGAUCAAAGCAACAAAUUCGCCUCAAACUAAACAAAUAUAAAUUUAAGGGAGGGAGCUAUCAUUUUCACACAAUAAAUCAUAUAUGAUCUUAAAGUUUCGGAUUUAAUAAUUUUUUUACAAUAAAACAUGUAUUACUAGGUUUAAUUAAAUUAAAUUUUUAAAAAAUAUUUAAAACAGAUCAAUCAUAAAUUAUUUAAUAUAAAUUAUAAAAUAAUUAUAAAAAAAAAUUUAAAAUCUUUUUUUUCUUAAAAUUUGGGAUUGAGAUAGGUAUUCGCAUUUUAUUUGUUGUUUUCUUUUCAAUGCCAUAAAUUCAAGAACUAAAGUUUACAAGUUAACAUUGGUACAAACGUUGACAAUGAAUAAGGAACAAAAUGAGAAUUGAGUUGGGAGAUAAGAAACAAAAUUAAACUUAAUUAGGCACAAAAUUCCAUGUGACUUGCUUCGAAUGUUGGGUCUGCUUUAGUAUUGUUUGCCAUGCUUGCUAAUAAUAUAUGCUACUCCACUUCUCUUUUCUCCUAUGAUUCAUAUAUAAUAUAAAAUGCUCUCCUAUGUUGUUGGGUUUUGCAUGCAUGUACAUAUAAUUUAUAGGUUCAUUCAAACCAAUCUACUCCUCUUUUUAUUAUUAUUUUCAUCACCACCAUUCUUUAACUAUUCAUACAAAACAACCCAAUCAAACAUGUUUACAUGUACAGUAGUAAUGCCACUAUGUAUUUAUUUUUUAUUUGGUUCUCUUUCACCGUGAUGUCGAAAAAUAUUAAAAUAUGUAAACUUUAAGUUUAAUCUAAUUAUAUAAAAUAUGUUUAUAUAUAUAUAUAUAUAUAUAUAUAUAUAUAUAUAUAUAUAUAUAUAUAUAUAUAUAUAUAUGAUGUUGAAAGUUCUACGUCGACUAGAGAUAAGGCCAAAUUAUGAUAUAUAAUUGAGGUGCAAACCUCACCUUACAAGCUGGUUUUAUAGGAUUGAGUUAGGCUUAAAACUCAUCUUCUAACAUGGUACCAAAACCAGGUUAAAGCCUAUCCUAACGAGUUCUAAGUAGGUAUUUCUGUUUCUAUUUCACCCGUUGUUGGGUCGGACAUUUCUAUUUCUAUUCCACCCGUUGUCGACUCUUAUUAGACCAUCCAAUUUCUACUACCACAUACGAAAUGCUUAUAUAUAUGACUAUAAUUUGAAAAAAUAGAUUUUAAGUUUAACUUAAUUUUUAAAAAUGAACUUAUAUGAUGAUUUUUUUUAUUCAAUUUUGAUAAGAGUCUUUCAAUAAAAUAAUUUUAAUUUCUUUUGUCUUCUGUAGGUUUAUAUAAUAUAGAUCAAUGUAAAUAGCAAAUAUGAGCGUUAUCUCGAGCACCAUCACUUACGAAUACUAUGUACAAGUCUAGUGAAAAGGAAAAGUGUCGUAUGAGAAAACUUAUAAAGUAUUGCUAUUAUUCAUGACAAAUCAUGCACAUUGCAGUAUUUUAGAGGAAAAUGAUUACAGGGUAGAUCAUACUGCUAUUAUAAUGAUUCUAUAAUAAUUAACUUAAAAGUCAUAGAUUUUUAACUAACUAUUAGUGUGAUUUUUUUUUUUUUUUGAAAAAGGACAUGACCAACUGGUUACAAGUGGGAGUUUAAAAUCCUAAACCCUAAAGAUAAAUAAAAAUAUCAUCUUUGGAGUUGCACUCUUAAAAAAUAAGUUUUAACAAACCACAUAUUACAAAAUACUAUGUGGGAUUUUGUUUAAAAAUUAAAUUAUAUUAAAUUAAUUUGUACCAAUUGAUUUUUAAUAUGUUAUAGUAUUUAUCAUUUUAUAUUAAAUUUAAUCUUGCAGUUAUUUUCAUUAAUUUCUAUGAAAACAUAAUUGGAAAAUGAAAAUCCAAAUAACCAACCUACUGCAAAUUGAAUAUAAUCACAGAUUAACUUAAUUAUAAGUGAAUUAGAAGGAAAAAUGUUUUUUAAAUUAAUUUUAAAUUUAUAAAAUAAAAUUCAAAGAUUUAUAUAUAUUCUGACACCGAUCAAAUUGAAUUAUUGAAGGAUCCAUUUUACUUUACCCACAGAAAGCUACAGUAAAAAAUGACAUUUAAUAUCGAAAUACCAAAAAAACAUAACAUUAAUAUAUGAAUAUUCGUUGCAUUUAAGUCUAAAAUGUUAUAAACUAACAAUAUAAAUUUAAUCAUUAAUUUGUAAAACUGAAUAUUUUUAUAUGGUUCUCAAAAAAAUAUAUUAAGAUUUUCUCACACAAGUCGAACUCAAACUUAUUAUAGUGGUUUUUUGCCCAUUUACAAGAAAUCUACACAAUUGCAGAAUAUUCUAAAAGAUGUUUUUGAUAUUACAAGUAAUAUUUUAAGUGAAAAUAAAACUGCUACAGUCUUUUGCAAUAUUAUAUUUUGGCUAAAAGUGAUGUAGUCAGUUUGAUCUUUUUUGGAAUUUUGGUAUUCUGGAGACGAAAAUGUGUGUGAUAGAUGAUUCUCCAAUUGCUUUUAUUUCUUCAAAAGUAUAUAUAUAUUUUUAAUUAUACAUCGAUAUAAAAAAAAUGAGUUGUUAGGAAGUCUUAGAGAAAUUAAAAAAAAAAAUAUUUUAAAUUUUCAUCGGUUUUUUUGACUAGGACGAAGAAGAUGCGCGAAAAUUUUAAUUUGGUUCUAUUAAUUAACGUUCUCAGUACAUAAAAAGAAAAUUAACUUUUUAAGGAAGGCGUCUACAGUUUAUAAGAUUAAGUUGUCUCAAUCAAAUUGAAUUUCAAAUAUUGUUUUUCAGAUUUUUAAAAAAAAUGGAGAGAAUAAAAAGCUUUUAGAAAUUAGUUAAUUUUGAAAUUAUCUCUUUUGUAACUUAGCCGAUUGAAUGAUGAAUUCGGUGGUUUGGUCCUUUUUCUGGAGAUGGAAAAGCAUUUUCCUUCUUUUAGCCUCCAUUACCAACGUACACGUAAAAUGAUGGAAGACAAUGCCACAAACCGACCACAAGUCUAAAUAAUUAUUAUUACUAUCCCAACUUGACAGUGACUAAUUAUUUAACACAAACGAAAAAUUGCGAUGAUUUUUGACGCCAUAUAACUGAAUUAUUCACCUUCUUCUCAUUAUGCAGUCGAAGCCAGAAUUUACAUUCCAAAUAACAAAUUAAACACACAUCCGCUGUUUCUGGGAACAACACAUUAAGAUGCAGACAAAUAAAACGGUGAAAAGGAAAGGAGAAAUGUUACUACUACUAUUACCAUGUUUGUUCUAUAAAUGCAAAGAUUCUUUGUACCACCCGCAAACCCGUCAUUUCGUGUUUUGUCUAUCUCUUCUUCUUGUUCUUCCACACACGCUUCUUUAUAAUUCGGCUUCACUCCAUUUAAUGCAAAUUUAUGCACCAUUUAUGUCUCUAUCUCUUUCCUGAUCAUGCAUGUAUGCAUGUUAUGCUUUUCUGCUCGAUUCAGCUAUAAUAUAUACAGGGACUCAAGGACCACGUUUGGUUAAAGCUCCUUUUGCUUCUUUUCUUUAUUAAGGCACACACUUCGCUCUUCAAUCUUACACAUGAUUCUUCCCUUUCCGCCUUUUUCUCUCUGAAGGGAAUGCUUUUGUGUGAGUUGGCAACUUUGACGGGAUCACAAUUAUUCACUCACAAUUAUGUACAAAAAUUUAACUCUCAGUCUAAGUUUCACGUUAAAAAUGAAAAAAAAUUAAUUGUUUUUAAAAGAUUUUGAUUUCAAAUUGAUAUCAAAUUGAUAUACUUAGGUUUCAUUACUAUUGUAUAUCUCGAAAGCUCCAUCAUUAUGAACACAUUUCUUUUGUAACUUUUCAUGCAUUUAAAGGACCAUCUCACAAGUAACUCUCCAGAAGCACAUGCUGCUCACUAUAGGGUUCUUGUAAACACGCGUUGCUCUCUCGGUGUGAGGUUUGCAUGCCAAUAUCAUAUAUAUACCUCUCGUCAUUGUACUUCAUCUAUACUCUAACUGCAUAUGCAAAUGUGCUUUCUCAAAUUGAUCAUUCGUGUGUGCUCAGACUUCAGCUUAUAUUGAUUUGUAUUCAAAGCUGCUUAUAAUAAAUGUAUUAGCAGAAGAACUUUGUCGAGUGUGUUUCUUUUUUCAAAACCUUGCCUUGUUCAUGAUCUCUUUUUCUGUUUUUCUUUUUUUUUUUUAUGCCUGUUGAUGUUACAGAACAAGGAGAGCGAGGUUUUGAGCAGCAACUAGAAGGCAAAUAAAAUGGAGAAGUUUUGCAGUAUGUUUUGUGGGGAAGCUGGUUGUUCAGUGCCAGGAGGGAAUCCUUGCAUUUAUGAUUUUGAGUUUCUGAAAGAUCCAUCCUCGUGUAUCAACCAUUUGCUAUUCAUUUGCAUUGAUGUGUUGCUGCUGGUCAUGAUCUCAUUUGCAAUCCUCAAGAAGUCAUCAGAGAAACCAUCUCAGGGUGUAAUCAGAGUGCAAAAUUAUUCCAAAUUGCAGCUAGUGUCUGCCAUAGCCAAUGGCUCUCUGGGGCUGAUACAUCUGUGCUCAGGCAUUUGGCUUUUAGAGGAGAAUCUGAGGAAGGCACAAACUGUUUUUCCUCUUGAUUGGUGGAUGCUAGAAUUCAUUCAGGGAUUCACUUGGUUGCUGCUGGGUUUUACAAUAAGUCUUCAGCUGAAAAAACUUCCUAGAGCAUGGUUAUUUAUGUUUUCUAUCGUAAUCUUCUUGGUUUCUGGUAUUCUCUGUGUUUUAUCCUUGAUUUAUUCAAUUGAUAACAGAAAACUAUCCCUGAAAAUAGUUCUAGAUGUUUUAUCUUUUCCAGGGAUAAUUCUGUUGCUAUUAUGCAUUUACAAGGAAUCUAAGUACAGAGACACCGAUAGAGAAAAUAAUGGAAGUCUGUAUACCCCUUUAAAAGAAGAGACCAAUAAAGUUGACUCUGAUAGUUAUGUUACACUAUUUUCAAAAGCUGGAUUCUUCAGCAGGAUGUCAUUUUGGUGGAUGAAUCCGUUGAUGAAAAGGGGUAAGAAGAAAACACUUCAGGAAGAGGAUAUUCCAAAGUUGAGCGAAGCAGAUCAAGCAGGAAGUUGUUAUUUUCUGUUUCUAGACCAAUUGAACAGACAGAAACAGAAAGAACCAUCAUCGCAGCCAUCAGUUUUGACGACAAUAUUUAUGUGCUACUGGAAGGAGAUUUUGAUAUCAGGAUUAUUUGCUUUGUUAAAGGUGAUCACUCUCUCUUCUGGCCCUUUGCUUCUGAAUUCCUUUAUAUUGGUUGCUGAGGGUCAUGGGAGUUUCAAAUAUGAAGGCUAUGUCUUGGCCAUAUCACUAGUCUUCACAAAGAUCAUAGAAUCCUUAUCACAAAGGCAGUGGUACUUCCGCACCAGACUCAUUGGUAUUAAAGUUAGAUCAUUGCUCAUUGCCGCAAUUUAUAAAAAGCAACUAAGGUUGUCUAAUGCUGCAAGAUUGACGCACUCUGGUGGUGAGAUAAUGAACUAUGUGAAUGUGGACGCCAAUAGAAUUGGAGAGUUUCCCUAUUGGUUUCACCAAACGUGGACAACAAGCGUUCAGCUAUGUAUUGCAUUGGUGGUGCUUUUCCGUGCUGUUGGACUGGCAACAUUUGCCUCAUUGGCGGUGAUAGCUCUAACUGUGCUCUGCAAUACUCCACUUGCUAAGUUGCAGCAUAAGUUUCAGCGAAAACUUAUGAUGGCACAAGAUGAGAGAUUGAAGGCCACUUCCGAGGCUCUUGUGAGCAUGAAGGUGUUGAAGCUAUAUGCGUGGGAAACCAAUUUCAGAAAUGCAAUUGAAAAGUUGAGGGAUGUGGAACUGGAAAGGUUGUCUGUGGUGCAACUGAGAAGGUCAUAUAGCAACUUUCUCUUUUGGGCCUCACCUGUUUUAGUCUCUGCUGCUUCCUUUGGGGCAUGUUACUUGCUUAAUGUUCCUUUGCAUGCAAAUAAUGUUUUCACUUUUGUAGCAACUUUACGCCUUGUUCAAGAUCCUAUUAGAACAAUUCCUGAUGUAAUUGGAGUGGUCAUUCAAGCAAAAGUUGCAUUUGCAAGGAUUGUAAAAUUUCUUGAGGCGCCUGAACUGCAAAGUGAAAAUGCUAGGAGAGGUUUUAGUGACAAUAAGAGGGGCUCAAUUUUGAUCAAUUCCGCUAACUUUUCAUGGGAAGAUAACUUGUCAAAACCAACACUGAGAAACAUAAAUUUGGAGGUUAGACCAGGGAAAAAAGUAGCAAUCUGUGGAGAAGUUGGCUCAGGAAAAUCAACCCUUUUAGCAGCAAUUCUCAGAGAAGUUCCUAUUACUCGUGGAACUGUAAGUUUUAACCUCUUGUAUGCUUACAUAAAACACUGCAAUAACUUGUGAGAGCUUAAGUAGUUUCUAGCACAUAACUUAAAUUUAAGGGUAUUUUAUUCCCAUCUCCAUUUCAGUAUAGAUUUCAAUAUUGUACUAAUAUAUAACUGAUUUUCUUUUUCGAAUUACAGAUUGAAGUUCAUGGAAAAUUUGCCUAUGUUUCUCAAACAGCAUGGAUACAGACAGGUACAAUACGUGAGAAUAUAUUGUUUGGAGCAGCCAUGGAUGCUGAAAAAUAUCAAGAAACAAUCCAUAGGUCUUCACUGAUGAAGGACCUUGAGUUGUUUCCACACGGUGAUCUCACUGAAAUAGGGGAGAGAGGGGUCAACCUGAGUGGAGGUCAGAAGCAGCGAAUUCAACUUGCUCGCGCUCUUUAUCAGAAUGCUGAUAUUUAUCUCUUGGAUGAUCCAUGCAGUGCUGUUGAUGCACACACUGCUACAAACUUGUUCAAUGUAAUGGGAAAAAAAAACACCAGUUCUUCAUAUACCAUAUUUAUGUUUGCCUUUUAUUGAUAGACGCCUUUGAAACUUCACAGGAUUACAUCAUGGAAGGACUUGCAGGGAAGACAGUCUUGCUUGUGACUCAUCAAGUUGAUUUUCUUCCAGCCUUUGAUUCUGUUUUGGUAAUUUUCUCAAUCUUAAAAGACAUCGAUCAUGUGAAUUCUAAUUAAUGACUUUAGAUUUGUUGUUUCGAUUCAAAAGUUAUGUUUUUUUGUUUGUUUAAAGCUAUGAAUGAUAACAAGAUGUUUACUUACAGUUGAUGUCGAAUGGGGAAAUCAUAGAAGCUGCUCCUUAUCAUCAUCUGUUGAGUUCAAGCCAAGAAUUUCAAGACCUUGUUAAUGCUCACAAGGAGACCGCUGGUUCUGAGAAACUAGUGGAUGUCAGUUCUUCUAGUAGAAAUUCAAAUACUGUUACAGAGAUUAGUAAAAUAGAAAUGGAGAAGCAGUGUGAAACAUCAGAAGGCAGUAAAUUAAUAAAGAAAGAGGAGAGGGAGAAAGGAAACAGAGGGUUCAAACCUCACUUGCAGUAUCUAACUCAGAACAAAGGAUAUAUAUACUUCUCUGUGGCUUCUAUUUCUCACCUUAUUUUCACAAUUGGCCAGAUAUUUCAGAACUUAUGGAUGGCUUCCAGUGUUGACAACCCUUAUGUCAGCACAUUAAAAUUGAUUGCAGUGUACUUGUUGAUUGGGUUUAUUUCUGCAUGUUUCUUGUUCAUCAGAAGUCUUGUUGUGGUUGCUAUGAGUAUUCGAACAUCAAAAUCUUUACUUUUACAGCUACUGGACUCCCUUUUUCGUGCACCUAUCUCAUUUUAUGACUCCACACCUUUGGGAAGGAUUCUUAGUAGGGUAAACAUAUCAAAUAAUAUUUUUUUUUCCUUGCUGUGAAAUGAAAUGAAAAUUUUAAUAUUUUUAAUAUUAUCUCCUUGUUCAGGUCUCCUCAGAUCUAAGCACUGUUGAUCUCGAUGUCCCAUUUGGCCUUAUUUUUGCUGUGGGAGCUACUGCAACUUGUUAUUCAAAUCUUGCAGUUAUAGCAGCCAUUACUUGGCAAGUCCUGUUUAUCUCUGUACCAAUGCUUUACAUAGCAUUUCGCUUGCAGGUAUAACACAUUCUUUGAUUUAACCAUGUAAUAGUAUCAUAGAUUACUUUUAUUUGAUAGUUAUUAAAAAUAUUUUAAAAAUAUAAAUACAUAUACUUUUUAUUCUAUAUUAUAUUAUAAAUUAUGUGUUUAUCAUUUUAUAUAUAAUUAAAGAAGGUACACAGAUAAUAUAUAAGAAAUACAAAAUGAAAGUUCUGUGAUUGAUUACCUUAUUUAAAUAAUAAAAAAUAUUAUUUAAAAUACCCUAAAAAUUAACAGUAAGUUAUAAAGUUUAAUUUUAGGUCAUUUUCUUAUUAAAGAAAAUAAGAAAUAUAUUACUUAAUUGAAUUAUAUAUCUAAAAAUAAUCUAACUCUCUUUAUUUAAAAUAUUUUAAUUUUCUUAACUAAAAAACAUAAAAAAAAUGGUAGGAAUCUAAACUUACGUAAAAAAAUUGCAGUCUAAAAUUAAAGGAGAUCAUAUUCACAGGAUUAAGAAAUUAUGUAAGCUUUUAUUAUGCAUAACUGUGUUAAUACAAAAUAUUGUUUGCUGGAAACAUAGUCUAAUAAGAAUGUUAUUCUGUAGAGAUAUUACUAUGCCACUGCAAAAGAAUUGAUGAGGAUGAAUGGCACGACAAAAUCUUAUGUGGCUAAUCAUCUUGCCGAAUCUAUUGCUGGAGUUGUGACAAUAAGGGCUUUUGAAGAGGAGGGUCGUUUUUUUGCUAAGAAUCUUGAUCUGAUUGAUGUCAAUGCCAGUCCUUACUUUCAUACCUAUGCAGCAAACGAAUGGUUGAUGCUAAGGUUAGAAACAAUAAGUGCAGUGGUUUUUGCAUCUGCUGCACUCUGCAUGGUGGUACUUCCACCUGGGACUUUCAACUCUGGUGAGCCUUCAGUUUUUUCUAUCUUUGAAAUUAAUGUCACUGUAUGUGUUCUGUAAUAGCUUACACAUUAUGUUCAUUGUCUCACCAAACUUUAACAUUCUAUCUUAUGCAUGUAUUUUCUGUAUUUCAGGGUUUAUUGGCAUGGCUCUCUCAUACGGCCUUUCAUUAAACUCUUCCCUAGUGUUUUCAAUUCAAAACCAAUGCACUCUAGCAAAUCAAAUCAUAUCAGUGGAGAGGCUAAAUCAAUACAUGCAUAUACCAAGUGAGGCCCCAGAAGUGAUAGAAGGAAAUCGUCCACCUACUAAUUGGCCAGCUGAGGGAAAAGUAGAAAUUCAUGAUUUGAAGGUAAUAAAGUGACUAGCUUCAAGUUUCUUGUUUUGAAAAUUAGGUGGGACUUGAUCACUGAGACACAUGAUUUGUUUGAUGAAAUACCAAACAGAUAAGGUACCAGCCUGAUUCACCACUAGUAUUGCGUGGGAUCACAUGCACGUUUGAAGGAGGGCACAAGAUUGGUGUUGUUGGCAGAACAGGAAGUGGAAAGUCCACUCUUAUAGGGGCCCUAUUCCGUCUGGUAGAACCUGCUGGUGGGAAAAUAGUAGUUGAUGGCAUAGACAUUUGUUCUAUUGGACUUCAUGAUUUGAGGUCACGCUUUGGUAUUAUACCUCAGGAUCCUACUCUUUUCAAUGGAACAGUCAGAUACAAUUUGGACCCCUUAUCUCACCACUCUGAUCAAGAGAUAUGGGAGGUAACAAUUAAUAGUAUCAUAGUUUUCAACAUGUACAUUAAGUCUGUUUGGGAAAACUUUUUCAUGAGCCUUUAUAGCAGAGGAAAUUAGAAAGAUAAAUUGAAUUUCAGAAGUUAAAAUCAACUUUUAUAAUCUGCACCCUAGUUGUUUGAUAAGUUCAAGAUAACUUACAUCAAAAUUAAGUUCACAAAUUGAUUUUAGUUUAUAAAAGAACUAGAUCCAUGUUUUGUUCUUAUUUCUUUCCUGCAUGAAAAAGUUGAUUCUGGUAGUUUAUCUUUUCUCUGAUUUGCUGAAGUGGACUAGUUGUUGCUUGCAUGUGAAGGUUCUUGGGAAAUGCCAGCUGAGAGAAGUUGUUGAAGAGAAAGAAGAGGGGUUGGAUUCUUCAGGUACACUUUCAAGCUUCCUUGAAACAAUAUUACAGAAAUGAAGCCUUGCUUGAUUAACUAAUUGCUAGUGAUGAAACUAUUUUGCAGUUGUGGAGGCUGGGGCAAAUUGGAGCAUGGGGCAACGACAGUUAUUCUGCUUGGGGCGUGCCCUUUUGAGGAGAAGUCGGAUACUGGUGCUUGAUGAAGCAACUGCAUCAAUUGAUAAUGCAACUGAUUUGAUUCUACAGAAAACAAUCAAGGCAGAGUUUGCAGAUUGUACUGUAAUCACUGUAGCGCACAGAAUACCAACCGUGAUGGACUGCACUAAGGUUGUGGCCAUCCAUGAAGGUAUGUUGCAUCUUAUUUACCUCUAGACACAAGUUUUCAUAUUAAUCCAUAUACCUUGCUAAUGUUGACCUCAAACCAUCCUAAGUCGACCAGGUUGGUUGCAAAUGAGAUGAGAUGUUCUCCUAAUCAUUUGGUUUGAUAGAGAGAAAAUAUGAGGUGUUUGAUUGAGCAUUUUAAGAAGAUAAUAAAAGAUUAUUUGAUCUUGUUUACUAUGAAAAAGAAAAUUGAGUGACUGUUUUUUCAGGAGAAUUGGUGGAAUAUGACGAGCCAAUGAAGUUGAUGAAGAGAGAAGAAUCACUGUUUGGACAGCUUGUGAAGGAAUACUGGUCUCAUUUGCAGGCAGCAGAAUCACACUAAAGCUAGAAAUGUUUUCUUUUUAUGCAUCUCGUGUGUUCAUAGGUGUUAAAGAGACUUGUUGUCUAUGAUACGAGUCAAUUUACUCCAACCAAAUUAAAAAGUGACCUGAUUUAGCUCCAUACAUAAUGGAUAGGUUGAAGUGAGUUAACUCGUAUAAACUUUUUCGUUUUCAAAAGUUUCUUCAUAUCUUUAUUUUCUUAUUCUUUGAGUUUGCUGUAAUGAAUUAGCACGUUGCAUUCUCCCUCUUUUUAUUUAUAUUCUUCUUAUAUUUCUGUACUUUUUUCUUAAUUUUUUUUAUUAAACUAGAUAAACUAACUCGUGAAUUCACGUAAUUAACCCACAACUUAUAUUUUUUAAUUUAUAAAAAAGUUAUAAAAAUUUAUUUUUUUUAAAACCAUUUUAGAGGUGUGGCAAAUUAUUCUUAAUGUAAAAAGAAUACAAAUAAUGAUGACGACACGAUAAUAAUUGUUAAAGUAGUGCUACGUUGACUCCGUAUUUUUCCUAUUCCUAUUGGUUCAUUUGAAACUGUUGUAGUGGGAAAUGAAUUAUUAGUUUGUGGGUCCGACUUUGAUAGGAAGGAGAAGGCUAAAAUUGUAAUUUUAUGAAGGGGUAGUUUGGUCAGUUACGUUAUUAUAUUUUAUGAAGGGCAUGAUAUAUUUUGAAACCAUUGUCGUUGAUAUGAAAUUGCUUUGUCAUGGCAUGGAAUAUUAUAGGUUAACAAUUU
rnacentral:lncRNA from 1 species